UAUAUCUUGCACUUUCCCAAAAAAUCCAUUUCAUAUUCCUCUCUCUCCAUCUUGCAGAAAACUAAACACCGCCGUCCAUGCAAAUCCAAGAUCCCCAAAUCAAUUAAUCAAGAAAAGGGGUUAGUUUACUACACAGAUCGAUCUCAUUACCUCACAUACCCAUGGGCUCCGUCUAUAUCCUACGGUCGGAAGUUGAAUGUUGUAAGUUGGCUAUCCCUUGACGGAAGUUGUCGCUGGCUUCCAAAGAGGGUAUUAAUGGAGGGGAAGCUUCGGUAUUUGUGGAGAUAGUGACGACGAAAAUGGAAGAUGCACGUUCUCCUUCGUGUCGAAUUACACGAUCUAUAGCCGUUCUGUCAGAAUAUAAGGAACGAGACCACCCAGCCGUCAAAGAAGUGUUUAAAACCUCAGCCAAUGUUGAUAAAAGUGAGAAGAGGCGACUAUGUUGACGAAGAAUCCUCUAUGAAGAAGAUGAAAAUGGCGUUGCAUUCGAACCCGAAAGAAGGAAAUUCUACGUCUCACGUAUUUUUUGGGGAUUUUUGAAAACUGUGAAUGUUAAUAUGCUAAAUUUUGUUUGUUAUCCUGAGGUUCACAUUUUAGAGACAAUGAAUUACAUAUGUAUGCGAUUUACGUGAAGUUCUCCUCCAUGCCUCUUUGACCUUGCUUAUUGUCUGUACCAAAACCAUUGGAUGACACACCGAAACGAGAAGAGGUGACUAUGUUGACGAAGAAUCCUCUAUGAAGAAGAUGAAAAUGGCGUUGCAUUCGAACCCGAAAGAAGGAAAUUCUACGUCUCACGUAUUUUUUGGGGAUUUUUGAAAACUGUGAAUGUUAAUAUGCUAAAUUUUGUUUGUUAUCCUGAGGUUGACAUUUUAGAGACAAUGAAUUACAUAUGUAUGCGAUUUACGUGAAGUUCUCCUCCAUGCCUCUUUGACCUUGCUUAUUGUCUGUACCAAAACCAUUGGAUGACACACCGAAACCUUACACUGCUGUGUGUGAUAUGUCGCGUUUGAAGAGUUUGAUAUGCUAAAAUUUACUUACAUCUUUGUGAUUGAUUGUGAAUAUUAAUUCUUCUUUUCUUAUGAUGACAACAUAUGCAAUAUAUAUAUAUAUAUAUUUUUUUUUUUUUUUUUUUUUUUUUUUUUUUUUUUUUUUUACAAUGUGUAGUGGAAACUCAUUUUACACUUGAUUGUGAUGUUCAGAUUGCACAUUGUCUAUUAGAAAAUGGAAAUCAGCUGCAGGUGAGUCAGCUUGGGAGUCAGCAAAGCACGUACACUCCAGUACACAUGGGCGACAAGCUGGACCAUAGAUGGAAGAAUAAAUCUAGAAAGAUGUAUCAUAUUUUCUAUUAUGUGGUUUUCCUUUCGUAACAGUGUUGUUUAUAUUGAUUCUUUUUUUUGCCUGCUGUAUAGGUUUUCCGUUAGGCUGGUACUCUUCUCAUUCUAUAUAUAGUGUGAUCUGUAAAGAAGUGAAUAUAGCAGAUUCAAUAUCAUGAGAAAAUUCUCCCAAAACUCUUGCACUCCACCUGCUCGAUAGUUUUUUUCUUUCGUUUAUUUCUUCUUUUCUUAUAUGGUAUCAGAGCAAGAUAUGGCACAACCUGAUUCUGCUAAUCCAAAUCCAGUUGAAUCUUCAAACACAAAUAUAAAUCAACACCCAAAUCCAAUCUCGGUUGAUCCCUCACAGCCAAACAGUCCAUACUCUAUUGGAGCUAAUGAUAGCUCUGGAUCCAUACUCAUUACUCAUGUAUUGGAUUCAAACAAUUAUCAUUCCUGGGAACGUGCGAUCCAAAGAGCACUCACGAUUAAAAAUAAGCUCGGUUUUGUUGAUGGAAGCAUUUCAGAGCCUAAUGAUGCAGACAGUCCACUUAUGGAGCAUUGGUUGAGAUGUAAUGAUAUAGUAAUCACUUGGUUGCAGAAUACUAUGGCACCAUGUAUGCUGAAAUGGCACAUUAUCUAUGGAAGGAACUUGAACAGAGGUUGGCACAGUAAAAUGCACCUAGGAUUUUUGAGCUCAAACAAAGUAUUGUAAACCUGAUACAAAAUCAAUUCAGUGUAAGUGUGUAUUUCUCAAAGCUGAAAACUCUUUUGGAUGAAUCGCUAAAUUAUGAAUCAGUACCCAAUUAUUCCUGUGGAGGUUUGAAGGUUGAGGUGAACAACCAACAAAGAGGUUGGGUUAUGAAAUUCCUAAUGGGUCUCAAUGAUACGUACAAGGGAUUAAAGGCUCAAAUUCUCCUCAUUAAGCCUUUCCCAAGCUUGAAUGAAGUAUACUCCAUAAUUUAGUAAGAAGAGAAGAGAAGGCAAAUAUCCACUGAUAGUUCACUUGAUGAAACUAUGGCACUACUUGCUAAGGGUAACCUUGAUGUGAGAAAACUAAACCAAUCCUCUCAGAAGAAGGAUAGGUACUACUGCACCUAUUGUAAGAUAGCUGGCCAUUCCCUUGAACUAUGCUUCAAGGCUAAUCCCAACAAACCAGCAUGCUCUUAUUGCCUAAUGCCUGGUCAUACAGUUGGAAAAUGUUUUGAGUUACACGGGUAUCCAUCGGGGCACAAAUCAGAAGGGAGAAACAAGCCAUCAACAUCAUUUGCUAAUCAGACUACUGCACUUAUGCCUCUUUUCCAGGAACAGGUAAAUAACAAAGCUCAAAUUCUUUAACUCGGGAGCAAUAUGAUCAGCUCAUGGCAUUGCGGAACCCACAAACUCAUCAAAACUUCAUCCCUUCUGCAAAUCAUGUUCAAACUUUAUUCCAACUCAUUCUGAUAAUGGUGAGAUGCCAAAAGUUUUAGGUAUAUCUCUAUGUCUGUUUGCCUUUAGCACUAAACUUUAUGAUCAUUCAGUUGCACCUUGGAUAUUAGACACGGGGUACAGAUCAUAUGAUCUGCUCAACCUCUCUUUUUACCAUAAUAAAGUCUAAAGUUUCAUAUUCAGUAGCUCUCCCAAAUGGUAAAGUUGUUCCUGUCACUCACAUUGGGACAGUAAAAUUUUCAGAAUCUUUCAUUUUGGAUAAUGUUCAUUAUGUUCCGUCGUUUUCUUUUAAUUUGAUAUCAGCUAGAAAAAUAACGCAGAACAUGAAUUGUUGCCUCCUUGUCUUCCUGGUUGUUGUUUUAUACAGGACCUUUUGACUUGGAAAAGGACUGGAAUGGGUGAAGUAAAGCAAGGACUCUAUCACUUGAUGCAAUAUGAAGUGUCUCCUUUUGCCUUGACCAAGAAAUUAGCCUAUCUAACUCAAAAGACACACAUAUCCGCUUCCUGUAUUUUCAAUAAUGGUGAAGAUUUCGAUCUUUGGCACUGUAGGUUAGGACACUCCACCUAUUCCAAGCUUAAUUUACCAGAAGACACCACAAGAUCCACCAAACAGCCUUGCCUUACUUGUCCUUUAGCCAAACUACAAAAAUUACCAUUUCCUGUCAGCCAGCAUAGAUCAGAAAAAUGUUUUGAUCUCAUACAUUGUGAUAUUUGGGGACCAUGUAAUGAGAUUAGUUAUGAUGAUUUUCGUUAUUUUCUAGCUAUUGUGGAUGAUUUCAGUAGAUGUACUUGGGUUUAUAUGUUGAAAUUCAAAUCUCAUGCUGGCAUUGUUUUGCAAAGUUUUUGCUCUAUGAUUGAAACACAAUUUGAAUGUAAAGUUAAAACUAUUAGAUCAGACAAUGGAGAUGAAUUUGAGAUGAAGAAAUUUUAUUCACGAAAGGGAAUCAUUCACCAUAAAACUUGUGCAGAGACUCCUCAACAAUAUGCCAUAGUUGAAAGAAGACAUCAACACAUUUUAAAUGUGGCAAGAGCUUUAAAAUUUCAAAGUGGCAUCCCAUUAAGAUAUUGGAGUGAUUGUGCUCUCACGGCAGUUUAUCUUAUAAACAGAACCCCUAUACCUCUUUUAGACCACAAAACACCCUUUGAAAUUCUUUUUCAAACCAGACCAGAUUACACUUAUCUUAGAGUUUUCGGAUGCCUAACAUUUGCUAGUACCCUAGUGAGUGGAAGACAUAAGUUUGAUCCUAGAGCUAGGAGAUGCAUUUUUUUGGGAUACCCAUUUGGAAUCAAAGGAUACAAAUUAAUGGAUUUCAACACAAAGGUGGUCUUUAUCUCUAGGAAUGUUAUCUUUCCACGAGAGUGUUUCCUUGCAAGCAAAAUGCUAUCAACAGUGCUUAUUUUAGUCCAAAUCCAACUUCAAAAAUAGAUUUCAUUUAUGAAAUUCCUAUUAUCUCAGAUCACAUAGAAAACAGCCCAAAUCAUUCUCUUAUCAACACUUCAGACAAAAUGCAGCAACAGACCACUCAACAGACUUUGAAUCUCUUUCAUUAGAACAAAAUCAUGGCUUAUCUGGACCUGCAAAUACAUUUAUAAUUGACAGUGAGCCAUCCCAAAAACAAGUCGUACCUUGAAGGUCAAAUAGAAUCAAGAGAACCCCUACAUAUCUCAAGGAUUUUGUCUGCCAACAGGUCACUUUGCUUCCCCAUUCACAGGCUUUGGACAAGCAAAGGGUCACCGUUCCCUCAGGUAAUCCCUAUCCUCUUGAGAAUAGUGUGUCAUAUCAUAAACUCUCCACUCCCUACAAGGCUUUUGUUGUUUCUAUCAGCACACAAACUGAACCAAAAAAUUUCCAAGAAGCACUAGAAUCUCUCAAGUGGUGUAAUGCUAUGAAAGCUGAAAUAAAUGCUCUCGAAUUAAAUGAUACUUGGAUAGUUGUUGAUCUAUCUCCUAGUAAGGAGGCCAUAGGGUGUAAGUGGGUUUAUAAAAUCAAAUUCAAUGCUAAUGGGACCAUAGAGAGAUAUUAAGGCAAGUUAGUGGUUAAGGGAUAUACACAACAACAAGGACUCGACUAUCAUGAAACAUUUUCUCCUGUGGCAAAACUAGUUACUGUAAGGACUUUGUUGGCUUUAGCUGCUAUUAAAGGUUGGCACUUAUACCAAUUUGAUGUAAACAAUGCAUUUCUACAUGGAGAUUUGGCGGAAGAAAUUUACAUGCAAUUGCCUCUGGGUUAUCCCACUGUUAAUGGGAUGAAAGCUUGCAAAUUGAAGAAAAGCUUGUGUGGCCUUAAACAAGUCUCUAGACAGUGGUAUUCUAAGCUAUCUAACUUCAUUAUUGAGCAAGGUUUUUCACAAUCUAAGGCUGAUUAUAGCUUAUUUACAAGAGCUACAAAACAUUCUUUUAUUGUCAUCCUCGUAUAUGUCGAUGACAUUAUAGUGUUCAGCAACUGCAUUGACUCUAUUAAUGUUCUCAAGCAUACCCUACAUGAGAAAUUCAAAAUCAAGGAUCAAUAUAGUUGAAAUACUUCCUUGGGAUGAAGUGGCUUGGUCAGAUCAUGGCAUCCAUAUAUGCCAAAGAAAGUAUGCCUUAGACAUCUUGACAGAUUCAGGCAAAAUUGGGGGCAGCACCAACUCGAAUUCCAUUGAUCAGAAUCUUAAGCUUUCUAAAGAGCAAGGCAAACUAAUAUCUAACCCAUCACUCUAUAGAAGGCUAGUUGGAAGAUUACUAUAUUUAACUAUAACAAGAUCGGAUCUAUCCUUUUCAGUGCAAUAUUAAGUCAAUUCAUGGAUAACCUUGGAUUACCACACCUUAAUGAAGCCUACAAGGUUUUAAGGUAUAUCAAAAAGGCUCCAGGAUAAGGUUUGUUUUAUUCUAUUGAAUCAAGCCUGCAGCUUAUAGGUUACUGUGAUUCAGAUUGAGGAGCAUGCCAGGACACAAGAAGAUCGGGUCAGUGAUUAUUGUGUGUUUAUUGGGUCUUCUUUGGUGGCCUGGAAGUCAAAGAAACAAGGGGUCGUGUCUAGAUCAUCUACGGAGACAGAAUACCGAGCAAUGGGUAACCUGUGCUGUGAAUUAACUUGAAUGAGAUAUUUACUUCAUGACUUGCAGAUUACACAUUCUCAGGCUGCCACUGUGUUUUGUGAUAACAAGGCUGCACUUCACAUCGCAUCAAACCCUGUCUUUCAUGAGAGAACCAUGAGAGAACCAAGCACAUUGAGCUUGAUUGUCAUCUCAUCCAUGACAAGAUUCAAGAUGGAAGCAUAACCACUGGUUAUAUUGGUAGUGGAUUACAAGUUGCAAACCUCCUAACUAAGGCCUCAAGUUCUUCUGUUUUCUAUACUCUUUUGCUCAAGAUGGGAGUAGAAGAUAUCUACUCUCCACCUUGCGAGGGGCUAUUAGAAAAUGGAAAUCAGCUGCAGGUGAGUCAGCUUGGGAGUCAGCAAAGCACUCACACUCCAGUACACAUGGGCAACAAGCUGGACCAUAGGUAGAAGAAUAAAUCUAGAAGGAUUUAGCAUCUUUUCUGUUAUGUGGUUUUCCUUUUGUAACAGAGUUGUUUAUAUAGAUUCUUUUUGCUGCCUGCUGUAUAGGUUUUCCGUUAGGCUGGCACUCUUCUCAUUCUAUAUAUAGUGUGAUCAACCUGUAAAGAAGUGAAUAUAGCAGAUUCAAUAUCAUGAGAUAUCCUGAUGAACGGUAGAUUUUCUAGUAGUGAUUAUAACAAACUUGCUGCUCGGAAAAUUGGACCGUUGGAAGUAAUUGAAAAUAUCAAUCCUAAUGCAUACAGGUUGAAGCUUCCAAGCCAUGUUGCGACCAGUAAUGUUUUUAACGUCAAGCACCUGGUUCCAUAUGUUGGUGAUUUGUCAAUAGAGGACUCGAAUUCGAGGACGAAUUCUCUCCAACCCGAGAAGGAUGAUGUAGAUCGAGUGGCCUAUAAUUUUAUUGAGAAGUAUGAGAGGAGGCUUGAGAAACAGGAAUAUUAAUUUUUUUGUUAUUUCUUUAUUAUGUCUGUCAAAUUAAGUUUCCUUAUUAUGUUGUCUAAGUUUCUGUUAUUAAAUUAUUCUGUCUUAUCACUUAUUUUAGGUAAGUUGUCUGUUUAGGGUUUAUAUAUUUGUAGUCUUCUGUAGCCGCAGACAGUUUUCUGGAGUUAUUAUGUUAUCAAUAAAAACUCUCUGCAAGAGUUUUAUUUGUUCCUGCAAUUCCUAGUCCCGAUUUCUAGGUUUGUGGAAGACUUGUGAAUUUAUUGUGUGCACAGAUUCUGCUUCUGUUCUUUCCGCUGCAUCAUUAGGGAUGGUAGUUGGUUGCUAGCUCAACUUUGAAGGAUCUUUUUUUUUUUUUUUUUUUGAAGACUCUCUUGUUGCUGUUUUAAAUUAUAUACAACGACUAGGAAUGCAUUUCUGAUUUCCCGGGUUUUUUCGUUAUCUUUUGGUAAUGUAAAUAUUCAUUAUGUAAUCUGAUGUAUUGCAUACUUCAUGGGUCGGAUCGUACACGUGAAAUGGUACCAAUUGAAGUGUCGAUUGUGUCCAAUUAUAUCGUAUUGCACAUGCAGCUGACAUUUAUGUUUUUAACCUCAAUGAAAUCUCCAUUGGUCUAUUUUUUUAGCGUAAUUAGUUUCCUCUAGUGUACUGGCAUGUGCAUUUUUCAAGAUUAAGCAUUCUUGCGACCAUCGUCUUGACGACAUCGAAUCAAUGUUUUUUCUUUAAAAAAAAAAACAUUUACACGUGUGACAUUACCGUUGUAAUGGAAUCAUUUUUUUUUUCUUAAAUAUACUUUAGAUGUGUGAAAUUAGCGUGUAAAAAACUUGUAAUGUAUGGCAUUCUGAAAACAUCAAUACACAAAUCUAUUGCUAUAAGCUCCCAUAAUACGGUAGGAUAUAGUAAGGUUAUAUACCUUGACUCAAUGGAGUAUACUAAUAGUGCACUCUAAUGUUCACAUUACGUCGAAUUUGCAAUAUUUAUAGGUCUAUCGUUCACCAUAGAUCUGGUUCUAUUUCCUACUUUACUAUCGUAUAUAGUCAGAAUGAUAUCUUGAUUUUUACAGAUUCACGUUUGCAAUACACGAGACUCCGUAGUAUUACAGAUUCAGACCAUCGAAUUCCAUUUUUUUAAUAUAUAACACAUGUCACAUUCGCACUUUCGAAAUAAGAUUGAUGCAGGUAGAUGUAGUUUACUAAUUUUGCAUAGAGACGAACACAUACUGACUAAUUUUAAUGUGGCAAAAAAUAUUCAUGUUUCAUUCAUAUUUACAUUGAUAUUGUAACGAACGCAUAUUUUCACUUACAGGUUUUCCCAGUGAUGAUUAAUCGUUUAGCAACCUCACAGCAAGAAGUUAUAUUUCAUGUCUGGUGAAUUGAGUGCGUGGAAGGAGCUGUCCGGCUAAUAAAGCAGAAAUCUGUAAUGGGAAGGUGUUGAGUCACAUUUAUUCAAUAUAUCAUGUUUCCGAAUUCACAAUUCAAAAUUCUCUUACGAGUUAUAUUAUACAAUCAAUACAUUCAAACACCUUCUAGGUUGUGUCAGACUAGAUAAAAACCUAAUAAAAAUUUUACCCUUAAAAUGCCGAUGUGUGCAUCUAUUUGCCGGGAGUUUAGAUGGGAUCCAUACAACAAAAUCUUUGCUACUACAUUUAUAACAGUUCACAAUGACGCUAACCAAAUGUAAAAGUUCAAUGCCCAUUAUUGCAGAAACACGAUAUUACACUUGGGACCUCGAAGGGGUCCAUUUAUUUGAAUAUAUUGACUAAAAGUUACAACAUUAAUUUAUUUCUUUGCCGACAAGAGAAUAAAGGACGAAACUAAAGGUAGAUCAAGCAUGCAUCCAUGCUUGUAUUAUUCAACACAACAUUUUUAAAUUAAUUAAAGUAAGCAGUAAUUGUUAAUUUAAACAUUGUUUCUUUUUGGCCUUUUUGCAGAACUGUUUGUUUUUCUUGAGUUUUGACAUCCUGUAGCCAUGGAGUCCUUUUAGUUUUUCAGGAAAUCCUUCCACCACUUAGCUGAAUCUUUAGGGUGUCUUUCCAAAUCAUUCUCGUUCUUGAAGUCUACAUAAUGAACUCCAAAUCUAAGAUUGUACCCUUGUGUCCAUUCAAAAUUAUCAAAAAAUGACCAUUUGAAGUAACCUUUCAAGCGUACACCAUCCCUGAAAACGAAAGACUAGUUGAUUAGUUUCAAAAUUUACAAUUUUACUUCGAAUUUAACUACAAUAUGUGAUUAAAGAUAAAAUAAAAAAAAAUGACGUACUCUAUUGCCUUUCUAAGUUGGUCAAGAUGGUCCUUGUGAUACGUAACCCUUUUUUCAUCUUUAACAGCCUCUGGAAUUGUUAGUUCAUCGUUUUUCAAUUCAUCCAGCCCUACAAGAGAUUAUAAAAGAAUUCAACAAAUCACUAAAUGCUCUAAAAAUUUAGUAUUUCUAAUGUAUAUUCUUGCUAUAUAAAUAAAUAAACAUGACUAUAUACCAUUCUCUGUAAUGAAAAUCUCGGGAUUAUCAUAAGUUUUCUUUAUAUAGAGCAUUAUCUCGUAAAUUCCCUCUGGAACUAUGUACAACCAUGACGAACCACCCUGACACGAAGUAAAAAAGAUUUGUAAUUACAUUAGAUUAUACAUAAGCAUCGAAAAUAAUGUAAACCAUUAUAUCUAUUUUAGUUCAUUGUGCCCGUAUAUUAGGAGUCUAUGACAUAAUCAUAUUUCACCAAAAAUUGUUGAUAUGCCUAAAUUGUUAGAAUAAUCCAUUCCAUUGUCUAUAUUCUUUUUCUAAGGGAGGGUACUAUUAAUGACUCACCUUAUCACCAAUCGGCUUGUCAUUGCAAUCAUGAGCUAAAAGAAUGAAAAGUAAACAUCUUGUUAGAAGUAGUGUCCAUUUUUUGUCAAGGUAAAAAGUUAUAACUGAACAUGAGAAAAGGUCCCAGUACUUACUCCUCUCAUCAACAUGCAGAUCAUUCUCAAAAUGUGUUUUUGAAGAAUCUCGAGGUACAUUUUGGGCAUAACGAGCCGUGUAAUAAUUUAUGCCCAAGAAGUCACAGGAACCUUUCACUAGUGCAACCUCGUCUGGUUUAAACAUGGGAAGACGUUCUCCUACAUUGAUUCUCAUGGAUAGUGGAUAAUCACCUGUUAUUACAGGGGCUACAAACCUGAACAGGAGAAAUGUGUUAAAAUUAGAAUUAUUAUCGAUGUACUAUAUACCUAAACUUCUACAAAAAUAUAUCUAUAAUGUAUUCUCUUAAUAAGGCAUAAACAGGCUAAAGGAUAAAAAGAAUAGAAGAGAAGAAACUUCCGAUAAUGGAUUCCAAUUUAACGAAUUUCCCAGGCACUAAUUUCAUUGGGAGAUUUAGGAAUUUAUAGAGAUGCAGAGUAAUUGCUCGUGGUAAAGAUAAACUGCUCUAACACAAGUAACAAUUACCAUCCUAACAAAAAAUCAAGUGCUCUCGAAGCAGCCUCGACAUCCUCUUUGUUGUCUUCCUUAAAUGGAUAAUACCAGAUUGAAACGUUUGUCAUCCCUAUUUUGCCUCGUUGGCUUUCCUGUAUGUACAGAUGUAUUAAUAUUUGUAAAAUUUCAAAAGUGUGUAUUUACCUAUUUAUUUUUGUACAUGUGUGAAAUAUUAAAAUAAAAACCUGAUAUUGUUUCCGGUAUAUAUUAACCGCAUGCGCAUGAGCAAGGAUCAAAUUGUGUGCCACUAUAUAUGGUUCUGUUCCCGGAUCUCCUUCAAAGGAAGUACCAUCUUCAGAGGAUGCAGUGUAAGGCACAUUGAGUGCCUCAGCAAUUACUUUUCUCGCUGCAUCUCGUUCAGAGGAAGGAAUGUUGUCCGAAUUGUAUGCGAUAUCAACUAGUUCACUGAUUGGAUCUCUGGCCAUAUAUCCUCUUGAUGAAGGAAACAGAGGAACAUUGAUGCUGCUUCUAUGCUGAAGGAUCGAGGAACGACACAUUCGUUCCAAUGAUUCUCGAGUGCGAUCCGAUGCUGAUGCCGAUGCUCCAAGUUGAUAACCUCGACGAGGGGGAAACCUUGGAUGCACAUAUCCAUAAAAAGUGAAGGACCGUGGCUCAUUGAGCGUGACCCAAUAUUUCACUCGAUCACCAAAUUUCGAAAAGCAUAUGUCAGCAAACUCACAAAAAUGUUUCCUAUUAUGACAAUGUAAAGAAAGUUAAAUUUCAACAUAUAUGUCUGUAAUAAAACCAUAGAUGGUUAAAAAAAUUCACUUAUGUCUUUUAUCUUUGCACAAGAGAUCAAUCUGCUUAUUAUUAUCCAUUUUCUUUGAAGAAAAUAUUUCUGCUUUUUCCUUCAAAAUAUAGAUUUUGAGAAAAUAACUUUGCUUAAUUCAUCUGUUAAACAUCUAGCACACGAUGUUCGAUGCUAUGCAAGAUCGUUUACUUACACAAUUUGAUGAUCUAAGAAGCCGCCAUAUUCAUCUUCCAAUUUUUGUGGAACAUCCCAAUGGAAGAGAGUUGCACAGGGCUCAAUGCCUACACAAAAGUAAUGUAGAGAAAUCAAUGUACAUGAUAUCUUUAAAUUUUAUAUUUUAAUUUAUAAGAAAAGAAAUGAUUUCAAUGGCAUAUCAAUUUGAACUUCCAAUCAUGUACUAAUUAAAUAUAAAAUAAGAAUAAUUUUCUUAAAGAUACAAUAAACACGUGAAUUCAAAGAAGUCUAACCUUCUUUCAAAAGUUCGUCUAUAAGAUUGUUAUAGAAUUGGAUUCCUUUUUCGCUUAUGCCAUCGCAUCGUCUACCACCUAAAAUAUCAAUAUAAAUUUAUACUCAUAUUAAAAUAAAGAACUAAUUUAGUUGUAUAUAAUGAGGUGUAUCUAAGGGUGUACACCCCCCUCACAUGGAGUCUGGGAUCCACCCGAAUAAGUGUUUUUUUUAUUCGGGUGGAUUCCACACCGCAUGUGAGAGGGGUGUACACGCUUAGGUACACCCCAAUGUAUUACUAGCACCACCGUAAAAUAAAGUCAAGGAACUUCUAUUGAUAUCCAAUAUUGAGGAAAUUACUUGGUGAGGUCUCAUAUUAGAGACUACUUCUGGUUUUCUAAAUACUUCUAUUUUUCAAAAUAUUUUGUCAAAAUACUUCUAACGAGAACUUUUUCUUGUCAAGAGUUUUUCUACAUUUUUCUCUUCCUUUUCUUUGUGUUCGACUUGAAAACUAGGCAAGGUUUAUGAGGCUUUCGAGUCCAUUUAGAAAUCCUAGUCAAACUUAUCAAUGUAGACCAUUAACUCUAUAUUGUCCAGAAUCUUUUCCACUUUGUCUAGCCCUUUAUAGUCAUUUAAAAAAUUUUAAGCAGAAAACAUCACUUUAGCUUAAAAAUUAAAUAAUGUACAAACGCUACAUCUUUGACGUUUCAUUAUUGAAGUGAAAAAAAAAACUGUUUUUCUAAAAUCAUUUAAGCACAAUCCGGUACCUGGUAAGAUUCUGGACCAUGAAAUUGAAAAUCUAUAAGAAUCCAAACCAACUUCCUUCAUCAAAGCCACAUCGUCCUGCAGCAUUAUUGACAGUGAGUACAUUAUACAUUCAAAAAUAUUAUUCUUGGUGGCUUAAAUUAGAAUACAAUCAAUUAUAAUUGAUUUUUUUCUUUCUUGUUUCUUCCACUUUUUUUCAAAAUAGAACUUUUUGACUUCAAGCGCCAACAAAGUAUCAACUUAUUUUGAAUGCUAUGUUCCAGAUAAUAGUCAUGUUUGAACAAUGGCAAUGAGCAUUUUUUUUUUCAUUAAUGGAUCAAAAGAGUUAUUUAAUUCAUUUACAGCUAUUAGUUCAAUUCAUUUUUCACUUACUUAAAUAUUGUAAAUGGAUGAGUAAAAAAAGAACACUGGUGGACUGGUGGUAGGUUUUCUUAGAAAUGAUGAGUUUUUAUGUUGAUAUCAAUUAGAAGAAAGUGGUCAAAUUAUUAUUAUUUUUUUUUUUUUAUAAGGGCUUUAUCACUUGGCCCCCACCUCAUCCCCUGGACGUCCAAGGGGAUUGUCCCUGAAGCAUGGCUCUUUUUAUAAAUUUAGACCUUAAUAAAAUAUAAGGGAUCAGAUGAUCCUCGCUUAAUGCUUGAAUAGAUAUAGAAUUUUGAUACGGUAAUAUAAAUGAAUUAACAUCACUAUCUGCCACGAAAAAUUAAAUAGCUGAGCGCAUUUACCUUGAACUUGUUAUAGUGAUUGAUUGCCACUUGUCCAUUUGAACCAUCCGCAAUGCUAUCUGCCACACAGACAUUUUAAAUUAGGAGGGCACAAUCAAACUUUGUACAGAUCGAAUACUUUAUUCUUAAUUUUUGAAUGAUUCAUACUUGACUCGAAAAAAAGAAGAUUUACGUUUAAAAAAAAUCCCUUCAUUAAGAUUUUGGUCAUCAUUUUCAUUCAUUUGAUUUCAAACAGUCAUUUUAUUAAUAUUUUGCUCAUCACAAAAGAAUACAUAUUUAUGUUUAAAAAAUUUAUAGUGUAUUUGAAAUUUUGAUUUAAACAAUCAAUUAAAAUGAUCGAUUCAAAUAAUCGAAAGAAAAAAUAUUUAACAAAUAUUCAAUACUAAUUAAUAAUCAAUCAAAUAAACACAAUUCAUUAAAUAUAAGUAAAAUUGGACAUAAUCACUUCAGACACAUUUUGUAUACACAAUUUGAUAGGAAAAGAUAAUCUAUAGGUUCUAAUUAAUUGAAAAUUUGAUUGAGAAGUGAAGAAUUGUAAUAGAUGUGAUAAUCUACAGAAAAAUUAUAGAUAAAUUUUUAAAAAUUAGAAGAUUUAAGAAUUUGAUAAAAUGCGUGAGGGAGAAAGUAGCGAAAGAGAAAGAUACAAGAAAAAAGUUCGAAUCUAUUAUGAUUUUUAGUAGAUUUUGAUAAAGUUAAAAUGUUAUGGAUUUCAUGAAAUAUUCUAUUAAAAUUAAUUAUUAACUGUGAUUCAUAUUAAAAUUUAGAUUUUAAUUCAUACCAAACAUGACUUAAAAAAAAUCCCAAAAAUAAACUACCAGGACCCCGUCUCCACCGCUGCACGUACAUGUGCGUGUGUAAAUUAAUAUGUUCUAUUUUAAAAUGAAAACUUUGGUAAAAAGAGUUACACAAGCCUUCUUCUGUUGAUUGAUAUAUUUAACUGAUAAGAGAUUAUACAUUUAACAUGCCUCUACAGGAUAAUGACUUGUUAAAAAACUUCAAUCCUUGAACUCGAACGCUUGUUUGAGUUUGAGAUGGAUCAUGUUACUUAUUUGAGCUUGUUGGACGGUGAUAAGAUACUUAGAAUAGAGAUUUUAUCUCAAAUGGACAACCAUAUAUAUAGGAGUAGCUGAGCUCUUUUAUGUUAAUUUAUAUUUUAUAUUUAGUGAUUUUAAACACACAAGACUAGAGAGAGAGAGAUUGAAGAGACCAGGAUGCUUUUCUGUCAUAUCAUCCCAAUUACUCGGGCCUUUACCAUCUACAUUCCAAGCACCUUCUACCUGAAAUAAAUUAUACAUCCACAAAUUAAGAACUCAAGAAAGUUAAAUUGCAUGUGAUGGACCGUCUAACAUAUACAUUCCCACAUGAUCGUUUCAGCAAAUCUUCAUUAUUCUAAACUAUAAUGGAUUCUUUUAUAAGGUACAUUUAAUAAUAUUUCACAUUAUUAACGAAUAGUACGGUUUGCCCAUUUUUCUGACCAAAUCUGCCUGAUACAACAUACUAAAACAUACCAAUUACUCACUUGAUAUGCCAGUGUUAGCACCGAAGAUAAACUCGAAAAAUCAGUUGCAAACCUGAUAUGCCGAUGUUGCACCACCAAAUAUAAAAUCCUUGGGGAAAUCAGAGCGUUUGACCUCGGUUUGGGAUGUAGCCAUUUGAAUAAGCAGGAUGAGAUAUUAUAGUCAGUUGGGAGAGAUGUGUGGUUCCUCUUGUCCAUUCACUCUAUUUAUAGACUAUGGGUUUCAAAUACUUGUAUCAUACCAUUAGACAACAAGCAUAAAGUAAGUAUAAUAUAUUGGGAAAGGUAUCAAUACUUAUCUUAAAGGUUGAACCCCAACCUUGAAGGCCCCCACCGUCCCGCCCCUAGAGCUUUGUGAGGGAGGUAAAUCACAGGAUGUGCCCCAACAGAUCAGGGAACAAGAGUUGCAUGUACACUGCGCGUACAAGGAGUCCAAUUCCAUGUCUUAGGAAUCGAACCCUCAUACUGCGACUGUCAGCAAGGCGUGUGACAACCUCACUCCGGUCCUUUGCACCACUAGGCUAUAUCCCGGGAGGCAUAUUAAUGCUUUUCUUUAUUCUACUUAAAGUAAAUACAAGUAUAUGUAAACCUUUAAGUAAUUCUUUACUUCCUUCUCAUUACAUCUCAAGACCUUUCUUUGAUUCUGCACUUUUAAGUCAUUCUUUACUUCAUUCUCAUUAAAUCUAAAUACCUUUCUUUGAUUAUCCAUAUUAUACCUCUUGAGUUAAUUACGAUUUUUGUGUCUAGAUAUUUUUCUAUUUGGGUUACUAUUAGUAAGAAUAACUCUUAAGUUUGUAAGGGACAAAAUAAAAAACUUAAUUAAUACAACUUUUUAUCAAUUAAUUGGCAACACAAAGGGGUAGCAAUCAAAGUCAAGUUUUUUUAUCCAAUUGCUGAGACGUAUUGGAUAUGUAAUUAUUGAAUUAAACGUGCGAUUUCACUCGUUUAGUGGAACAGUUUUCGAAAUUAAUAUUCAAGCCCGAGUUUAAAAUAAGAUGAUUUGGAGCUUGAAUUGUGUCAAGUCAUUGGCUUCGAUGAAGCCACACUAUUGGGUUGAUAGAAGGAUGAGAUUCACAAUAAGACGACAAACCUCGUGGGAUAUAAAUAAGAUGAUUACUUUUGUACUUUAAGAUGAUUUCAAUCUCCGUAAUCUUAUUUCUUUAGAUUUGCACGGUAAAUACUUACUCUUAAAUCAAAUUAAUACACUGACAUGAGGACACACCACUUUGUUAGUAAAGAUAGGAGAGACGCUCCAGGUGUACCAAGGGUAUAGUAAUUUCAACAUUGUCAUGGAUAAAUCAGUGAAUGACGAAAUCCUUGGACAACCCGCCAUGAAGCAUGCAAAUAUAAUCAUCUUCCUCCAUCAAUUGCAUGUGAGGUAUUCCAUGAAUAAAGGUGAAAUGUUCUUAAAGUAUAAUCAAAGAAACCUGCUUAUGAACCAUAAAAUCAAUAAAAAAAUGAGACAUGAAAGCUUUUCCGUUAGCUCAACAGAUGCGAGUAAAGCUUUAAAAAUUGGCAAGGAAUUGAGUGAACCCAUAAAAGGAUUGUUAAAAAACAUCCUAGUUGCUAACAUAGGUAUAUUCCCUUGGAAACAUGCUGACAUUAUGAGGAUAGAUCCCAAAGUCGCUUCUAUGCAAAAAUUAAGCCUAAGAUGCAAAGGUGGAUAAACUAUUAGAGAAUGCUUUUAUUCACAAAGCUUAAUAUCUAGCGUGGGUAUGUAAUUCAGUUAUAGUACCAAAGAGCAAUGGAAAAUAAAGAACGUGCCAAAAUUUUAAACUUUGUUCUAAGGACAUGAUGCGAACCCGUGAGCAACAAACACUCGAGAACCGACAACGAGAUUGCCACAGUUCCCAAGAACGUCAAUGGAUCGAUGGUUUUGGAUUUAAUCCCUAAACAAUGACUCAAACAACUGUUAAUAUAUGAAAUUAACGACAUUUUGAAUACACGGUUUAAGAAUCCCACCUGGGUUUUGUUGAACGCCAUGAAAAAAUCAUCCCAAUAAAUUCGAAUUGUCCAUCAAAGACAAGGUUUUGAAGCAACGGCUUCGGAAGAAAAAACUCUCAUUCAUUAAUUCAUCAAAGUCUCGUUACAAUGUAGAAUAAAAUUCCUAUUUAUACUAAGACUAGGAAACUAAUUAAAAAAACCUAAUUAAAAAAUAAAUAAAUAAAUAAAAUAAAAUUAUAAUAACACCUAGAAUCCUAGUCUAAAAGGAAACUAAUAAUAUACCACUAAUUAACAUCCUAAUUAACUUAAAGAUAUUAAAAAUAUUAGAAUACUAAUCAAAUAAGGGGACAAAUAUUAAAGGAUCACCCAAACUGUCGGCCAUAUAGAAUUAUGUCAAUUUGGUAACUAGCGCCCAAUUGAAACUUUCCGCCUUUGGCAUAACUGUGCAAAUUUGGAAUAAAAUCUGCUUCGGACUCCACUGUGCGACGGCACCGUUACCUGUAUUGCGGCCGCAUGGCUCACAUGUUGAGUCUCCAAAUUUUCCCCGCAUGUUUGGUGCGACCGCAAGGCUUGGAGAGCUAUGCGGUCGCAUAGCUCUUGGUUUUUGGCUGCACUUUCGGCUGGAAUUAACAAGCUGUUCCCAAUUGAUUUGGACCUCGGUUCCUUCUUCAAACUUACUCAUUGACUUGUGAAAUUCAUGGUUUUGAACCCCGUUGAUUGAAUAUAUAAGUGACCAGCGUUAUUAGCUUCUUUGAAGUCUCGACUUGGCUCAAGUCCUUCAACGUUUACACCUACACUUCUCCAACCGGUUUUGCCAUUCACGCCCAGCAUGAAUAGUGACAUUUGGCUCAAUAACUUCAACAUCUUGAAUUCCAUAGCUUGAUCAGGAGUUUUGCCAGCUUGAUCAACCCUAAUUGGCCUCCAAAUGAGCGUGAACUUUGGUAUCUAUCGACCUCCAACAAUCUUCAAAUAAUUGAUAAUUAGUGGCGUAACCUGAUUUAUAUCAGGACAGCUCUCCUCUCCCCAGAAUUGAUCGGCUAGUAGAUGCCACUGCGGGACACGAACUGUUAUUGACCUGACAAGGAAUAUACCACAUUUGUAAUAGAUCAGGGACUAUACUGUUUAAUAUUAUGUCAUUUGAACUAAAAAAUAUUGGGACUGAGUGCCAAAGAUCAGUGAAAAGAAUGUUCCUAGAUCGGAUAGAAAAAUGGUGGAAGUAUACGUUGAUGACAUACAUGUAAAAAACCUUCAGGUUGGAGACUUUUUAAAACAUCUAGAAGAGGCUUUCAACAUAUUGGGAAAAUAAAGGAUGAAACCUUAUCCGUUGAAAUACUCCUUUGGAGAACCCCGACAAAAUUCAGGCCCUCAUAAAAAUAUGUCCCCAUCUAAAUCAAAGGAGGUACAAAACCUAAAGGAAAGAGUCGUCGAUCUAGGAUAUUUUGUAUUACGUUUGAUAAAUUGCUGCCUAACCUCUUGUAUUUAUCAUUUUUUACAGACAAUUAUAUGAUUUGAAGUGAAUUUGAAAGAAAGAACGAAAUAUUGGUGAAAAUGGAUAAAAUUCAAGGUUCGGGGAUCAAAUUGAAAUUAUCUAGUAGUUAAUUCAGAUCACAAAGCGAUAAUUGGAGAUAGUAAGAAGUUAAAAAGGAAUGAAAUAUAAUCAAAGAAUCUUCACAAAUCAAUUUCUAAUUGCAUAAGGCACAUUCCAGAUUUUAAGCCAGAGUUUAAGACUCAUUUUUGGAAUAGUCAAAGUUCGAAUUAGAAAAAUUCUUCUUCUGUAAGAAUUAUAGCCCUUUGAGUUAGUAUUCCAACACAUUAUAAAUCACCUUAAUCGGAUAUUCGGAGAGAAUGUUAUAUCCAAAAUAUUGAUGACUAAGCAAGGACAUAAUCAUGCGUGCACAAAAGGCAAUUUUCAUAUGUUAUUGCAACUCUUUUGGGAUCCAAUUUGGACAUGACUUUUGACCUAAUUUUGCCAUAUAGAAUACAUAACAUAAGCAUCCAUUAAAAGAUCUCUCUCUUAACUUUCAAAUUACAUCCCUAUCAUAAAAUCAUUUAAGAAUAGUGGGUAAAUUCAAUAUAAGUUGGAGAGUAGAAUAAAUCUUGUAAGAAAUUGAAUCAAGACACAUCAAAAACUUGAAGAAUCAAAUUUUGAGGUUGAUAAUUAAGAACAAGAGUUGGACCGUGACAAUUUCUUUCUUUUUUUCCUUUUUUUUUUUUGUAUUUAUAAAUUUCAGAUGAUGUUCUUCCAUUCUUCUUAUUGUUUUAUCAUUAGAAACAUAGUUAGCUAGGUUUCUUUGUGUUGAAUGAAAUUCAACUUUAUUGUUAUUUAUUUUAAAUUCAAGUUCCGAGUUAUUUAGUAAAUUUUUUCGUGAUUGAUCUCAUAUGCCUGCUGCAUUAUUUGAUUACUUGAUCACCAAUUAAAUAAUUAAUUACUUGUUGUAGUAGUGGAAUGCUCACAAUAGUUUUAAAAAACUAAAAUUUCAACACACAGGCGAUAGAUGUUAGGAAUAGCAUGUAUGUCAUAUGAAAUCUUGUCGACAAUCAUGUGAUUGAAUAAGUGUUAUGCAUAUAAAUUUGGAAUAGGAAGAUGAUUUGGUCGUGUUUAGGAUAUAAUUAACUUAUCUUGGAAAAUAAAGUUAAAUAAAAUUGAAUUACUGAUUGUCAUGUAUGCACAAAUUAUGUUAAAAUAUAUAUGUAGAGAAUUGAAAAUAAAAUAAUAAUAGGUGAAUUAGAAUUCCAACACAUACAACCCAUAUUUAGUUAGAAACAAUUGUAGAUAAUUUAGCUAUAACCAAAACAUCCCUUUUGUUAUUUACAUUCGAAUUUGAUAGCGAGUUGAUAAAUUUCAAUAUAAUGCUUAUUUCUCGUGGGACGAUACUCUUAAUUCACUUAAUCUAUUACUUGUCAACGACCACAUAUACUUGCGGAUUUUUUUGUCAGAACGAGUCUUUGGAGCUGUUGCACAGGAAUAAAGUUUUUAAACUCAAUUUAUUAAUUUGAACUGGAUUUAUUUUAUUAUUUUGUUAAUUUUAGCUAUCCAUCAUGAUCUCUCUUGUGUUUGGUGGUUUUUAUAUAAUACUCAAUAGUAUAUGUAUGAUUCUAACAAUUACAAGGGAGUAAAAUGGUUGUAAUAAGCAAUCUCGACAUGGAUGAUAAUAAUAUGCUUGUAGAAGAUAUAUAUUGUGAGCUUUUUUAUAAGAUGCAUUAUAUUGAGCAUUGUUUAUAAACAUGCCAGACUCUCGCAAGUUAAAGCUUCUGUAGUUUAUAAGAUGUCGAAAACAAAUAAUUGACAAAUAUAAUGAAAUCUACAUGAUUGUGGGAGAUUAUGCAUCUAUCGAUUGUGAUGAGGAUAUCAUACUUGUGGGAGAUGGUCCUCCUUUGUCGAAGAAAAAAGUACUUGCAGAAUAUUUUAAUAAACGUACCAAGUUGGAUGAUAGCAACACACAUGUGGGAGAUGGGAUAUACCGGCUUUAAUUUAAGAGGAAGGGACAUAAUUCACUUGAAACGGUUGAAAAUAAAGAGUUAUUAUUGCCCAUGGAUUUAGACUGGGAACCGACUAUUCAACCUUAAGGAACAUCAACUAUUAAAAAGAGCAUAAAGAGAAUGAUAAAUUAUUCACAAAGGAACUAAACAAAUAAGUGAUAAUUAAUGAAGAUAAAAUUAACAAACAUUCUUUCGACUUCAUCGAUUUCCCAACAAUUGAAUUUAUGAUUAAGUUUGAGGAGGAGGUACAAGUAUAAAUAGUUGAUUUUGAAAUGGAUAGAAUAGGCAAGUCUUAUCACAUUGAAAUAGGUAGUGUUUUAUUUGGAGAAUCAACGAAAAGUGGAUCCAAGUCAAAAGAAGCAAACUGUGCAAGGCAUUACAGGAUUUCUUUAGAAUUUCAUGGUGUAGGUUACCAAAGUCAAGCUAAUGACUACAAACAAGCGUUUAUUGGGAAGCAACCUGAUUUUCUUCCCUUUUAUUUAUUAUAAUUUCUAAAAUAAUAGGUUGAGUUAUUCCAUUUUACUAGAAUCAAAUCGACAAAAUGAGUUGGCAAAUUGUGAUUGGAUGAUUGAAAAAUGUUUUUUACCCAACUACCCAUGAAAUGCCGCUAGAUGUUAAUGUGGGUCAAUUAUGGUAAAAUCAAUCUAGUAAUGUAGUAUGACUCUAAUAGGUUAGAUAUUUUAAAUUGAUUUUGUGUGUUAGUUAGUAAUUUAAGUAUCUUCAUCCCUAUAUUGUCCUAUAGAUUGUUUUUGAGCUUAUUAUAAAUUAUUUCAUAUUAUUAUGAUUGAUUUCUCUUUAUUAUGUAGGAACAUGACAAUUGAAAAUGUAACUAACAAUGGAUAAGGAAAAUAUUAAUUGAUAUUUAUCGAUGUGAAUUUUGACACUCUUUAAGUUUAGCAUUAUAAAGGAAUGAGUUGAUUCAUAUUUGAUAGGUUGAAAACAGUGGCCUUAGAUGCUGAACAAAACAAUCACUAUAAUAUAUAUCCUUAAACAAAUUUUAGGAUGGUUUAGAGGAGAUUGAACUAUUGUAGGAAGAUAUUGAGAUGAAUUGGGAUUUUAUGUGUACAAACUCUUAUGUGAAUUGUCUAAGGCCAAUAAUAUGAAAAAUAGGUUAAAAUCUUGAGUUAAAGACUGCUUUAUGAGAAUGAGGGUUUAAUAAAGGGUAUUGUAUUGAUCAUUAUAUGGAAAGGGAAAAAACUACCAUGUCGUGAACCUACCCUGUAAAAGAUCCCAAAUGAGGACACUUGUUGAAAACACCAAAAAGAAAACUAAAAAAGGGGAUCAAGUUUGUGCAUGAAAUAGAAGACAUACUAAAUGUCUUGAUUAAGCCCUAAACAUUUAUUUGAGUGAAUUAGACAUUUGGAUAGGAAUUAUUAGAUAAGCUGAUUCUUAAAGGCUGAAACAAUCAAAAUAAAAAAGAAUCCCUAUUUCUUGAGCUAUUGACUUGCCAUUAGUAAGGUCUAUCCAAAUUCGAGAGUGCAAGAAUUAGUAUAUAAAUUCAUCCUUAGAAUAUAGCUUGGAAAUGUGAGUUAAAAGAAUAAGUUUCAGGGUGUGUAUCUUAAAAGUGAUAACCAAUAUGGGUUGUUAAAUGAAACAACUUAUGAAUUUAUGAUGUUUUACUUAAUUUUCCAUAUGCAUACAUCAAUUUUGCAUUGGAUAAGUAGAAAUUGAUUUAUGUAUUGUGAUUUUGAAGUUGUUCAUGAAUUUAAUACAAUGAUUAAAAAUAAGAGCAAAUGACAAGCUAUUAUUGCAUUACUUGAUUGACUAGCCACCAUUAUGUAAUUAGCAUUGCAUGCUUGUUCGUUGAUAAUAUUUAUUAUUAUUAUUAUUAUUAUUAUUAUUAUUAUUAUUAUUAUUAUUAUUAUUAUUAUUAUUAUUAUUAUUAUAUACUUAAUAGGCCAUUAAACUAGAAUAUUUUGUAUUACUUUUGAUAAAUAUAGUGUAACCUCUUGUAUUUUUCAUUUAUUAGAAACAACUCAAUGACUUGAAGUGAAUUUGGAAGAAUGAACAUAAUAUUGGUGAAAUGGAUGAAACUCAAAGUUCACGGAUCAAAUUGCAAUUAUCUAUAGUUGAUUUGGAUCACAAAUCGAUAAAGGAGAUUGUUAGGGUCAAUUGGAUGCAACAAAAAGUCAAAAAGGAAUGAAAUAUAAUAAAAGGAUAUUCACAAAUCAAUUUCCAACCUAAAUCAAUUUUCAAAUGAUUCACUUGAUCAGUAAGAAAUCCAAUCUGACUAACAAACACCUAAUUCUUGUUCUUUUUCAAGUUCAUGUUUUUUCUUUUGUUCAAGUACCGAUGACAUCUAGGGCAGAUAUGACCUAACUCACAACAAUGAUAGCAUGUAGGGAUAAACCAAGGACCUGUGUUAUCUGAGCGCUGACGCCUAUUCCUAGGUCGACUGGCUCUAUGCUUUCUAGUAGACCUCUGUUCUACAGAUCCCUUGUCUUUAGGUUCAGGGUUAGGUACAUUUUUAGGCUGGUUUGUGGCAGGGACAAAUGUGUCUUGGAUGUGCUAGCAACAUUAUGAUUUUUACACUUUUAUCCCAGACUUCCCUUAUUGCCAGUCGGCUUACCCAUUCCUAGAAUAUUAUCUAACUGUAACGAACCACAAGUGAAGGCAAGCAGUUGAGACUUAGAAUGUUCUAGAUUGCUCACAAGGUUUUUAAAUUGGAUUUCUAAAGUCUCAUUCUUGGUGGUCAGCUCAUUAACUUUCCAAGAGGGCCUCUUGAGCUCACUGGUAAGAUUUUUAACCUAAGACUCUAAGGAUUCAUUCAUCAUUUUAAGUUCACUCAGGAUUGUGGAAGAUUCCUUAGUGUAUGCUACUAACUUCUCUUUCUCCAACUGAAGCUCCUUAACUGUCAUACUUAAGGUGUUGUUCUUACUAAGAAUUUUAAGACUCUACUGAUACAUUUUCUCAUAUGCCUCUUUAAUAUCUUCAUCAUUUACAGACUCAUCACAAGAAUUCUCACCACUAUCUAUGUCCUCAUCCCUCUCAUUCCCAUGUUUGGAUCCACUCUUAACCCUAUCAAUGAAGGCAACAUAUUUUCCACUUUCCACACGAGUGGAUUUUUCACUCUGAUUGUCCGAGCAAGACUCGUCAUCAGUGAGAGUAGUAUUCAUAGGCUUCUCUUCGACUUUCUUAGAAUUAGGGCACUCUUUCUUAACAUGACCUAUACCUUAACAAUUAUAGCGCCUCAAAAAUUUGGAUCUUCUCCUAGAUUCACUCGCACCACAUCUCGAUCUCUCUUGCAGUGUCUUAUUCCUAAACAUCUUAUGAAAUUUUUUAGCUAGGUAGGUCAUCUCCUCAUCAUUGGGUAAAUCUUAGUUUGAAGAUUCGAUCUGAUAAUUCCUAGCAGAUUUGAAGGCCAAGGGCUUUUCCUUAGCUAAGUUGCCUACAAUCAGCUCAUAGGUCUGGAUGGAUCCAACUUGCUCUUCUAGCUUAAUAGUCUCUAUCUCCUUACUUUCCUCAAUUGCCGUGACUUUAGGCCUAAAAUGCUUGGGUAAGGAUCUAAGGAUUUUUCUCACUAUUUUAGGCUUGGAGAUUUUCCUACCUAGGUUGAAAGAUGAAUUCACAAUGUCGUUUAGGCAUGCAUAGAAUACAGCAAGGUCUCAUCCUGAUCUCUUCAAACCUAGUAGCCAAUAUCUGCAAUUUCAAGUUCUUAACUGCUUGUGUUCCCUCAUGUGUGAUUUCUAAAAUAUCCCAAACUUCUUUCACUACCUCACACAUGGACACUCUCCUAAAUUCCUCAAGAAAAUAUCCAUAAAAAUGGUAUAAAAGGCUUUUCUAUUCCAGCUGUACCUAUCUAGUUCAGCCUUAGACCAAUUUUCUAUGGGGAUGGGAGUAAUGACAUUGCCAACCAUUGUACUAGGAAUAGACCUACCGUUAACUACGCUCAACCAAAUCUUUUAAUCCAUAGAUUUCAAGAACACCCUCAUCCUAAUUUUCCAGUAGGCAUAAUUAUUACCAUCAAAAUAGGACGGCACGCUCAACAAGAUACUCAUUUGGACAAUGAAUGGUCAGGAAACAUGUUUAGGCACUGAUACCACUUUUUGAGAAUUUGUAACAUUCUAAUAUCACUUUAAGUUUUAGAGUUACCAAUUUUACGUUCUAGAUUACCGAUUAGUUUGACUUUACGUGCGGAAUUGACUAAUUAAAGCAAACACGUCACUUCUAAUUAGUUUCUAGAUGAUUAAGCAUAUAAUUCAAUUAAACCUAUGUUUGAUUACAACAAUUUGUAAUAAAUUACUAGAAAUUAAAGAAUACAAAAUUUGAUGACGGAGAAACCCAAUGUGGGAAAAACUUCGGGAUCAAGCCAGUUACUUCCACUAUAGACAGCUCAGGGGAUACACAACAAUUUCAACUCUUGUAUCCACUAAGACCCCCUGUCACAGUCUUACGAUCUACUUCCGUAAAUACCUCUAGCCUGCUAGACCUCCUGUAGCCUCCUGCUAGACUUCCUAAUCUAUCUUCUGCACUGAAUGUCUCUCCAAGUGGAACACUCUGUUCUUGUGCUUGUAACUGCGCUUCUAUCCACCUCUCUCACUUCUCCAAUGAGAGAGUCCCUUGCUUUAUCAAUUAAGGAAGCACGGUGUUUUGUAUUCACAAGCCUUGAUGUUUUCUCAUUUCUAGGUUACUAGAUCACAAGAUGAAUGUGUUUGAUUCUCCCAAUUGUAUUUCGUUCUUGGAUCACAAUGAUGAUAUGAAAGUUAUGGAGAUGAAGAAUAAUGUGGCAAAACCCCUCUCUCACAUCCCAGACUUUGCUUUUUAUAAUUGGGGGUAAAUAAGUGUCUUGGGCCGAAUGAAAUUAUCCAAAACACGGUCUAGGAAUUGGCCACGUAACACUGUCAUUCGAGCAACACUUCAGCAAGAAGUGAGUGAUAGCUUCUUCGCUCAAACGAUUCCUGGGCGAACAAUGAGGGACGAUGGUUCUGCUUCCUCCGCUCGAGCAAUACCUUGGCUAGUAGCUAGCGAAAAAAUCGACGAGUCUUCUACCUUGUUCCAAACUCAACCCUAGCCUAAACCAUCUAUACAAAUUGCAAUCCAAGUCACUGACUUUUACAUCAUGUUCAAUUUAGUCCCUUUUGUUCAUAGAGUUACCAAUUACAAUAUAAAACCUAGCACUCUUACCUUUCAAGUUACAUCCAUAUUAUAAAAUCAUUCAAGAAGAAGGACAAAUUCAAUAUAUAUUGGAGAGAAGAACAAAUCUAGCACGGGAUUGAAUCACAAAACAUUAGGAACUUGAAGAAUCAAAUCUUGGGAUUGAUAAACAAGAACAAGAAUUGUACCAUAACUUCUCCUUUUUGUAUUUAUAAAUUGGAUAACCCUUGUGGUGCAUCACCCUUGGUACACAAGGGUGUCCACCUGUACCCAUAGAUCAACCCUUAUAAAUUUCGGGUGAAGUUCUUCCGUCAUUCUUUUUGUUUUAUCAUUAGAAACAUGUUUAGAUAGGCUUGUUUGUAUUGAAAGAAGAUGAACCUUAUUAUUAUUUAUUUUUAAUUCAAAGACCAAGUAGUCUAUUAAAUUUGUUUUCUUGAUUGAUCCUAUAAGCUUAUUGCAUGUUUUAAUUGCUUGAUCACUAAUUAAAUAAUUAGUUGCUUGUUGUCGUGUUGGAAGUCUAACAAUAGGUUUAGAACACAAAAGUUUCUACGAAUGAGCAAUAUAUGCUAGAAACAAAUGUAUGUCGUGUGAAAUCUUGUUGAUAAUCGUAUUAUUAAAUGCAUGCUAUGUAUAUAAAUUUGGAAUAUGAAUAGAACCGGGCUGUGUUUAGCAUAUAACUAGCUUAUCUUGGAAAAGAGAGUUAAAUAAGUUUGGAUUAUCGAAUCUAGUGCUUACAAAAAUAAUGUUCAAUUAUAUUGGUCAAGAAUUGGAAAUAAAAUAAUAAUAGUUGAAUUGGAAUUCCAGCACAUACAUCCCAUAUUUAAUUAGAAACAUUUGUAGAUAAUUUGGCUAUAACCAAAUCAUUCAUUUUGUUAUUUACAUUUGAAUUUGAUAACGAGAUCAUAAAUUUCAAUUUGAAACUUAUUCUUUGAGGAACGAUACUCAUAACUUACUUAAUCUAUUACAUGUCAACGAGCCCGUAUGCUUGCGGGUUUUGUCUGAACAUGUACUACAUAAGUAAAGCCCUUCAAAAAGCCGAGGCAAGAUAUAUGAAUAUUGAAAAGAUGGCCCUCGCCUUAGUUAUAGCGUUGCAAAAGUUUUGACCAUAUUUUUGGAGUCACAACAUUGAAGUACUAACUAAUUUCCUAAUCAAGCAAGUAAUGCAAAAACUUGAUGCAUUAGGGAGAUUAUUGAAAUGUGCUGUAGAGCUGAGUCAAUUUGAAAUAAGAUACAAAAGCGAUCCGCAAUCAAAGAACAAGAAUUAGUUGACUUUAAUGUGGAAUUGUAAAUUGUUACCGUUCUUGAGGAAGAGUAUGAAGAGUGAAUGUGAAAUUUAUUUGAGGAUAGAUCAUUUGGAGAAAUCGAUUGUGGAAUAGUCAUAAUCUUGACAAGCCGAAAAUGACAUUAAAUGAAUCGUGUAUUAAGGUUCACAUUUUAAAGAAAUCAACAACGUGGCUGAAUAUGAAGCUUUAUUGGUAGGUUUACAACUGGAAAAAGAAAUGUGAGCUAAAAAAAUAAAAUUAAAAAGUUACUCAAGAUUGGUAGUAAAUAAAGUGAAAUGAAAGUUUACAACCAAGGAUAAAAUAAUAGUUGUUUGCUGUGUAGAAGACAUAAGAUCAUUUCAGUGUUUCAACAAGUUCAAAUUCAAUCAAAUCUAUAGAGAGGAGAAUAAAUACACGAUGCCUUGUUGAAAUUGGCAAGUUCAGAGGACACAUAAACUAUUUAAGACAGAACGUGAUGUGAACCCGAUCAGCAAUGUUGCAAUCAAGCCCACAGAGGAAUGACUCAAACCCCAAAAAAGAUAGAAAACAAAGUUUAUGGAAUUAACCCACAAUUAAUGAAUCAAACAACCAACAGAAUCACUAGGAUAUGCUGACCUUUUGAUUACAAUAUUUAUGAAAAUCAAAUCCAAAAUUUAAAGUUUGACUCGAAGAAUUAAAUGAACCAGAAACCAAGACAAUUACUAGAAUACCUUGACCCCAUGAUUGCACAACCCACGAAUCGCACUUUGAUUGUUGAACGCCUCGAGAGAUUCUCGAUAAGUUUGGAAUUGUUCGCGAAGAACAAAGAAAGGAAGUAAACAUGCCUCUGAAUUAAUUCAAUUGUCAAAAGUCUGAAUACAACUAGAAACAAAAUCCUAUUUAUACUAAGCCCUAAAAUGAAUGGAAAAAUGUGCAAAUAGAGUCCUAAAAACUAUAAAGUUGCCAAAAUAGGAAAUUUAGUAAAAUUAAAAGUCUCACGAAAAAAAAAAAUCCUAUUUAAAUAUGUUGCUCAAGCGACAUCGAGCGAGAAGCGAGGGACGCUAUGUUGCCCGAACAAAACCCCCACGAAGAGUGAGCGAAGUUGAUUUUACUUUUCUCGCUCGAGCGAGGUUCCAGCGGACGGCGAACGAAAAUUUGGCAAGUUUUUAACCUCGUUCCAAAUUGUUUUAAUUGCUUCUUUGACCCUCGAACUUUCACUAACAUGCUUCUUAACUUGUAAACUUCAUCUCACUGAAUUCCAACACUUGAACAAGUAAUUGUAUGGCUCGUACCCCCUCUAAUUAGCCUCGAUCAUGCCCUUUGCAGCUUCUCCAUGAACACUGAAUUCUUGAUCACCUUCGGCCUAGCCCAGUUCACACAGACCCUUUCUCUUCAAGAGGUGGUUCAAAGACUUUGCAACUUCCAUCUGCUUGGCCAUAACUCAGUUCUUGAUUGUGACUUCGAUAUUCCACCAGGUUGUUGUAGAAUGAUUCUCCCAUGCUCAUAAAAUCCUCCAAUGGCAAUACAUAAACUGGAUAUUCAAAUGGGAAUAUUCCUUUGGCAAAAUCUUCAUGCAAUAACAUUUUAUAAUCCUGCAACAAAGAAUUAUGAAAACUGGGGAGGGAUAUGUUAGCCUUUACCAACUCACUUCCACCACCAAGCUCACUCUUCUUUACAAAUAAGAUCUCCUUUCGUUUGUCUUUCACUUUUCCCUCAUCGCCUUUCAACCUCAACUAAUCAUCAUACCUAUUUCUAUUCCCAUCAUGCUUCACCUUCCUAUCGUAUUGCUAAGGCCUACCCAAUAAGAUAUGCCCCGCAUCCAUUGGCACAACGUCAUACAAUACCUUAUCCUUAUACCUCCCAAUUGACAAAUUAACCAACAGCCUCCUAUUAACCUUAACUUCUCCUUUAUCAGCUAACCAUUGCAAUUUAUAAUGUUUUGGGUGUUUUUAUCAUCUCUAAUCCCAACUUUUUUACAAGUGUGUAACUAGCUAUAUUUGUACAACUACCCUCAUUAAUAUUCAAGUUGCAUACCUUAUCAUUGAUGUGGCACCGUGUAUGAAAGAUAUACUUUCGAUGCUCUUCUCCGUCAACCUUGAUUUUUGCUUUGAGUGCACGCAUCAAGACAAGCGCUUCUCCUUCAACCGGAUAUUCCACUACAUCACCAUUACUAACUUCUUCCAACUUAGGCAUUUCUUUCUCAUCACUGUCACUCACCACUUCUCCACUAUCCUUCAAGCUCAUAGCUCGUUUGUUUGGACACUAGGAAGCAAUGUGUCCUGUUCCCAAGCACUUGAUGUCUUGACUCCUAGGUUGUGGUGGUUCUGCCUUCAGUUCAACCUUGCUGGCAUUGUCAUCCAUUCUCCUAGGUGGUUCAAUUUUAUUGCUGCCACUAGCCCCACCAACCUUUUCUUCAUCCCAUCUAGACCUCCACUAUGAAUUAGGCCCUGUUUGACCUCUAGCUGCCCCCUUUUGCUUCAACUGCCUUUCAACCUUCAUCGCCACAUGUAGCCUAUCCUCCAAUUCCACAUAAUGCUGUAAUUCAACAACAUUGGAGAUGUCUCUGUUUAACCCAUUCAAAAAAUGAGCCAUAGUGGCUUUCCUAUCCUCCUCCACAUUAGCCCAAAUAAUUAGAAUUUUCGUUCCUUUGAGGUAAUCUUCCACACUCCUCGACCCUUGGUACAACCCCUACAACCUUUGAUGAAGCUCUCUAUAACAGUUGUUAGGAAAAUAUUGUAAUUGGCAAUCUGUGACCAAAAGGACCAAUUUGUCAAGUUUGUGAAGUCAAGGACUAAUUUGUAAAGGUCUAAAAGUUCAGUGACUUGUGUUGCAAUUUAGCAAAAAUUAUGGUAUAGGUCUAGGGUAAAGUUGGGUGCCUUGAAGAUGAAAACGGCGCAAGAUCACUUAGAGUUUCGCCUUAACCUCGCUCGAGCUUAAAUAACAGAACCUAUCUCGCUAGAGUUUCGCCACUGCUUCGCUCGAGCGAAAAUGCGCCGCUAGAGUUUCGCCGGCACUUCGCUCGAGCGACAGUACUAUCUAACUUUUGGUAAUUUUCCUUCCUUGCAAUUUUUAGAUGCUCCAUACUGCCAAAAAUGACCUCAUAUAUAUUCAGAAGUCCCAUUUUUCAUACAUAACCUUUGGAAAAACACAAUUGAAAGAUUUUUCUUCUCGACCAAAGGAUCAACUUCAUAAUUCCUUCUUUUCAUCACAUGUCUUAUUGAAGAAAAACAUCAAACAUCUCUUAAAACAAAACACCUUUCAAAAAUCCUCACUACUUCCAGAAGAUUGACUGAUUGAAGAUUCGGGAAGGAGAUUGAUUGAAGAACUGGAGUUCUUAUUGAUUCACGGGAAAUAGAAGAAGAACAAGGCUGGGAUUUUGGGGCAGAUCUGUAAAAUCCAGGAGAGCUUUUGUUGAUACAGUAAGGAUGUCAGAGUGUUGCUAGAUACAGUCAUGUCUGGCGUACUGUAAGUUGAAGUCAUCUAUAGUGAAUCCCUACUGGCUUGUGCCAAGAGUUUUUACCCAGUUGGAUUUUCUCCGUCAACAAUUUAUUGAGUUAUUUAUUACUUUAUGUCAUUUUUAAUUCAACUGGAAAUUCAACAUAGGUAGUUAAAUUAUGUGAAUGAAUCUGGACAAAGUUUAAUUUAUGUGACUUGUUGCAUAAGUUGAUUGAAUUGUUAAAAUCCACAUAAACACCUAUUCACCCCCCUCUAGGUGUUGUUUGGGUCGAACUAUAGUCUUUUCAAGUGGUAUCAGAGCCAAAUCUCGAGUCCUGACCCAUAGUUGUCUAGAUGAGUCAAUCACUUUCUGUACCUCCGUACUUUGACGGAAGUAAUUAUGCUUACUGGAAGGUUAGAAUGCGUGCAUUUCUUAAGUCUCUAGAUGAGCAUGUUUGGGUGAGUGUGCAAAAUGGCUGGAAACCUCUCUCCACUACCGUAUCAGGAACUAUUAAUCUUACUGAUAUAUCACUAUGGACUAAGGAUGAGAUAGCUGAGUGUAAUUGGAAUAGCAAGGGACUUCAUGCCUUGUUUAUGGCCGUGUCUCCCGAAGAGUUUAGGAGAGUGUCAAUGUGCGAAACUGCUAAAGAAGUUUGGGACAUUGUUGAAACUACAUAUAAGGGAACUAAAAUGGUAAAGAACUCGAAAUUACAAAUGCUAGCUUCUAGGUUUGAAGAAGUAAGGAUGAAGGAUGAUGAAACCUUUGAUGAAUUUUAUGCAAAACUGAAUGAUAUUGUUAAUUCUAGUUUCAAUCUAGGCGAGAGAAUUCUCGAUUCUAAAAUUGUUAAAAAAGUACUUAGGUCUUUGCCCGAGAGAUUUAGGCCUAAAGUUACCGCCAUUGAGGAAAGUAAGGAUCUAGAUGAAGUUAAGAUUGAAGAACUUGUAGGGUCCUUGCAAACUUAUGAACUCACUGUCACACAACCUAAGAAAGGAAAGUCCAUUGCUUUAAAAUCCAUCAAAGAGGAUGAAUCUUCUGAUACUGAGUCUCUUAGGGACGAUGAAUUGCAUAUUUUAUUAAGAAAUUUCAAAAGGUUCUCAAGAAUAGGAGAAAGCAUCAGGAUAGAAAAAGUGGAGACCCUAGCAGAUUCUGAAAGGAAAAAAUUGAAAGGUUCAACAAUAAAGGUUCUAGUGAUAAACCACAUUUGGUUAGGUGCCAUGAAUGUCAAGGUAUAGGUCACUAUAGGAAUGAGUGUCCUAGUUAUAAGAAGAAUCAAAGAAAAGGGAAAGGUAAGGCCUUAGUUGUUUCACUUAUAGAUAACGAAUCUUAGUCUAGUGAUAGGUAGGAAUCAUCUAGUAGUGAAGAUGAAGGGAACUAUAUAACAUUUGUGUCGACUGUUAAGAGUGAAUCUGAUAAGGAGAGUGACAAGGUUGAGGAAGAACUUCACAACAAUAAUUCUAGUAAUGAGGAUGAGGAUGAUAUAGACAUGCAAGAGGCCUAUCAACUCUUGUUCAAGGAGAGUCUUAAAAAAAAAGGUCAAUAAAGCCCUACUCAAAAAGGUUGAUGAACUUGAAAGAGAAAAAGAGAGACUUGCUAGUAAUCUUCAGAAUUCACUUAAGAGUGUUAGUGAGUUAAAAUGUGUCAAUGAGAAGUUAGAAGACAAGGUUAAGACAUUGACUAGUGAAUUGGAGAAAUCUAAUGCUCAUCUUCAGACUUUCAUAAGUGGGACUAAGAAAUUGGAUGAUAUUUUAGGAAUGAAUAGGCCUGCGGGAGAUAGGAAAGGUCUAGGAUAUGUUGAGGAUAAUACACAUAUUGCUAGUCCAUCUAGGACUGUAUUUAUUUCUGCCUCUAUGACGUCUAACGUUGUCAGCAAUCCAAAUAAGGGUAAGAAUGUUUCGAGGGAACAGAGUCAUCAAUCAUGAAGGAAUAUCAUGCCCAGAUACCCACAGACACGUACUUUUGAGCCUAGGUUCAUUUCCACCUGUCACCACUGUGGAGCUCUAGGACACACUAAGCCUAGAUGUUAUAAGUUAGGCAAUGAGCGUAGAAAUCAGAAUAUUCCUAGUCAGGUUAGCUUUCUGUCUAAUCAAGUUAGUCAUUUGACUGAGAUGCUCACUAAGCUAACUAGGAGUACCUCAUCGUCUAAGAAAGUUUGGGUUAAAAAGGGGGAUCUAGCUGGACAUUCAGGUCAGGUAAAUUGUUAUGUUGCUCAUGUUGCAUUAAAAGCCCAAAAUUACAAUAUGUGGUACCUUGAUAGUGCAUGUUCUAGGCAUGUGUGGUAAAAAAGGCUUUAUUCACUACUCUUGAUGAAUGCAAUGGGGGUAUGGUUACCUUUGGAGAUGGGGGUUUUGCACCUAUUCUUGGCAAAGGUACUGUACAAAUGCAUGGAUUACCUGUGAUUUCAAAUGUACUUUAUGUGAUAGGUUUAAAGUCGAACUUAUUAAGUAUUAGUCAGAUUUGUGAUGCUGAUUUUGAGGUUAGCUUUGUGCAAAAGAGAUGUACCGUGUAUGAUUCAUCUAGUGGGGUGGUCCUUGAAAAUGCUAGAACGUCUAAUAACUGUUAUACCUAAUUCUAACUAUGUGUGUAGGAGUGCAAAAAUUGAUGUGAGUGAACUCUGGCACAAAAGAUUGGGUCAUUUAAACUAUAAGAGUCUAGUACAGCUAGCUAAAAAGGAGUUGGUAGAUGGUUUGCCUAAAAUAGGUCCUAGUGAAAAUGUUGUGUGUGGACCAUGUCAAAUAGGUAAACAACUUAAGGGAAGCCAUAAAAAGACUUCUAAAAUUCGGACCAAAAGACCCCUGGAAUGGAUACACAUGGAUUUAAUGGGACUAUCUAGGACUGAGAGUCUAGGAGGUAAGCGGUAUAUUUUGGUUGUGGUAGAUGAUUUCUCGAGGUUCACAUGGAUAGAAUUGUUUAGGGAAAAAUCUGAUGCAUGUGAUCUUAUAAAAUCUUUGUGUAAACGGCUUAGUAAUGAACUCAAUCUCAAAGUGUCCAGAAUGUGUAGUGAUCAUGGAAAAGAGUUUGAAAAAUUUAAUCUUGAGAGUUUCUGCAUGGAUGAAGGGAUACUACAUGAGUUCUCUUCCCCUAUCACUCCUCAACAAAAUGGGGUGGUUGAAAGAAAGAAUCGUAUUCGUCAGGACAUGGCUAGAGCCAUGCUUCAUGGCAAGGGACUAGCCUUACAUUUUUGGGGAGAAGCUGUUAAUAAUGCAUGCCACAUAAUCAAUAGAGUCUACCUUAGACCCAAAAUCGAUCAGACUCCAUAUGAAAUUCUAAAGGGUAAAAAGCCUAUUGUUAAAUACUUUCGUGUGUUUGGGAGUAAGUGCUACAUUUUGCAUGAUAGAGAGAACUUGAGUAAGUUUGAAUCUAAGAGUGACGAAGGAAUUUUCUUAGUGUACUCUAGAAAUAGCUGAGCAUUCCGAGUAUAUAACUCACGUACUCGUGUUGUGAUGGAGUCAGUCAAUGUUGUGAUAGAUGAUAGUGUGAGUGAAGGGGAGAAUGUUGAAAAUUGUGAUAGGAUGGACGAUAGAAACGGUGAUCUUAUAAGGUCUAGUGAUCCUACUGAACCACCUGUGUCUGAAUCAUCUCUUAGAAUACCUGAAACACCUGAAAGGGAAACACAUCCACAAGAUCGAGACAAAAAUCCUAAGGAACCAUCGUCUAGGGUCAAGUCCAAUCAUCCUAAGGACAAUAUCAUUGGGGAUCUAGAUGAAGGUAUGAGGCUUCGUAAGAGGGUACUGAACAAUCUAGCGUAUACUAGCUAUGUUUCACAGGUUGAGCCCAAGAAGGUCGAAGAGGCGAGUGUUGGGUGAAUGCAAUGCAUGAGGAACUAAAUCAAUUUGCUAGAAACAAUGUGUGGAUUUUAGUUCCUAGACUUGAAAACUGUAAUGUUAUUGGUACUAAGUGGAUCUUUAAGAACAAGAAAGAUGACCAAGGUACUAUACCAGAAAUAAGGCCAGAUUAAUUGCUCAGGGUUGUACUCAAGUUGAGGGAAUUGAUUUUGAUGAGACUUUUGCUCCUGUUGCACGACUUGAGUCCAUUCGGAUUCUGCUUGCUGUUGCCUGUACCCUAAGGUUCAAGCUUCAUCAAAUGGAUGUUAAGAGUGCCUUCUUGAAUGGACUUCUUCAAGAAGAAGUCUAUGUUGAACAACCAAACGGAUUUGUUGAUCCAAAGUUUCCCCACUAUGUCUACAAACUCCACAAAGCACUCUAUCGUCUAAAACAAGCUCCUAGAGCUUGGUAUGAGAGACUUACGUCAUAUCUUGAGGAACAUGGGUUCUCUCGAGGUGGUGCUGAUAGGACUUUAUUUAUUAGACAUAUUGAAGAAACUAUCACUAUUGCCCAAAUUUAUGUCGAUGUCAUCAUUUUUGGUUCUCCUGUUAAGUCUCUAGCGUAUGAGUUCGCCGAGUGUUUGAAGCAAGAAUUUGAGAUGAGUAUGGUUGGUGAGUUGAAUUACUUCCUUAGACUUCAGGUCAAAUAGAUUGAGGAUGGGUUGUUUAUUUCACAGUCUAAGUAUGCAAAGGAUUUAGUUAAGCGCUUUGUGUUAGACAGUAAGAAGCAUACUAGGACACCUAUGAGUACUAGCUUGAAGUUAGGUCGUGAUCCUUCAGGUAAGAGUGUAGAUCCUUCACUAUAUCGAAGUAUGAUAGGUAGUCUUCUCUAUCUCAUAGCUACUAGACCUGACAUUGCUUUCAGUGUUGGAGUGUGUGCUCAAUUUCAGGCAGAUCCCAAAGAAUCACACUUAAGCUCGGUUAGACACAUCAUUAGAUAUGUGAGUGGUACCGUUGAUCUAGGCAUUUUCUAUUCUAGAGAUUCUAAUCUUGAUUUGGCUGGCUACUCUGACGUCGAUUGGGCCGAGAAUGUAGAUGAUAGAAAAAGUAUGUUUGGGAGCUGUUUCUACAUGGGUAGCAAUCUCGUAGUCUGGUUAAGUAAGAAACAAAUUCCAUAUCCCUAUCCACGACAGAGGCCGAAUACAUAGCAGCUAGGAGUUGCUGCACUCAGCUUCUCUGGACGAAGCAGAUGCUGAGUGAUUAUGGGAUUAAUCAAGGGACCAUGACUAUUUUCUAUGACAAUACCAGUGCUAUAAAUAUCUCUAAGAAUCCUAUUCAACAUUCUCGAAUGAAAUAUAUUAACAUACGACAUCAUUUUAUUCGUGAACUUGUUGAAACACAUGUUGUCUCCCUAGAUCAUGUCUCUACUGACAACCAAUUGCCCAAUCUACUUACGAAACCACUAGAUGGGUUGAGGUUUGAGUCGUUUCGGACGGCUGUUGGUAUUUGUUUGCCUAUCUGAUCAUGGAUUCAUGCCUAUUCAUGCAUUUAUCACAUCUACACUUAUUCACUUCAUAUCUUGCAUGUGAUCAAUGUGUGUGUGGUGCAUUUUGAUUGUUGGUUCGUCUUUUAGUUUUGUUUUGUUUACUAAGUUUGUGUGCUUUACAAAAAAAAAAAAAAAAAGGAUUUUCUUUUUGUGUGCCUCUUGUGUGACUUUAUGACGUUUGCAUUUAGAAUUAAACUCUAUCUUUCAUCAUAUGUACGAGUCUGAGGUUCCAUCGUAGUUCUCAUUUUCUGUGGAGUUCUUGGUAUAUGGCUCAUUAUGCAUUUUCACACAACACACUGUAGUUCUGUAGGUGAGUCUUGACCACAUGGGUGAGACUUGGGAUGGUAUUCUUCUGUGAUUGGGGUUGUUUGUCCAUUUGACUUGAUCUGUGGCGAGUGUAACCUAUUCAAUUCUGUCUUUCCCCAUUUUCUAUGUUAUUAUCUGAACUUAUGUCUAUCUUCGGGGUCUAUUUGACUCGAACAAUUAAGCCUUAGGGGGUUCUAACCUGGUGCCCUAUGGUCAUUUGGCUUGGGAGUCACCGGCCUAAAGUUCGUUACCGGGGUCAUUUCUAUCGCCUAAUGAGGGUACAAUUACACCUAAGUUCUUAUGUUAUAUAUAUAAAAUUAAAUGCUGCCUCAUUAAAACCUUGCUAAGAAAAUUCAAUGGGACAAAACCUAAGCGAAGGAAAAAGAGUACAGCUACUCCCCCUGAUGUUGCUCACAGAAAAUCUUUGAGUCGGUGCAUUCAAAUCUCAUGAACUAAUUUCUUGAAUGUAGAUGUUGGCAGUGCUUUUGUGAAUAGAUCAACCACAUUGUCACUUGAGCGAAUUUGUUGAAUAUCAAUGUCACCAUUCUUCUGAAGUUCAUGUGUAUGAAAGAAUUUUGGAGAAAUAUGCUUCGUCCAGUUGCCUUUGAUAUAGCCUCCCUUGAGUUGUGCGAUACAAGCUGCAUUAUCUUCAAACAAAAUUGUUCGACUAUCUUUUGUUGAAGUCAAUCCACAUGAUGAUUGGAUAUGAUGGGUCAUAUUCCUCAACCAUACACAUUCUCGCCCUGCUUUAUAGAUUGCAAUAAUCUCAAAAUGAUUUGAGGAUGUUGCUGUCAAGGAUUGCUUCAUAGAUCUCCAUGAUAUAGCUGUUCCUCCACGUGUAAACACAUAUCCUAUUUGUGAUUUAGCUUUAUGUGGAUCGGAGAGAUAACCUGCAUCUGCAUAUCCCACUAAAGCAGAUCCUGACUUUUGAGAAUAAAAUAGUCCCAUAUCAAUAGUACCUUUUAGGUAACGAAAAAUAUGUUUAACACCAUUCCAAUGCCUUUGAGUUAGUGUAGAGCUAUAUCUUGCAAGGAGAUUUACAGAAAAAGCUAUGUCAGGUCGAGUGCAAUUUGCAAGAUAAGUUAAUGCUCCAAUUGCACUAAGGUAUGGUACUUCAGGACCAAGAAUCUUUUCUCCAUCUUCAAGUGGACGAAAUGAAUCGUUUUUAACAUCAAGUGAUCGAACAACUAUAGGUGAUGGCAAUGGAUGUGCAUUAUCCAUAUAAAAGCGUUUCAAGACUUUUUCUGUAUAAGUAGAUUGAUGAACAAAUAAUCCCUCUGGAAAAUAUUCAAUUUGUAAUCCAAGACAAAAUUUGGUUUUCCCCAAAUCUUUCAUCUCAAAUUCAUUUCUCAAAUAAUCUGCAAUUUUGUUGAGCUCUUCAGGAGUUCCAAUUAAAUUUAAAUCAUCAACAUAAACUGCCACAAUUGUAAAUCCAAUAUUUGUUUUCUUUAUGAAAACACAUGGGCAGAUAUCGUCAUUUUUAUAACACUCUUUCAACAAAUAUUCGCUAAGGCGAUUAUACCACAUGCGUCCAGAUUGUUUCAAUCCAUAUAAUGAUUUUUGCAAUUUAAUUGAGAACAUAGUUCUCGGACAUGUAUAAUUUAUUCCUGGCACCUUAAAUCCUUCAGGGACUUUCAUAUAUAUGUCACUGUCAAGUGAACCAUAUAGGUAGGCAGUUACUACAUUCAUAAGGCGCAUAUCGAGCCCUUGUGACACGGUUAAACUAAUUAAGAACCUAAAGGUGAUGGUAUCCAUUACGGGAGAAUAUGUUUCCUCAUAAUCAAUUCCCAGUCUUUGGGAGAAACCUUGAGCCACUAGUCGGGCUUUAUAUCUUGUAAUUUCAUUAUUCUCAUUUCUCUUUCGUACAAAAACCCAUUUGUAUCCAACAGCGAUUACAUUUUCAGGUGUUCGAACUACUAGUCCAAACACUUCUCGUUUCUCCAAAGAAUUCAAUUCUGCCUGUAUGGCUUUCCAUUUUGGCCAAUCAUUUAUAUUUCGACAGUCAUCAACAGACUGUGGUUCAGGAUCCUCAUUUUGCAUAAUAUCAAAAGCCAUGUUAAAGGCGAAAAUAUUGCCUAUAACAAUAUUAUUCCAUUCCCAUAAUUUAUGAGAUGUCAUAUAAUUUAUUGAGAUCUCAUUAUUUUUGGACACCUUUAGUUUUUCAGGAACCGUACAUUCAAUAUUUGAUUGAUCAAUCUUUUCUAAUGUGAUUUAUUCUGAAGUUUUUGGUUAGUUUUUCUCUUGUACUCUUCUUUUUCGAGGUACAGAGUCUUUUGAACCAACUGGUCGACCACGCUUCUGGCGUAUUUGAGAUUCAUUUGCUACAGCAGAUUAUCUUGGAGGGACAUUAAUUUUUGCUGGAAUAUUUUCUGCUGGAAUAUAUGACUUUGUCAUUUCUCUCGUGUCAACAAAUACAUCAGGUAGUUGAAUUGCAACUCUUUGCAAAUGAAUGAUUUUUUUCAACCUUUUGUUCACAUUGAUUGCUGCUGGGAUUAAAGUGAGAUAGAGUUGUCUCAUUCCAAGAAAUUCUAUCUUGUUUUUCAGGAUGUACUUUUUCUCCUCCCAAAGUUGGGAAAGUCAUUUCAUCAAAAUGACAAUCUGCAAAACGUGCAGUAAAUAAGUCAUCCAUUAAAGGUUCAAGAUAUCUAAUAAUAGAUGGUGAAUUAAAACCCACAUAAAUGCCAAGUUUUCGUUGGGGACCUAUUUUAGUACGUUUUGGGGGUAAAAUAGGAACUUGGAUAGCACAACCAAAAACCCGUAGGGGAGAAAUAUCAGGUUCAUGACCAAAUGCAAGUUGCAAAGGUGAAUAUUGAUGAUAGGCAGUUGGUCUUAUACGAACCAAUGAUGCAACAUAUAAUAUGGCAUGACCCCAAACAAUAGUUGGGAGUUUUGUUUUCAUAAGUACUGGUCUAACAAUAAGUUGUAGAUGUUUAAUAAACGAUUCUGCUAGACCAUUUUGUGUAUGAACAUGUGCAACUGAAUGUUCAAUUUCAAUCCCAAUUGACAUACAAUAAUCAUCAAAUACUUGUGAUCUAAAUUCACCAGCAUUGUCAAGACGAAUAGUCUUGAUUGAGUAAUUGGGGAAUUGUGCUUGCAAUUUUAUGAUUUGAGUAAGUAGUCUAGCAGAUGCUACAUUCCUAGUUGACAGUAGGCAAACAUGUGACCAUCUUGUAGAAGAAUCAAUUAAUACCAUAAAGUUGUGAAAUGGUCCACAUGGUGGGUGUAUUGGCCCACAUAUAUCUCCAUGUAUUCUUUUCAAGAAAGUUGGAGAUUCAAUAUUGACCUUUGUAGUUGAAGGUCUAAUGAAUAGCUUACUUUCCGAACAAGCUACACAUGGAUAAUCAUUAGAUAAAAGAAUCUUCUGGUUCUUUAAAGGAUGUCCAUAUUAGUUGUUUAUUAUUCGACGCAUCAUUAUGGCUAUUGGAUGUCCAAGUCGAUCAUGCCAAAGUAUAAAAAUUUUUGAAUCAACGAACUUCUGGUUCGUAACAUUAUUUGAUUUGACCAUUUUUAUAAAUGUAAAAUACAUGCCAGAUGGGAGUGCAUGAAAUUUUUUUUUUAUCUGCUUCUUGCCAAAUACAAAGGAAGUGAUGCAAAGAUAUUCAACAUUAUUUUCUUGCAUCGUCUUAAUGUGAUAUUCAUUGCAGCGAAUAUCUUUAAAACUAAGCAAAUUUCUUCUGAAUUUCCUAGAAUAAAGUACAUCCUCAAUAUAUAAUUUUGUAUUAUUUGGUAAAAUAAUACAAGCUCUUCCAGAGCCUUCAACGAUAUUCGACACACCCGAUAUCGUGUUAACAUUAUUUUCAGCUAAUAUGAAGUCCAAAAAGUAUUUUUUUUGUCUUGAAGAAUAGAAUGUGUAGUUGCACUAUCAAUUAAGCAGCUGUCUUGACUAUCCAUCAUAAAUCUAUAAAUAUAACAAAAUUAACAAAAUUAAAAAAACUUAAAUUUACAUUUAAAGAAGUAAACAUUACUUAAUAUCAUGAAAUAAACGAUGCAUAAUAGAGUUUUUUUUUAUUUUUGUGCGGAAAAGUAAAAACAUAUUUCAGACUGAUUUUUAAAACGAAAGAAAUACUAGUAAAUUAAUCUAUAUCUUUUAUCACACCACCCCCAACCAAAUGGUCAAUAUUUCCAUUUGGAUCAGUAAAGAAAUCGGAGACAUCCAAAUGAGUCACAUCAGUUGGACCAUCAUAAUCAGCAAAAUUAGUCACCAAUUUUUCUUUUCCCUUGAUUGAUCUCUGGUAAAGAUCCACAAGAUGUUUUGAGGUACGACAUGUACGUGCCCAAUGCCCUUUCAUUCCAUAUCUGAAGCAACUUUCUUCAUGCUCCCUUUUAGAUUUGCCACUCUCGUUUGCUUUGUGCCUUUUGAAUUUAUUGCCUUGUUGUUGAUAACUUUGUUGAUUAUUUCUUUCGUGAUUUAUUCCACGUACACGUCUGUGUCCGUGUCCGUGUCCGUAUCCAUGUCCAAAUCCAUGUCCACGUCCAUGUCCAUGUCCAUGUCCUUGUCUUGAUAUUGUAUUUGCUUCAAACAAUGUAGUACCAUUUGCUUCAGGCAAUGGUACAGAAUCAGUUGGACAUAAUCCAUGAUUUUUCAUCAACAAUUCAUUAUUUUGUUCAGCAACUAGUAGGCAAGAUAUAAGUUCUGAGUACUUUUUAAAGCCACGCUCACAAUAUUACUGCUGCAGGAGCACAUUCGAGGCAUGAAAGGUGGAGAAAUUUUUUUCCAGCAUAUCUUCAUCGGUGAUUUUUUCUCCACACAAAGCCAACUUUGAACAUAUUCUGACCAAUUUAGAAUUGUACUCACUAACCGUUUUAAAGUCUUGCAAACGAAGGUGCAUCCACUCAUAACGGGCUUUGGGAAGGGCUAUAGUCCUCUGAUGAUCAAAUCUUUCAGUUAACUUUUUCCAAAGAACUUGUGGAUCUUUCUUAAUGAGAUAUUCAAUUUUUAAUCCAUCGUGAAGAUGGUGACGGAGGAAAAUGAGUGCUUUCGCACGAUCCUGCAGGGAUUCAUUGUUUCCUUCUUUUAUUGUCUCUCCCAGACCCUUUGAGACGAGAUGGAUAUCAGCAUCCAGUAUCCAUGAUAGAUAAUUUUUACCAGGUAUGUCAAGCAACAAACUCAAGUUUCGUAAUGUUUGCCAUUUGUUUAACUACACAAUAAAAAAAUACAAUUAGUAUCGAAGAAUAUGAUUAAUUAUUACAUGUUAAUCAAAUAGUCAAUAUCAACAUGACUUUAAGUUACGUAUUUUCCUCUGGGGAUAAACACUAAUUUGAAAUAAUAUGUUCUUCAAAACAUAUGUUACUUCUGGAGCACAUUAUAUUUUACUAUUAUUUCUUCAAGUGCAAUAUGUCAAUAUUCUUCUGGAAUAUUGAGAGUUAUAAUUUAUGCUCUUCAGGAGCAAAUAAUAUUCUUAUAAUGUUGUGCUACUUUUGGAGCAACAACGAAUAAAUCUAUGAUUAAUAUUCUUCUGGAAUAUUAAUUAUAAUGUUGUGCUACUUCAGGAGCAACAACAAUUAAAAAUAAAUUUAAUGUAAUGUUUCAUAACUAAACAUAAAAAAAUGAUAAUACAUCUAAUUGCUCACCAUUAAUUAAUAUACAAACACAUGUAAAAUAUUAUUUUGAAUUAAUAAUGUGAGUCGAGUGAAACACAAAAAAAACUGGUGACAUGUAGAAACCUAUUCACAUAUUAUGGUACGAAAUUCUAAUUAUGUGCAAUUAAAAGAAUUAAAUUCGUAUUAACCAAUUAAGGCAUGUAAUUUGCAGAAACCAAUGGAUUUGAGAGAAAAGAUGAGUUGGGUACAGUUAUUUGUUAAUUGUAUAUUGUAUAUAUAUAUGGAAUCAGCCAAAAUAGAGAUCUAGAAUUGAAGCUUACUUAUAAAGAACAUUGACCAAUUAAACCAAAAAAAAUUAUAAGCAUGUGUAGAACGUAAAUGGCUAAUCUAAAUAUAAGGAGGGUAUAGGAACAUGAAUUAAUGUAUAUCAAUUGAUUUAACAUAAAUAUAUCUCCAUAAAAAUGCACGUGGAUUGAUGUAAAGGAAAAAAAACAUUAAUUAAUUCAAAGAGAGGUACAAAGAAAACAUAAUGAUCAAGAAAGAUAAGAUCACGUAUUGCAGAUUCAACAUAUAUAUAUGUAAAAUUCACGUAUUAUCAAAUUAAUUUUGAUAUACGUGAUAGAUGAUUAUGAAAAAAAAUUACUACCUUCUAAGAGCUUCGUGCUGAUAACGUGUUAUAAAAUGAGAGGAAAAGAGAAUAGAGAAAACUCAAUAAACUUUUUUCAGUAUUAUUGAAAACCAAAGCUCUAUAUUUAUAGGUAAGAAUCAGGGAUACAAUGGUAAUAAUUUCUAGGGCUACAUGGUACAAAUGUCAUUCACCAAUAAACUUUAAUGGACUUUCCAUUUACAACACAUUUCAUUAUUUUUAGUAAUAGUUUGUUUUUCACAUACAAAUACGAAAAUUUCCCUAAUUUCAACCUAGGAAUCCUGAUAGAUUGGUGGAGUGGGGUGAGGUUGGGCUGUGUGGACCGAGUGGUCAUUGGCUUCCACUGUCAAUAUUUCAGUUUGUCCACUGCCUAUUUUUUUCAAAGCAACAUCAUGCAUACGCUUAGGUGCUACUAUCAACACUUAAAUUCUACAUAAUUAAUGUAUUUGUUAUCUCUAUAUUAGUCAACUGAAUAAAAUACUCAUUUCUUCUAUCAAUUAAUUCUUUGCAUUCUAUCUUGUUGUUUGUUUAUGAUUAUAUACUUCAUACCCCUGUCAUAUACAUUAUCUAGAUCCAUUUUAUUUCCUAAAAAGUGGUAUCAGGGCUAUUGGUUAUGAUUUGUUCAAGGCCUUUGUUAUUGAUGACAGUCAUGAAGUAUGAAAUUUCACUCUUCGAUUGCAAUACAAGAUUCUCAUUGUGGCAAUUGAAGAUGUGAGUUUACUCGCUUAGAUGGAUUUGGAUGAUGCAUUCCUGAGAUUUGACAAAAUAUCCACAACUUAUGGAGGAGAAACAACGGAAGGGUUGGAAGGCACUUUUACAUAUAUAUCUUCAUCUUUCUAAUAAUAAUUUUUAGGACAUUUUAAGGGAGCAUGGUAGCAACGUUGUGGUUGAAGCUGGAGCAAUUGUGUAUGACUAAAAGUCUAACAAGAAAAUUGCAUUUGAAGCAGAUGUUGUAUUUUCAUUGUUUGGCAAAAAGCCAAUCGUUGGAAGAUCUCGCCGUAUCCAAGGAGAUCUCGAGGAUUUGGUGACUUUAGAGAUAAAGUAUAACAAACAAUAUUUGGUCUUAAUCCUUUUGUGUUCGUUGCCCACUUCGUCUACUUGAUUUAGAGACAUGAUCUUUUAUCUUUCAAAACUCUGCAGCGACUCGGGAUGGAAGGUAACCCAACGCCGCUUACCUCAAGGGUCAUAUAAAAUUCUACACACAUUGAAUCGACAUGAUUUCAACUAUACUCAAUAGCUAAUGCCUGAGAUAUCAAACCUAAUUGGUUUCGUCCAAAAAAUUCAAGUAAAGAGUGAGUUAUGAAUUUUGGAAAGUAAGGGUAGAAGCUGAAUAACAGCUGCACUUCCUAGUGCCGUCUACUUUAUGUGACAAUUAAAAUUCUACCAAUAUCGGAUUGACAUGAUUCAAAAUUCAUUCUGUAGCUAACCUAUGGGGCUAUCCAACACCACUGGUUUUGUCUAAAAAUUCCAAGUAACAAUUUAUAUACGAAUUUUUAAAGUCAAGGCAGAAACUGACAUUUUAAAGAAAACAGCAAACUUUAAAUUGCUAACGCUCCUUUUUUCCUAUGUAAACGGUGAUUCGUAAAAUGAUUUCUUGAUACAUAUCUAGUUUUAAACAUAAUUUAUUCAUAAAGAAAUAUUCUUGAAAUAUCUCCAUAUAUGACGUCCAUAGAAAUCUAUUUAACAGAAAACAAAUGCAAAUAUUUCAUAAUUAAAUUUAGAAUAUCAAGUCGCCGGCUUUCUCCGAGGCACCUCGCAUCAUCUUUUACUAUUAUCCACGUCCAAGGAAAUCCAUUCAACCUGAAGGAAGGGAAUUAACCCAUGAGUUUGAAACUCAAUAGAUAUCAUUGGUGUAAUUUGUUCUCAAAUUAGAAAUUUCAAACUAUAGAUUCGUACCGUUGCAUGUAGAUAGAUUUUUGGUAAAAUCCAAUUUUUGUAGCAUUAUUAUAACACGUAGAGCCAGAGAAUGAUCAUUCAAACUGUUGUAGUACCGAAGCACCAUACCUAGAGAUACUAUUUCAUUCAAACUAUAGUAGUGCUGAAGCACCGUACCCGAAGGUACCAAUUCAUUCAAAAUUUUAUCGAAAAAUCAAAAUUUGGAAACGAAAUAAUACUUGCACCUCUACCUACCUUCGUUUGAUGCUUUUGAAUCGAUAAAGUUGGUUGGUGAAUGUUGUUUCCCAACGGCACCCAAAGCUUAAGAAAUUUGCUCCUCUCCUAUGUCUUUCUUACUUUUUAAAUUUUCUUUUCUUGUUUCAAAUUGUGAAAAAUGAAAGUUGUAUCUUCUAAAAGAAAAACUCGUAUAAUCUAGUAUAUAAUUCUGACGUACUCCAAGUAAAUCAAUUGCCGUUCGGUUUUGUCACUUAAUUACAAAUGUAUGAGAUGCCAAUAAAAGAGUUUUAUGGGAAUACUUUAAAUUAAUUAUUAUAAAAGUUAAUGCUUUAACCAUGUUUAAUUUAUAACACCCUUUCCACUUCCAAGUAAUUGUAACAAAUUGAAAAAUGAAAGUAUUUUUUUCUUUUCCACACGUAACCUACAAAAUCUAGAAAGACACACAUAACUUACAAAAUUCAAAAAGGCAUAUUCAUGUUAAUUAGGACUAAUGAAAUUAAUCAAUCAAGAGUUUAAGUUGCAUAAUGUGUGUGUAUAUUUUUGGGAUUUCAAUGACUUGUUUGUACCAACUAAUCAGAUUAAUUGUUUGACCAUUCAAUCGAAAGUUAUUUUUAACGUGUAGUUGUUAUGUGUGUGUAUAUAAUACUAUAUAUUUGUCAUUUUAAAAAACUAACAUGUACGAAAAUCAAUUUUUUUUAACUAUACAUAAAAUAAAUUUUCACCGUUGGGUUCAAUCUUUGGGAAAAACAUUAAAUUAUUCCAUCCAACUUCAUCAAAUAAUUUUUUAAAAAUAUGUAUGGUGGCUAAACCUGUGUUGCAUGUUGAACUACCAUAAGAUUGUAAAUAAAUUCAUUUUAAAGCAUAUUGGACUAGUAUUGAGCUUUCAUUUCUUUUGUGGGUCGCGCAUGAGGUUCAUCUAUAGGCUAGGCUCGUGAUAUUAGAUCGUCGUAUUAAAAUAUGAGCCUAACUUCAUUUUUUUGGGGCUCUUACAUUCCUUACACCUUAAAUAAAAUUUCGUCCUUGAAAUUUACCUUAUGGUUGGACAAAGAGUGUCGGGUAUCUGUCUUUAAUUUUUUCUUCUCUUUCCCAAGUAGCUUCUUCUAUUCCAUGAUUAUUCCAUUGCACUUUGACCAGUUGAAUCUCCUUGUUUCAUAAUUUAUGUACCUUUCAAUCCAAUACUUUAAUCGAUAAUUCCUCAUAAGAUAAGUCUUUUUGUACUCGCAAGGAUUGAUAAUUUACCACGUGAUUAGGGUCAUGCAUAUACUUUCUGAUCAUUCAUAUAUGAAACACAUUCUGAACUGCUGAUAGUUCAGGCGGCAAAGCUAAUCGAUAAACCACAUUUUUGAUCUUGUUAUGUAUUUCAAAAGGUCCGAUAUAAUGAGGCCAUAGUUUGCCUUUCUUGCCGAACCUAAGUACACCCUUUAUUGAUGCCAUUUUUAGAAAAACUUUCUGUCCAUCUUCAAAUUCCAUAUCUUUUUUCCUAGUAUUUGCAUAGCUCUUUUGUCCAUCUUGAGCGGCCUUUAUCCUAGUACGGAUUUUGUCAAUGACUUCAACUGUUCUUUCAAUGAUAUCUGGUUCCAAAACUCUCUUCUCUUCAAUUUCAUCCCAAUGAACAGGUGACCUGCAUCUUCUGCCAUAGAGAGCUUCAUACAGUGUCAUUCCAAUAGUUGCUUGAAAACUGUUAUUAUAUGCAAAUUCCACCAAAGGUAAAUACGAUUCCCAACUACCUCCUAGAUCCAGAACAUAGGCCUUUAGCAUAUCUUCCAAAGUUUGAAUGGUCCUUUCAAACUAACCAUUGGAUUGAGGGUGAUACGGCGUACUGAAAUUCAAUUUCGUUCCCAUAGCUCCUUGGAAGCUCUUUCAAAACUUUGACAUAAAUCUCGGAUCUCUAUCAGAUACAAUGAACACGGGGACAACAUGUAAUCUCACAAUCUCUCUAAUUUACAAUUGCGCCAGCUGAUCUAGACUAAAUGUCAUUUUCACUGGAAGAAAUGAGUGGACUUUGUUAGACGAUCCACUAUUACCCAUAUAACAUUGUGUCCUCUUGCUGACUUUGAAAAUCCUACCACAAAAUCCAUUGCGAUAUUCUCCCACUUCCAUUCAGGUAUGUCUAAUGGAUUUAAUAUCCCUGCUGGUCUUUUUAUGUUCUGCUUUAACUUGUUGACACACUAUGCAUUUUGCUACAAAUGAGCCUAUACUUCAUUUCAUAUUCCUCCACCAAAAUGUAUUUCGAAGGUCUCAAUACAUUUUCCUACUAUUGGGAUGUGCAGUGUAGGGGCGGAAUGAGCCUCAUCCAAUAUCUCCUUCCUCAAAAUUUCAUCCUUAGGUACACAAAUUCUUCCUUUAAGUAAUUUUGCCUGAUCUAAAGCUAUUUCAAAAUCCUUUCUCUUAUCAUCAAUAAUCUCGUUCUUGAUCUUCUGCAAAAAUGGGUCUUUGUUUUGUGCUUCUAUGAUAUAAUCUUUAAGAGUAGAUAGAACCACCAAAGUUGCUAAAUAGGCAGUGACUUGUUUUGGUGUGACUUUGAUUCACAAAUUUUCUAAUUCUUUGAUCAACUCCAUUGGAAUAAUAGGUAAUGAUGCCAACUGUCCCAUCGAUUUUCUGUUUAGAGCAUCAGCAACAACAUUAGCCUUACCUGGAUGAUACUGAAUAGUGCAAUCAUAAUCAUUUACUAGCUCCAACCAUCGUCUCUGUCUCAUAUUCAAUUCCUUCUAUGUGAAGAAAUAUUUGAGACUCUUAGGAUCUGUGUAAAUAUUGCACUUCCCUCCAUAUAAGUAAUGACGCCAUAUCUUUAAUGCAUAAACCACCGCUGCAAGUUCAAGAUCCUGCGUCGGGUAGUUUUGCUCAUGUUGCUUCAAUUGUCUUGAAGCUUAGGCAAUUACUUUUCCAUGUUGCAUCAGUACACAUCCAAAACCUUAUUUAAAUGCAUCACUAUAUAUAUCAAACCCUUCCGAACCUUCAGGUAUGGUUAACACAGGUGCUAUAAUCAACCGUUAUUUUAGCUCCUGAAAGCUUUGCUCACACUUAUCUUUCCAUUGAAACUUUACUCAUUUCCUUGUCAAUUGUGUUAUUGGUCUAGCUAUUUUGGAAAAUCCUUCUAUAAAUCUUCGAUAGUAUCCAGCCAAUCCCUGAAAACUUCGAACUUCACCAGAAUUAGUCGGUGUCUUCCAAUUAGUUAUCGCUUCCACCUUUACUGGAUCUACUUCAAUUUCUUGGGCAAUAACUACAUGACCGAGAAAUCCAACUUGCCCAAACCAAAAUUUACACAUUUUAAAUUUAGCGUAUAACUUUUCCUUGCGUAAUGUUUCUAAUGUUAUUUUAAGAUGUUCUUUAUGUUGAUCUUUACUCUUGGAGUAAAUCAAAAUGUCAUCAAUGAAGACUAUAGCAAAUUUAUCCAAAUAUUGAUGAAACACUUGGUUCAUCAGAUCCACGAACACUGUCGGAGCAUUUGUCAAUUCGAAUGGUAUAACUGUGUACUUGUAAUGUCCAUAACGAGUUCUGAAAAUUGUCUUAGGUAACCCAGGGCUCUUAUAAAAUUCUACACACAUUGAAUCGACAUGAUUUCAACUAUACUCACUAGCUAACCCUUGAGACUAUCAAAUCCAAUUGGUUUCGUCCAAAAACUUCAAGUAACGAGUGAAUUAUGAAUUUUUGAAACAAAAGGUCCGUUUGAUUGCAAAGAUGAAAUUGAAUUGAAUUGAAAAUGAAUUUCAGGGAAUUGAAUUGAUGGGAAAUUGAUUUCCUAGGAAUGGUAAAUUAUUGUGUUUGAUUGAUAUAAUUUUUCAAGUGGAAAAUAUUGAAAUAAAAGUAUUUUUUGGUGCUCGUUUGACUUUAUUUUACAUAAAAAUUGUCAACUAAAGGGAUAGAAUUUACUGGUAUUGGGGAUGGAAUUUUUUUCCAUUGCCAAAAAAUAAAAAAAAUCAAGAAAAUCAUACAUCUUUUGAUGUUUGUUUGGCUUUAUUUUACAUAAAAAUUCUCAAUUAAAGGGAAAUAUUUUUUUACAAUAAUUCUUAAAAUUUGUUUCCAUUACCAACACAAAAAAAAAAAAAAAAUGCUACAGUAACAUGAAAUUCCAAUUCUCAUCAAUUUUUGGUGAGAAUUGGUUUCCUUAAAAACCAAGAAAAGAUCAAUUCCCAAAACAAGCAAGAAAAGGUAAUUCCAUGGAAAUAAAACCCUAUCAAACACCAUAAAGUUGGAAAAUGAAAUUAUUUCCAUUUUCCAUGGAAAAAAACCACAUAUCAAACACUACCUAAGGGCAGAAGCUGAUUAACAGCUACACUUCCUAGUGCCGUCUACUUUAUGUGACAUAAAAUUCUACCGAUAUCGGAUUGACAUGAUUCCAAGUUCAUUCAGUAGCUAACCUAUGGGGCUAUCUGAUAAGAGUGUAAAAGAUAACAUUUUCCCCACUUAAUUAUUGCAUUCGUGUGAUUAUUUGAUACCAAAAUGCACUCAUUAUACUUAUAUUUUGAUUCAGGUUAUAUUUUGGUAGAAAAGGUGAAAUUUGGAAGAAACAAGUUAAAAUGGACCAAAAUGGAAGAAAGCGAAAGUUCAGGAACCAAGUUGUAAAUAAUCCAAAGAUGAGACAAGAAGUGAAAUGAUGAUUUGAGAAAUUUAGGAGUCCAUUGGGUGCAAUUAGAAGUCAAAAGAAGUUAAAUGUACCCACAAUAUUUUCACAAAUCAGAUUCCAACCGUAUAAGGAUUUUUCAGAUUUUCAGCCGAGCAUUGAGACCAACCUUUGACCUGGAAAGAUAUAUUUCCAGAAAAAUUAUAUUCAUUUGAGUUAGCUUUCCUAUGCAACUUGAAUCACCUCAAUUGGACAUCGGGGGACAAUGUUAUGGUCAAAAUACCAAAAGCAGUCGUACAUAAAAUUCUGGCCGAAAAUUUACUUUUCUUAUUCAGUUCAACCUCUUUUGGAAACAUUUUGGCACACGACUUUUAACACUAAUCUCGACCAGAAAACCCACCAGUCAGCCUCAUAAACUUUUCUCUCAUCUUGGACACAAGAAACUCCAUGAAGAACUAAAAUCUUUGGUGAACCACCAAGGAACUCAUUGGAUUUGGAGAUUUCAUGUAAUUCGAACUUUCUUUGCUUAAUAAUUUCUCGAUUUGGAUUUUCUCGUAAUGAAUUAGUAUUGAAUUUGGUUUAACUUUUUCUAGAUUUUUUUUAUGGAUUCAAUCAUGCUUUUUCCAUUGUUAAAUUAAAUUAUUUGUUGAGUUUCAAUUUCAAUUACUUAUUGUUGAGAUUGUUUUAACUUUUAUCAAAUCCUUCAUAGAUCUAAUCAUGCUCUUUCUAUCGAAUGAUUGAAAUAAUUGUUGAAUUUUAAUCUUAAUAUUACUUUAUUGGCGGAUUGAUUACUGCCUUAUGCUUGAUGUAUAUGGUUGAUCUUUGAUCUUGUUCCAAUAAAAAUGUGCGAAUGUGUUGUAGAAAAUCUAGUUUCUAGAAAUAUAAUUGAAAUUAAAUUGGACUUUAUUGUUAAAUCUUCUGAUUAGGGAGUUGGGAAGAAACCUCUAAGUGAGUAAAAAUGCAUGAAUUAUUGAUGUUGAUUGAUCCAAUCCAAUGGGGAAAUUCCGACGCUUCACUAAUUUCGCAUAUUGAUAAUUAACUUUUAUUCCAAGUGACAAAUCAUUCCCAUAUAAAAUUACGAAAACCCUAGUUUGUUAGAUCCUUUGACAAAUUUCCCAUCUCCCUAUGGAUACGACACCCCAAAACUGUACUGCAACUACCACAUUAUACUUUGGGCGUAAUCUAAUUUUGGCAUCCUUGUCGGGGAGACGGUACAAGUGAUUGAAGGAUCCUCGAGCAAAAGGGUGACUUCGUUCCUCUUUUAUCUGUUAGUUAAUUUAUUUUCUUUAUUGUUAUUUUUUAAUUUUGCAUUUAAUUCCAUUUUUGUAUUUUAUGAACAGGAAUCAAGAAGAGCGAUGGCGAUUUGUUGAUAGGCCUCUCCUAGAGUUUGAAUCACUUUCUAACCCUUUCUUUGACACUAUAUCUAUUGGCACGAGCACUAAACCACACAACACAAUGAGUGAUAGUGAGCACGGCGAUGCGCCCUACAGGACCCUACAUGGUUACCUUCACCCAACACGCCCUUCCACGCCAUUUUGCAAUAUGUUCCCACCCAAUAUGUCACGUGUGGACCUAAAACUGGGAAUGAUUAAACUUCUUCCCACUUUUCACGGACUUGAAAAUGAGAAUCCAUACAUGCAUAUUCGGGAAUUUGAGGAAGUGGUUGCAACCUUCCACAAUCAACGUGGUACAAUGGAUACAAUUGGGCUUAAAAUUUUCCCAUUUUUACUUAAAGAAUGAGCAAAAAAGCUGAUUGUACUCAUUGAAACCACAUUCGAUUGGGACUUAGGUUGAAAUGACCCAAGCUUUCUUUGGCAAAUAUUACCCCCAUCAUAAGACCACUACCGUUAAGAAGCAAAUUUCUUCAUUUGCCCAAAAGGAUAGCGAAGCCUUAUAUCAAGCCUGGGAGAGAUAUAAAGAGUUGUAACCUCUUUGCCCCCACCAUGGAUAUGAGAAUUGACGUGUGGUGAGUUACUUUUGUGAGGGCCUAACACCUAGGGAGCAUCAAUUUGUUGAAAUGAUGUGCAAUGGUGAUUUGUCACAAAAAGAUCCAGAUGAAGCCACAGAGUAUCUAGAUGACUUAGCUGAAAAGGCUCACACUUGGAUUGGACCUAGUGCUUCUGAUUGUACCAAUAGGUCACGACCAAUAGGAAACCCAACUAGGACAUGCAUUUACCACCUUAGAGAGGAAGACAACCUUAAAGCCAUGGUAGAAACCCUCACUAGAGAACUUGAAGCUCUACGUGCUAAGGAAUAAAAAACAACCCCGACUUGUUUCCCAUGUUGAGUCUUUAGAGCCUUGUUUUAUGUGUGGUGGAACGUAUCCAGCACAAGAGUAUGGCACCUAUGCUGAAAUGAGGGGACUUUAUGAGUAACACCGUAAUGCUUUAGGCAUAUAUCAAAAACCCUAUACUCCCUACUCUGAAUCCUAUAAUCCAAGGCGGCGGAAUCAUCCCAAUCUCAGCUGGAAAUCUUAAAACCAACAACCUAUCCCAUCCAAUAGAGCCUACACUAUAUCUCCAUAUCAAACCACAUCCUCUAGAAACUCUUUGGAAGACACCCUACAUGCAUUCAUAAAGGCACAAAGUAAAAUCAAGCAGAAAUUUGAGACUAUGAUUACCUAGAUUGUUGAGGAAAACAAGGAAAUCAAAACUCAUAUGCCAAAACUAACUAAUGCCUUAGCUAUAGAGGAGCAGGGAAAAUUUCCAGCACAAGCUCAUCCAAACCCUAGGAGACAACAUAUGGCACAAACCUCAGGCCUCCAAGAAAACAACCUUAAUGAAGUUAAUGCCAUAACCACUAGGUCCGGUAAGGUUAUUGAACCAACCCCAAAACCUAAGGAAGAUGAAAAGGACCCUAGCAAUUCAGAAGAGAGUACCCCUAGCGAGGAGGUAGUGAAAAAUAUACUACGAGUACCCUUUCCUCAAGCUCUUAAUUUUACCUAGAAAUUUGUAUGUCAACAUAGUGAAAUCCUAGAGCACCUCAAACAAGUAAAAAUUAAUAUGCUGCUCUUGCACGUGAUUUCCCAGGUCCCCACUUAUGCUAAAGUCCUUAAAGACUUGUGUACUAUAAAAAGAAAGCACCAUGUCAGGAAAAUCACUUUCUUAAUUGAACAUGUGAGUGUCGAAUUGAGCAAAGAGUUCCACCAAAGUAUAAGGACCCUGGUUGCCCACUGUGUCUUGCACUAUUGGGAACCAUGAUUUUGCACAAGCUCUUCUCGAUUUUGGGGCUAGUGUCAACAUUAUGCCUUAUGCAAUAUACUCGGCAUUAGGUCUAGGUGAGAUCAAACCCACUUCAGUGGUCUUAUAAUUAGCUGAUCGAUCCACUAUUAGGCCUAGGAGAGUAGUUGAGGAUGUGUUGGUACAAGUUGACAAAUUUUAUUACCUCGUUGAUUUCUUAGUUUUGGAUUUAAAAGAAGAUGUGAGUGUUAACUCCAAGAUUCUCAUUAUUCUUGGUAGACCUUUUCUUGCCCUAGCUAAUGCUCUUAUCAAUUGUAGGAACGGUCUAAUGAAACUAUCAUUUAGGAACAUGACCUUGGACGUCAACAUUUUUCAUAUCAUGAAAUAGCCUGAGGAAGAUGAUGAGUGUCAUCAAACAUACAUGAUUGAUGCACUCGUUCAGGAGGAAGCACCUGCGAUUAUUGAUCCCGACCCUUUAAAUUCUAAAAUUCUCACAGGGUAUGAUAGUGGAGGAUAUGCUGCUUUUGAUUAUUUUCAGGAUUAUAGAACACCACCAGUGACUACUUCCAAUGAGUUUGGUGCAAUGCAAGGAAGAUUGACAACACCCUGGUUAGAUGCGGGCUAAAGAAGAAAAUACUGGGUCGAGCCAACGACAAUAAACAAAGGCACUGCUGGGGAGGCAACCCAAGGGGAGUUCGUUCCCUUCUCUUUCUUUUUAUUUUCAUUUAUGCAUUCUCUCUAAGUUUAGUCCAUGCAUUAUUCAUUGCAAUCCUUUUAUUUUCAUUUUCUGCACUAACCUUUCCAUCGAAGAUUUUCGGGCUUCUUAUACUUCAGCUCAUGUGAUUCACUUCGUUACUCAGGUAACAUCUUUUCUUACCUUUAUUUGGCAGACAUAUUUUUGCAUUGAGGACAAUGCAAUGUUUAGUUGGGGGGGAGAGUUUAACUUAAAUUUUGUUGUGAAUUGCAUGUUUUUAAUGAAAUUUUGGCCUAAUUGUUUUUAAGUCCCUAAUGCGCUACAUGUUCUUGAAUGGCAAUAUAUUUCACUAGGAAUUAAUAUUGUUUAUGAAAAUUUGGAUACUGAGAUAUUUGCUAAAUCUUUUUGUGCACACAAGCCUUGUGGUAAGAUAGUGGUUUAACACAUGUAGCUAGAGGAGUCUCUUGUUGAAGUUUUCUUAUGUGAGAGUCGAUGAGGAUUGAAAGCUAUCACAUAUUAAAAAUGGCAGUAAGUGCUCAUUAGUUUUGUGAACUGGACACUUCUGUUGAGAAUAACAUUACACAGUCUGUGGUAAGAUGGUGGUUUAUACUUGGGAAAUGAUAAUGGUCAACAUAGGAUUGAAUUUGAGCUUUCAGACUAGUUUUUUUUCAUUAUUAUAAUUCCCUAAUAACCACUUUGAGCCAAUGCACAUACAUAACCAUUUCAUUUCAUGUGCCUAAGUUAUCCAUACCUCCUUACAUUGGAAUAAAAUCUAUAAACAUUCAAUUUUCUACCUUUAUGCUUCCAAGUAUAUAGUAGGUGUUAAAUGUCCAUUUCAGAAGAAAAGCAACAUGGAAAGUGAUAAGAGAUUAUAAGUGCUCGGGUGAAGCGAAAAAACACAAAAGGAAAGGGAAUUUGAAAAAAAAAAACAAACAAACAACCAAACAAAAGAAAAGAAAAGAAGAAAAAAUGAAAAAAAAAAAGAAAUGAAAAAAAGGUGGAUUGUUGUUGGGAAUUGAAAGGUUGAAGAAUGCGUUGAUGUAAAGAAUUGAUAUGUUGAAAUACUUGUUGAGAUGCCUAGCCAGAUACUUGGAAGUCCUUAAAUUCUUUUUGCCCUACUUUUCAUAUAACCCAACUUAACCUUUUACACACCCUUUGCAUUGACUGUUUUGAUCUCAAGUAGGUUUGUGGUAAAAAGUUGAUGAAUUUUCAAUUGGAAGUAUGCCUAUCAUGUGAUCAAUGUUUGCUUGUUGCUUGCUCAUAAACAUUUAAGACUCCAAAUUAUGAGUGUAUCCAUUUCUCAGCUCUAUAGAGAGAAAAUCGCACUAAACACUUUGAUACCUGUGAGUUGUGGAGUUGAACCUUCAGCUCGAGACAUACUUGAUGUUAAAUAUGUUAGGGUUGGCAGUAAGAUGGCUAUAGCUUGGCACACACUCACACAUUUAGCAAGUGUUUUUGAUAUCUUGAUGAUCAUAACAUUGUUAAUUUCUUGUGGUGUUGAGUUUGAAAAGAGAAUGAACUGUUGAAUUAGAACUUAACAAUUUCACUUGUAACAUGGACCAAUUACUCAUUUGCUUUACUUUGCAUUAAAUUGCUAGGGACUAGCAAUAAGCAAGUCGGGGGUAUGAUAAGAGUGUAAAAGAUAACAUUUUCCCCUCUUAAUUAUUGCAUUCGUGUGAUUAUUUGAUACCAAAAUGUACUCAUUAUACUUUUAUUUUGAUUCAGGUUGUAUUUUGGUAGAAAAGGUAAAAUUCAGAAGAAACAAGUGAAAAAGGACCAAAAUGGAAGAAAGCGAAAGUUCAGGGACCAAGUUUCAAAUAAUCCAAAGAUGAGACGGGCGAUGGAAUGAUGAUUUGAGAAAUUUAGGAGUCCAUUGGGUGCAACUAGAAGUCAAAAGAAGUUAAAUAUGUCCCUAAUAUUUUCACAAAUCAAAUUCCAACCGCAUAAGGAUUUUUCAGAUUUUCAGCCGAAGAUUGAGAUUAACUUUUGACCUAGUAAACGUCCAAAUUUGGAAAGAUAUAUUUCUAGAAAAAUUAUAUUCCUUUGAGUUAGGUUUUCUAUGCAACUUGAAUCACCUCAAUCGGACAUUGGGAGACAAAGUUAUGGUCAAAAUACCAAAAACAGUUGCAGAGAAAAUUCUGGCCGAAAAUUUACUUUCCUUAUUCGGUUCAACCUCUUUUGGAAACAUUUUGGCACACGACUUUUAACCCUAAUCUCGACCAGAACACCCACCAUUCAUCCUCAAACACUUUUCUCUCAUCUUGGACACAAGAAACUCCAUGAUGAACUAAAAUUUUUGGUGAAGCCACCAAGGAACUCAUUGGAUUUGGAGAUUUCACGUCAUAAUUUCAUGUAAUUCGAAGUUUCUUUGCUUAAUAAUUUCUUUAUUUGGAUUUUCUCGUUAUGAAUUAGUAUUGAAAUUAGUUUAACUUUUACUAGAGUUUUUAUGGAUUCAUUCAUUCUUUUUCCAUUGUUAAAUUAAACUAUUUGUUGAGUUUCAAUUUCAAUUACUUAUUGUUGAGAUUGUUAUAACUUUUAUCAAAUCAUUCAUAGAUCUGGUCAUGCUUUUUCUAUCGAAUGAUUGAAAUAAUUGUUGAAUUUUAAUUUUAAUAUUAGUUUAUUAGCGGAUUGAUUACUGCCUUAUGCUUGAUGUAUAUGGUCGAUCUUUGAUCUUGUUCCGAUAAUAAUGUGCGAAUGUGUUAUAGAAAAUCUAGAUUCUAGAAAUAUAAUUGGAAUUAAAAUGGACUUUAUUGUUAAAUCUUCUGAUUAGAGAGUUGGGAAGAAAACCUCUAAUUGAGUAAAAAUACAUGAAUUAUUGAUGUUUAUUGAUCCAAUCCAAUGAGGAAAUUCCGAGGCUUCACUAAUUUCGCAUAUUGAUAAUUAACUUUUACUCCAAGUGACAAAUCAUUCCCACAUCAAAUUACGAAAAUCCUAGUUUGUUUGAUCCUUUGACAAAUUUCUCAUCUUCCUGUGGAUACGACACCCCAAAGCUGUACUAUAACUGCCGCGUUAUACUUUGGGCAUAAUCACUAUCCAACACCACUAGCUUUGUCUAAAAAUUCUAAGCAAUGAUUUAGAUACGAAUUUUUAAAAUCAAGGCAGAAAUUGACAUUUUAAAGAAAUUAGCAAACUUUAAAUUGCUAACGCUUCUUUUUUUCCCUGUGUAAACGGUGAUUCAUAAAUUGAUUUCUUGACACAUAUCUACUUUUAAACAUAAUUUAUUCAUAAAGAAAUAUUCUUGAAAUAUCUCCACAUAUGAUGUCCAUAGAAAUCUAUUUAACAGAAAACAAACGUAAACAUUUCAUAAUCGAAUUUAAAAUAACAAGUCACCGACUUUCUCUAGGGGAUGUCCCAUCAUCAUUUACCAUCAUCCACGCCCAAGGAAAUCCAUUCAACCUAUAGGAAGGGAAUUAACUAAUGAGUUUGAAACUCAAUAGUUAUCAUCAAUGCAUUUCAUUCUUAAGUUAGAAAUUUCGAAUUAUGGAUUCAUACCGUCACACGUAGAUGGAUUUCUGGAAAAAUCCAAUUUCUGUAGCAUUAUUAAAACACGUAGAGCCGGGGAAUGAUCAUUCAAACUAUUGUAAUGCCUAUGCACAGUACCCGAAAGUACCAUUUCAUUCAAACUAUAGUAGUGGCAAAGCACCAUACCCGAAGGUACCAAUUUAUUCAAAAUUUUAUCGAAAAAUCAAAAUUUGAAAACGAUAUAACACUUGUACCUCUACCUACCAUCGAUGAAGUUGGUUGUGAAUUUUGUUUCCCGACGGCACCCAAAGCUUAAGAAAUUUGCUCCUCUCCUGUCUUUCUUACUUUUGAAAUUUUCUUUUCUUGUUUCAAAUUGUGAGAAAUGAAAGUUUUAUCUUCUAAAAGAAAAACUCUUAUAACCAAGUAUAUAAUUCUCACGUACUCCAAGUAAAUCAAUUGCAGUUGGGUUUUCUCACUUAAUUACAAAUGUGUGAGAUGCCAAUAAAAGAGUUUUAUGGGAAUACUUUAAAUUAAUUAUUAUAAAAGUUAAUGCUUUAACCAUGUUUAAUUUAUAACACCCUUUCCACUUCCAAGUAAUUGCAACAAAUUGAAAAAUGAAAGUUUUUUUUUCUUUUCCCCACGUAACCUACAAAAUAUAGAAAGACACACAUAACUUACAAAAUUCAAAAAGUCAUAUUCAUGUUAAUUAGGAUUAAUGAAAUUAAUCAACCAAGAGUUUAAGUUGCAUAAUGUGUGUGUAUAUUUUUGGGAUUUCAAUGACUUGUUUGUACCAACUAAUCAUAUUAAUUGCUUGACUAUUCAAUUGAAAGUUAUUUUUAACGUGUAGUUGUUAUGUGUGUGUAUAUAAUACUAUAUAUUUGUCAUUUUAAAAAACUAACAUGUACGAAAAUAAAUUUUUUUAACCAUACAUAAAAUAAAUUUUCACCGUUGGGUCCAGUCUUUGGGAGAAGCAUUAAAUUAUUCCGUCCAACUUCAUGAAAUAAUUUUUUAAAUAUAUGUAUGGUGGCUGAACCUGGGUUGCACGUUGAACCACCNNNNNNNNNNNNNNNNNNNNNNNNNNNNNNNNNNNNNNNNNNNNNNNNNNNNNNNNNNNNNNNNNNNNNNNNNNNNNNNNNNNNNNNNNNNNNNNNNNNNNNNNNNNNNNNNNNNNNNNNNNNNNNNNNNNNNNNNNNNNNNNNNNNNNNNNNNNNNNNNNNNNNNNNNNNNNNNNNNNNNNNNNNNNNNNNNNNNNNNNNNNNNNNNNNNNNNNNNNNNNNNNNNNNNNNNNNNNNNNNNNNNNNNNNNNNNNNNNNNNNNNNNNNNNNNNNNNNNNNNNNNNNNNNNNNNNNNNNNNNNNNNNNNNNNNNNNNNNNNNNNNNNNNNNNNNNNNNNNNNNNNNNNNNNNNNNNNNNNNNNNNNNNNNNNNNNNNNNNNNNNNNNNNNNNNNNNNNNNNNNNNNNNNNNNNNNNNNNNNNNNNNNNNNNNNNNNNNNNNNNNNNNNNNNNNNNNNNNNNNNNNNNNNNNNNNNNNNNNNNNNNNNNNNNNNNNNNNNNNNNNNNNNNNNNNNNNNNNNNNNNNNNNNNNNNNNNNNNNNNNNNNNNNNNNNNNNNNNNNNNNNNNNNNNNNNNNNNNNNNNNNNNNNNNNNNNNNNNNNNNNNNNNNNNNNNNNNNNNNNNNNNNNNNNNNNNNNNNNNNNNNNNNNNNNNNNNNNNNNNNNNNNNNNNNNNNNNNNNNNNNNNNNNNNNNNNNNNNNNNNNNNNNNNNNNNNNNNNNNNNNNNNNNNNNNNNNNNNNNNNNNNNNNNNNNNNNNNNNNNNNNNNNNNNNNNNNNNNNNNNNNNNNNNNNNNNNNNNNNNNNNNNNNNNNNNNNNNNNNNNNNNNNNNNNNNNNNNNNNNNNNNNNNNNNNNNNNNNNNNNNNNNNNNNNNNNNNNNNNNNNNNNNNNNNNNNNNNNNNNNNNNNNNNNNNNNNNNNNNNNNNNNNNNNNNNNNNNNNNNNNNNNNNNNNNNNNNNNNNNNNNNNNNNNNNNNNNNNNNNNNNNNNNNNNNNNNNNNNNNNNNNNNNNNNNNNNNNNNNNNNNNNNNNNNNNNNNNNNNNNNNNNNNNNNNNNNNNNNNNNNNNNNNNNNNNNNNNNNNNNNNNNNNNNNNNNNNNNNNNNNNNNNNNNNNNNNNNNNNNNNNNNNNNNNNNNNNNNNNNNNNNNNNNNNNNNNNNNNNNNNNNNNNNNNNNNNNNNNNNNNNNNNNNNNNNNNNNNNNNNNNNNNNNNNNNNNNNNNNNNNNNNNNNNNNNNNNNNNNNNNNNNNNNNNNNNNNNNNNNNNNNNNNNNNNNNNNNNNNNNNNNNNNNNNNNNGGCAGGUCGACUCAAUACUCCGUGAUAAGCUGAUAUGUGGUCUAAACUAAAAACUCCAUGAAGUGGUAAGCCACUAAGGGGGCUGAUCCCAUCUCGACAGGAAAGGUGAUUCACCCAUGUGGGACAAUGCUGUCACCUAUGAAUCCAAAUAUUGGGUCGAUCAUGGGGAUCAAUCCAUGUUCAAUUUGUAUUUUGUCAAAGGUAUAUUCAUCUAGCUUCCAUCGUCAAAAAUCAUGCGUUUGAGUCCAUUUCGAGCCACUAUGGCUCUUAUUACCAAUAGGGAUGGCAAUUUGAAUAAUCAAAACUAAAAACUGUGGUUAACCGAACUGAAUGUGACGAAAAAAACCAAACCAAUGGUGCAACGGGAUGGUGUGGGUAUGGUAUUUACACUGUCGAACCAAAAUCGAGCUGAUUACCCGCAAAAAAAUACACACACAAUUGAAUUGAUUAUUUAGCUUUACACCAUUUUUCUAUCCAGCCCAAAACAAAAUUUCCUAAAUUACAUCUACCUGACCAAGUUGGCCAGCCUACUUACCAUUAGUCAAUAAUAAUAGCAUUAGUAUGACAAUAUAUAAAUGCAAACCCUACUCUUCACAAACCACAAACUCACGCACGGCUCCACUACCUCCACGGUCCAAGCCGUCGUUGCCUCCAAAAAAUUUUCCACACGACUUCAGUUUGAAUCAAAUCAGAUUUCAGUUUUACAGAAAAGAUAGGACCUCAAGUGACGGGCCUUCUUUAUCAAGAUUAUUGGAACAAAAAUUUCAUCUCAAUCAUUUUUGUUGUAUCUGUAAUCUGAUUGCAUUUUAUAUCCAAUUCCAGGGACGCAUUUUCAAGAUUUGAUGCAGAAAUUGUUUCAAUUUUUGUCGAAAAAAGGAUAAAUUCAAUCAGUACUAAUUAUAGUAUAGGCUUGAGCCAAGUCCGAGGCAUGGUCGACAACUCUAACCAAAUUCUUAAGGUUAGCAUUGCUUUUAUAUUACAUUUAAGCCUUAGUUUCUUUUAUAUUAGAUUUGCUCUAAUGUUUUUGAAUUGCAGUGCAUAUAUUAAUGCUCUUUUUAUUAAAGCAUUGAUGGAUGUUUUGAUGAAUUGAUAUUGUUGUGGCAAGGUGCUCGGUAAGGUUGUGCAAUAUGAAUUGGUAUCUUAAAUCUUGAUUUAACAGGAUAUUACUACUGGCAUCCGAGUCGACGUUUAGUACAAGUGGUAGAUUUGUCCACAUAGAAAUAGGCUUUACCUGAAGUCUCUAGAAGCUUUAAUGUGUGCUCAGGAUUUGCUUUGGACUGAUAUUCAUGAUAGAAUUUAUUGUUUUAUAUUUGUUAUUUAUACACUUCCUUUUAUUGUCAAUUUUUUUUAUUGUGUAGAAAAUUUUACUCCUUCAUCAUAGUCUAGAACUUGUGCAAUGUUUAGCGAGGAGCAAGCUGACGAAGAGGUACUUUUUUAUUUAAAUCUUAGUUAAGACAAUUUUGGAAUAGGUAGUAUCGUUGUAUUCUCUAUUUACUAUAUAGGAAUCAACUUUGAGUGCUGAUCUAUACUAGUAAGACUUGUGGGGAAGAAUGAAUCAAGUAACUUCGAUGCACAACAAUCAAAAAUGAAGGAAAAUAUUUUCGUUAAAUUUGUAUUUUGCAAUUGGAAAUUGGGAUAAUGUUUGCAUUUUCAUUUGGAAUAUUGUGUUUUUGUUUUCAUUAAUUUCUUUUCAUAAAUUGUUUUAUAACAACUUGACGGAUGAACCUAUAAAAAAUAAUUUAUUUUCGUGGUUAUUAACCGAACCGAACCGUUCCAAAACGAGAUAAAAAUUGAACCGAAUCGAACCAAUUUACGUGGUUAUGGUGCGGUUAUGACAUGGUCAAAAAAAUUGGUGAUACGGUUAUGGAUUUGGCCGAACCGACCUAUAACCAAAACGUUGCCAACCCUAACUAGCAACGUACCACAAUGGGGGUGAUGAACACCUUGUGCAUUUUCUUGGGAGAAAGUGAUUAGGGCCAUUCUAUUGGCUUCUUGAGACUGAUCAACAAUGUAGGUAAUUAUUGGUGGAUCAUUUGCUUCUCGUGUAUAAUUCCUUUGGGCAUUUCUUGUGUUGCCCCCAAUGUGAGGUUCUACAAUGAUUGUAUCACUUUCUCGAAUAGUUUGCCCUCCAGUUGAUGUGGCCUAAUCCCUAUGCCUGGAUUCUCCUCUAUCCCUUGUUUUUCUCCUUCGAGGUGAUUGCUUUCUUUGUCGCCUCUCCUCUCUGUUGGGGGAGGUGAAUCUACGAGGGUAUUCUUGAUAGUUAUCCCUCCUGGAGGACCUUAGGUUACUCCGAUUUGAAGAUCGAGGAGCAUCCCUACAUUCGCUAAUGUCGUGGCUAUAGAGUUGGUGGAAUGUGCAGAAUCUUGCCCCUUUUGGGGUCUGUUUGAUCGCUUCUUAUUCUUGUGCCAAUUGCUGUUUGUCCCUCUAGAUGGUCUUGCUUCAACAAUUGCAUUUUCAUAUGCUAAUAUCAACACUGCAUUUAGCGUGGCUGAAGCCAAUGCUUGUCCGGAUGUGGGAGCUAUUGUGUGCCGUAGUUGGGUCCAUUGCUGGGGUCGACCUACCUGCCUCCGAGGUGGAUGGAGUCCCUGGGCUAUACGAUUUCGAUGGUCAAUCAUCUCUUUAUUGACGAUCUCCACUCUCAUCAUCUCUACCAGGUCUUCAUAAGUAGCUAGAUUCUUGCUACGCACAUCCCUCCAUAACAAAGUGUUCAUGUUGAGGCCUUCGUUCAGGGCUAAAAGAGCCUCUCUGUCAGUGACUUGCUCACAAUAUGUGAUUUCAUCAAUAAACCUGAUGAGAUAGCUUUUCAGCGUCUCUCCAGGAGCUUACUUCAUAUCUUGUAGGCGUUGCACUGGGUCCUCUCAUUCUCUUGCCAUCUUCAAAUUUGGCUAACUUCUAAUACUCAAAGGUGGUAGCCUACUGUACCACACUUUGAUAGUUUUGGCAAGGUUAGAUGGAAGGCCCUGCAUUUCAGUGCAUGGGAGGCUCAUCUGAGGCUCAUUUGCGUUAUAUACUUAGUGAGGUGCUUUUCUGAGACUCUCUUUCCCUCAUAUUUAGGGAUUUUAGGGGGCAUGAAGUUUUUAGGCAUUAGGAAGCUUCGGAUCUCCCUUGAGAAGGGGAGGUUGUCAUCAUCACCAUCAAUUUUAUAAGAGCGACAUGGCUUCUCAGUGCCUUCGUUAUCUUGCACAUUUUGGGGAGGUGAAGAUGCUCUUCCUCGACUGUCCCAAUCAACUAAAUUUCUCAUUUUCGGCCUAUUCCCAGGUGGAGGAGAUGCUUGUUCUUGUUUUUGCUCUUGUUGAGCUAAUCUCUGUAUGGAGCAGACCCUACUACUUGGGUUUUGCCCUAUUCGGUCGAAGACACUAAUCGAUCUUUGUGGCUUAUACUCUGGUGGGAAGUUUUCUCCCAGCUGUGGUUCUGCUGCUUGGCUCCCUUGUGCAUAAGAUAUGACAUCUAUGCUCACUUUUCUUUCGAUGGGGUGUUACCUGCACUGGCUCGAAUGGCCUCGGCCAUGAGAUGCAGGAACUUGGUCUUGAGCUGGGUAGGGUCCUUGUGGCAUUUGGAAGCCCUGAUUACCUUGGGCUUGCUUGAAGAAUUCACGCAUCGCCAUAUUUUAAGCUACAAUGUCUCUUAUGUCUGCAGCUAUUUGAGUAAUUCCUUCAACGAGUGUGGCCGUUCUUUCACUUCGGUGACGCCAAUGAUGGUGUCUCGGUGAGUGACAUUGGUUCGAAGCACCUCUUCUUCAAAGGCAUCCCUGAAUCUAGGAUUUGCAUCCUCAUUGCUAGAACUCAUUUUCUUGUCUCCUUUUUCAAGGGUGUUAAGAAUUUGUAUUGUAGGUUGACUUAGUACUUUUUCAGGAAUGUUCCCUUUUCAAGGUAAGUCGAUGGUUUUUCGACGGCUUUUUUGGUGGUAAAUGUGGAACUUUUUGGAGGAAAAUAUUUUCCACAGACGGCGCCAAUCUAUUGCCACGUGGCCAAUCGAUAGCCACUCCACGCAAUCCUCCCUGCAUACAAUAACGAAUGGUUAGAAGCACAUGGCUAGAACUAGCUAGGUGGUGGCUGCCGCGUACACUCUGACGGUCAAGUAAGUGAUCGUUGGUCAGAACAGUGCUUGAAUUGUGCAAGAGAGUGGGGAGGAGAAUAUAUAUAUUUCUUGAAUGUGGAGAGCUAAGUUGAGAGAGUUUCAUUACCUUUAUCUCUUGCCAAACCUCAGGUAUUUAUAGAUGAGGAGCCCCGUUGGAUGUGGAACAUGUGUAUGCAUCUGACGGUGUGAGGCAUCUGCUCAUAGGUAUCACUAAGCCGAGUCUAGAGUGGGCAGGUAAUUAAUUCUUAUGAGUUGAGUUGACAUAAAGUUGAUACAUCACAUCAACUAGACCCAUGAAAAUGUCACAUCAAUUAACCCAUGGCGAUAAAGAGGGUCCUGACAUAGAUAUAUUUAUGAAAUUGACGGCAGAGGGAUCUGUUAAGGAAGCACCUCGAAGUACAUAACUCUUCGGCAUCAGGGGACACUUCAGUUGCUUUCAUGGAGUGCCCCAUGUUUCAGCAUCGAGGGACACUUCGGUUGCUUCAGUAGAUUUACUUUGUGAUGCUUGUGCCUUGCAGCAUAUCAAGUUGAAGUUUGGCCGAGGUUGACGUCACUUCAAAACCACUUCGAAAGGACAUAUGUUGUCUCGUGGAAGAGUAUGCCUGACGUACAGAAGUGGUUUAAUGAGGGGUGUAAUAGCUACUACAUUUGUGAAAUGUUGAGAAUGUCGCUAAUAAAAUGAGAGAGUUUGACUUUUAUUCAUAUAUCUCACAAAGGUUAUUUGGACUGCUACAACUUUUAGAAAUUAAGAAGAAAAAAGAGUAUACUAAUUAACAAUAACUGAAGCAAGUCGGCCUCAAAUCUCUUAUUGAACAAAUGAAAGCAUGAGAAUUACACUUGGAGCCUCUAAGGUUUCCAAUUAUUUCAACUUUAUAGCCACAAAUUAAUUAUAACUUUUCCUUAUGUCUCAUCCAACAAGAGAAUUAGUGACGAAACUAAAGGAAUGUCUAGCAUGCAUCAUUGCUUGCAUUAUUCAACACAACUUUUCUAAAAAAAUCAAAGGAACCAGUAAUUGUUUAUUUUUAACACCAUCACAUCUUGACCUUCUCAUGAUACCAUGUCGUUCUUCUUCGGUUUUAACAUCAUGUUAACUUCUUAGGCUUUUUUAGGAAAUUCAUCCACAAGGUAGCUGAUCUUUUAGGAAAUUUACUGAGAACCGAGCUCCACGUACAGGGACCUAUUUCACUGGCCCUGCCAGGUGAGACACAUGUGGGGGUAGGUGAUGUGAUCCGAGUGUGCUACCAAUUACCAAGAAUUCCACUAGCAUUGGAAGGAAGAUCAAGGUUGAAACAAGCCCAAUGUUUGAACUAAAUUGGAGGCCAAAAGAAGGUGAUAAAGCUGGAAGAUUAUUUGAUUGAAAUUAUGAAGCGCUAAAUGUCGGAAUUAAUGAGCUAAGUCAAAAGUUGGGGAUGAAAAUCACAAGCCAACGUCCAAGAUUAAUAUUGAGAUUGAAGGCCACUUCAUUUAGAAGCAAUCGAGUUACAAGCCGGAAAAAUGAAGGCCAAAAUAAUUGGCACAGAUUGGAUGCAAAACAAUGGUUGAAUGGCUGUGAACUACAACUAUGCGACCGCAAGGUUGAACCACCCAUGCGGCCGCAUGAACCAUCAGAAGGAUUUGAGACCAGGUCGCCAAGUAUUCCAUGCGACCGCAUAGGAAAUAGCAAUGCGGUCGUAGUGUUACCGACAGGGAAAAUUUCCAGAAAUUCCAGAGCAUCUUGGUAGUUUCCUUUUUCUCUCCAAUCUUUUCAUGUUUUCUUCAUUAUUUUAGGAUUUUUUUUCCUUUUUAAAAUAGGAUUUUAAUAUUUUUAUUAUUUUUAGGGUUUUAGUAUAAAUAAGAAAUUAUUUUCAUUACUGUAUUGGAAGUUUAUGAUGAAUUAAAAAUUAGAGAAUUCUCUCUUUCGAGGCGUGAUGCUUCAACCAUUGUCGAACUUAUCGGGAUGAUUUUCUCGUGGCAUUCAACAAAUCCGGGUGAGAUUCUUAAACCGUGUAUUAAAAAGUCAUUAAUUUAAUAUAUUAAUGGCUGUUUGAGUCAUUGUUUAGGGGUUAAAUCCAAAACCAUCGAUUCAUUGGCACUCUUGGGAACUGUGGCAAUCUUGUUGUGGUUUCGUGAGUGUUCGUUGCUCAUGGGUUCGCAUCAGCAGGCCUCAAAAUCUUUUUAAUACAUGGGAGGCCUAUCCCCCAAUAGUGAGGGGCAUGUGAGGCCCUUAUGAAGCUGCACCAUAGACAUGUAGCUUUAAUCAUUUAGUCAAACGUCCAUUCAGGAAGUCUACAUAAAAAAAAUGCCAAAUCUAAUAUUGUAUUUGUACCCUUGGGUCCAUUCAAAAUUAUCAAGCAAUAACCAUAUGAAGUAACCCUUCACACAUACACAAUGACUAAGAAUGAAGGAAAAUUAAUCGAUUAAUUUCAAAACAUGCAGUUUUAUUUCAAAUUGAAGUACCAUAUGUGUAAAACAAAUGAUGACUUACUCUAUUGCCUUUCUAAGGUAUGAGAGAUGGUCCCUGUGAUACUUAAUCCUAGUUUCAUCAAUAUGAGCCUUUGAAAUUGUUAGGGCUUUACUGUUGACUUCAUCCAACCCUACAAAAUAUCAUGGAAGAAUUCAACAAACCACUAAAUGCUGUGAAAAAAUUGUAAUUUUAAAAUAUUCUUUUGUAAUUUAAAUAAACAAAUGAACACGACUAUAUACCAUUUUAUGUAAUGAUAAUCUUGGGACUAUCAUAUUUUUUUCAUUAUAUAAAGCAUGAGAUGGAAAAUUGCCUUUCGAACUAUGUACAGCCAUGGCCAACCAGCCUACCACGAAAUAAGAAAGAUUGCUAUUACGUUAGAUUAUACAUUAGCAUUGGAAAUUAUGUAAACCAUAAUUUGUAUUUUAAUUUGUUGUGUCUCUAUUAUGAGUCUAUGUCACGAUCAUGUGUCAUCAUAAUUUUUUGAUAUUCCUAAAUUGUUGUAAGAAUAAUCUAUUCAUUUUCAAUUUUUUCUCACAAAAGGAUAAUGUUAAUGGCUCAGCCGCUGACCAAUCGACUUCCCAUUACAAUAAGCUACAAAAGAAUGAGAAGUAAACAUAUUGUUAUUAGUAGUGUCCAUUUUAUGUCAAGAUAAAAGAAUAUAUGACUGAAUUGUACUUACUGUGAUUAUGCCUGGGCGAGAGUUGGUUCGUCCAUUUUAAAGAGAACCGAACUAAAGCAAAAAAUUUUGGGUGUUUAGUAAAUGGAACCGUCGGAUCCAAAUAUAUUUAUGGAACUGUUCGGGUUCUGUAUCAUUCGGUUCUAUUCGGUCCGAAUCGGUUCCAUUCUAUAAUUAAAUCUUUUAUCAUUUAUAACGACACUGCAUAAAUACAAUUAAUAAUACAUUCAAUAGUAGUUUUUACAAAUUAAUGUAGUUCAAUUUAAUAACAUAUAAAUGACAAGUUGUCCAACAAGAGUAAUUUACCAAUGCAUACAAAUACAAAAAAUUAGAUACCAAUACUAAAACUUCAAUGAUCCAUUGAAUGAUUCAUUUACUUCAAACCUUUAAGUCUACUUGAAAAAUGAAAUAUAAAUUAGAAGUCAUAGAGAUAAAAUAUUUUAAAGUAUUGUUAAUACUUACCAACUAUUUGAAUUGCCUAUCAAUUGUUUGACUUGCCAUACUCACAACUAAGAAACUCUACAAGAAAAAAUUGAAAAGUACAAUUAACAAACAUAAAUAAACUAAAAAUUGGAGCAUUAAUCACUUAAUUAGAUAAUUUUAUAAUUUAUUUAGAAAAAAUUAAAAGAAUUUGAUUUAUUCAGUUCUUCGUCUAGAACCGAGAACAGAACCGAACUUGUUGAUUCUUGAUUCAAAUACCCAUUCGAGCAUUUAACUUAAGAAAAACCGCAUGGUUCGAACCAGACAUUUUGCCCAGCCCUAACUGCGAUAUUCAACAUGCAGAUCAUUGUCAUAAUGGGGUUGUGGAGUUUUUUCACGUAUAUUUCUGGAAUAAUAAGUCAUGUAAUAAUUUAUACCUAAGACGUCACAAGAUCCAUUCGCUAGUGCCACCUCCUUUUGUUUAAUUUUGGGAAGACCUUUACUUAUAUUAUUUCUCAUGUAUGGUGGAUAAUCACCAGUUAUUACAGGGGCUACAAACCUGAACAGGGGAAAUGUGUUAACUAAAGGAUUACAAUAGAAGUACUAUCUGAAAUUCUAUAAAAGUAUAUCUGAUGUAUUCUCGAAAAGACACGUGAUUUAUACAAUAUAAAAACAACAAAAAUGUAUAAAGAAGUUAAAAUAUAAACAAAUUAGAAGAGAAGAAAUUUUCGAUAAUGAAAUCACAUUUAAAUUACUUCCCUUCACACUAAUUUCAUUUGGAGAGUUAGGAACUAACAGAGAUGAAGAGAAAUUUGUCUUGGUAAUGAUAAACUUCUCAAGCACAUGUAGUAAUUACCAUCCUAACAUAAAGUCAACUGCCUAUUGGAAAUAUUUCACAAUUAAGGGAAAUGGAGAAGAAGCAAGAUAGAAAAUAUAUCAAGUAGAUGAAAAUGAUAAAGAAGGCUCGAACACGAUAUCGUUGUCUUCAAACGACAUUUGCCCCCUCUAAGAUACAAUUUUGGUACUUAUAGGGUUCCUAGGCAAAAGGUUUGAACAUGAAUUUCAAUAUAAUUGUAAUGAAUAGUUUGAUCUUAAUUGUGGCUACAGAUUUUUCAAUAUUUUUUCUAGGUUAUCAACCACAUAUUUAUAGCCUUCAAACAUGCCGUAUGAAGUCGUACCAAAAAACCUUCAAAAGCUACCGGAAUUUUGAACAAAGAUGGCUGCUAACGAUCAUAUGAUUAUUCUAUGUGGUUGCAUAGCAUUAACCUAUGCGACCGCAUAGGUUGUUUGAAAGCCUCUAUGUGUUUGCACUCUAUUAAGGUCUACGUGGUCGCAUAGAUCAUGGGCUUGGCCCAUAUGUGGCCGUUUGUUUCCACUUUCAUUCCACACAUCUCACUUGUUCAAAAGUUCAUUAAAUCUCAUAUUCAAGGUUUACAAUGCUUAUGCAUAAGGAUUAGAUAACUUUCGAUUUAAAUCUAACCAUAGUGUAAUUUAAACAAAGUAAAGUCGGAAACAAAGGUAGCGUGAAGUUUUGAACUAGUUAUUCCAGGUGGCAAUACUGGUAAGAACAUACACAAGUAUAACGUGUUCUCAUGUUUCUCAAACUCGCUUAGCGCUAAUAUGGCCUUGCACUCAUCAUUUUUAACAAACUUUUAAGAGAAAAACUCCAACUCUUUAUUGAGGUGGCACCACCUUGAAGUUCUUUUAGGUGAAGUGAUGCAAACCCCGAAGCAACAGUGACUACAAAACCCACAACUAUAUUGAUGCGGAACCCAAGAACGCCAAUUGAUAAUUUAAUUUUGGAUUUGAACUCGACAAAUUGAAACAAGAAACCCAAAGAUAACUAUGAUGCGAUGAACCCCUUUUUUACAAAUUGAAGAACUCACGAUCCGAUGUUGAAUGCCACAAAGAAUUAAUCUUUGAUAAGUUAAAAUGAUUGUUCAAAGAAGAAUGAAGGAAGAAAGCAAAUUGCCUCUCUUAUUGAAUUCUAAAAAUAAUGUAAUACAAUGAAAAUAAAAUCCUAUUUAUACUAAACCUAAAAAUAAUGGAAAAAAUGAACUCAUAAUCUUCCAAUAUGGUAAGUAGUUCAAUUGGAAUAAAAUUCUGGCAGAAAAUGUGGAAAAUGCUUAAAAAAAUAAAAUUUUGAAUUUAAGCAUCGCUCGAGCGACGUUAAGCAAAAUUUGAGCGACAGCAGCAUCGCUCAAGAGAAGACACAACGAAAAGCAAGCGAAAUUGGUUUUGCUUUUCUCACUCAAGCGAGGGUCCAGCGAUGAGCGGGCGAAAUUCCUGCACUUCGUCAACUACGUUCUAGACUUGAAUUAAGUUCAACCACUUGGAUUUAGCUCCCGAGCUCAAAACCUGGAAUAAUUUCUUCAACUAUUGAUUGAACUAGCAUUCCCAUCGCCUGUUGACCGUCUUUGCCCUCGACUUAGUAUCGGACCAGCUCCAACGAUCAACAGAUCUCUACCAAGACUUGACUUCUCGACCUUCGGCUCCUAGAUCAUAUCAUCCCCUUUCUCUUCAAAAGGAUUCAUCCUCGAAUCUUCACCUGCAUCAAAAAAGAGAUAGACCAGCAACAUUAAAUGUAGCCGAAACAUUAUACUCACCUGGCAGAUCUACUUUGUAUGCAUUAUCAUUGAUUUUAUCGAUGACUUGGAAAGGUCCAUCUCCUCGCGGUUGCAAUUUGGACUUUUUCUGCUUCGGGAAACACUCCUUCUUGAAAUGUACCUAGACCCUAUCUCCAAGCUCAAAUGUCACGCAUCUUCUCCCUUUGUUUACUUUUGAUGCAAUCAACUUACUCUUUUCUUCGAUCUAUAUCUUAACCUUCUCAUGGAGUGACUUUAACAACACAGCUUUUCUUUUACCAUUCAAGCUACCUCGUUCAUUUACAGGCAAAGGCAAUAAAUCCAAAGAAGUUAGUGGAUUAAAGCCGUAGACUAUUUCAAAUGGUGAAAACGAAGUAGUAGAAUGCAUAGCUCUAUUAUAAGCAAACUCAAUAAAUGGUAAGCACUCUUCACAAAUUUUUCAAGUUUUUAUUGAUCACAGAUCGAGGCAAUUGAGUUAUGGUCCUAUUUACUACCUCAGUUUGCUCAUCGGUUUGUGGGUGACAAGUUGUAGAAAAUAAAAUUUUAGUUCCUAACUUAUUCCACAAGACACGCCAAAAAUGACUCAAAAAGUUACCAUCACGAUCAGACACUAUGCUCCUAGGGACUCCUUGCAAUCAUACUAUUUCCCUAAAGAACAAUCCUGCAAUGCUAGUGGUAUCAUCGGUUUUGUGACAUAGUAUAAAGUGUACCAUUUUACUAAACCUAUCAAUCGCUACAAAGAUUGUAUCUCGACCCCUUUUUGCCCUAAGCAAACCCAACACAAAAUCUAUUGAGAUGUCCACUUAAGGAUCACUAGGUACUGGCAAAGGAAUAUACAAACCAUGAGGUAAAAUCUUAGACUUAGCCUUUUUACAAGUUAUGCAUUUUUUACAAACUCAUUCUACAUCACUUCGCAUUUUAGGCCAAUAAAAAUGUUCUCCUAACAUAUCUAAAGUCUUUUGAACCCCAAAGUGCCUCAUUAAACCUCCACUAUGUGCUUCCCUUACCAACAAUUCACCUAUAAAACAAUUAGGUGUGCACAAAUUAUUUUCUCUAAACAAAUAUCCUUCAUGCCUAUAGCAUUUAUCAACAGCUCCCUUAUCACAUAAUUCAUAUAUGCUAGAGAAAUCAAUGUCAUUUUCAUACAUGCUCUUUAUAUCUUCAAAACCAAGUAACUUUGUAUUUAAAGAAUUAAGAAGCAUGUACCUUCAUUACAACGCAUCCACAACCACAUUUUCAUUACCUUGUUUAUGCCUGAUGAUGUAGGAAAACAUCUCUAUGAACUCCAUCCACCUCGCAUGUCUCUUAAUCAACUUACCUUGACUUCAUAAAUGCUUUAGGGACUCAUGAUCAGUGUGUAUCAUGAAUUCCUUAGGCCACAAGUAAUGCUGCCAAGUCUCCAAUGCACGAACAAGUGAGUACAACUCCUUGUCAUAUGUCGGAUAGUUUAGUACAACUCCGCUUAACUUCUCACUAAAAUAAGCAAUAGGUCUCCGUUCCUACAUUAACACUGCUCCAAUACCUAUCCCUAAAGUAUCACACUCAAUCUCGAAUGUUCUAUCGAAGUUAGGUAAUGCCAAAAUAGGUGCUUUACACAAUUUGUCCUUAAAAGUGUUAAAUGCAAGUUCUUGUGCUUCACCCCAGUGAAAACCUAUGCUUUUCUUAACAAUUUAUGUUAAUGUUGAUGUGAUUGUGCUAAAAUCUCUUACAAAUCUCCUAUAAAAACUAGCCAAACGAUGGAAACUCCAAACUUCAGUUAUGGUUUUAAGUGUUGGCCACUCUUUAAUAGCUUUUACCUUUUUUUAAUCUACUUCUACACCACUAGUACUCACCACAAAUCCUAGAAAGACAACUUUUUUCUGUACAAAACGUGCAUUUCUUGAAAUUAGCAUAUAGUUAUUCUUUCCUUAACACAGCAAGCACAUAUUUUAAAUGUUCCAAAUGCUCAUCUAGGUCUUUGCUAUAGAUUAAAAUGUCAUCAGAAUAAACUACAAACAAAUUUCCCUAUGUAAGCACGCAAAACAUGAUUCUUGAAAUGCAUGAAAGUGCUCAGUACAUUAGUGAGACCAAACAGCAUAACCAACCAUUCAUAUAAUCCAUAUUUAGUUUUAAAUAUCGUUUUCCACUUAUCAUCCUCCCUCAUACAAAUUUGAUGAUACCCGCUUUUAAGAUCAAUCUUACUAAAAAUGCAAGCACUUUGAAAUUCAUCUAGCAUAUCAUCUAGCCUAGGUAUUGGGUGACGAUACUUUACCGUUAUGUUGUUUAUAGCUCUGUAAUCCACACACAUUCUCCAAGUUCCAUCCUUCUUUGGCACCAAUAGAACAGGCACAAUGACUUAUACUCUCCUUCACAUAUCCGUUGCUCAUCAACUCCUCCACUUACCUCUGAAGCUCCUUUAUUUUCUCGGGAUUGUUUCGGUAAGGUAGUUUGUUUGGAAUGAUAGCUCCAGGUAUGAAGUCAAUCUGAUGCUCGAUGCCUCCAAUUGGUGGCAAUCCACUUGGCACGUCCUCUGGAAGUAUAUAUUCAAAUUCCUGCAACAAGGACUUAACCAAACUAGGGAGGGGUGUGUUAGAUUCCUCAAAAUUGAUAAAUGACUCUUUUUAUACGAACAACAACAACAAUGUUUACCUUUUAUCAACUUACUCCCCUUCGCAAAAAAGUUUACUUUCAGCUUUUCUCUCCUCUCAACUAACUUUUUUCUCUCCACUCAACUGAGUCUUUUCUCUCCUUUCAUGUGACCUCUCUCUUUUUCCCACUCUCGGCCACCUCACCAUUUUCUCUCUUACUCAGCGUCUCACUAUCUUCUCUCUCUUUUCUAAGCUCUCUCACUCUCCUCUCUUCCUCAUUUUUUAGUUUAAUUUGGUCUUCAUACACCUGUGCCGAUGUUAACGGUGCAAGAGUAAUGGAUCUCCCAUCCUUGACAAAGCUAUACCGAUUCCUAUACCCAUUAUGUGUAACUUUCCUAUCAUAUUGUCAUGGUCUUCCCAACAAGAUAUGACCCGCAAGCAUAGGUAAUACAUCAAGUACAACCUUGUCACUAUAACUCCCAAUCGAGAAAUUAAUUAAAACUCGUUUGUUAACCAUAACUUCUCCACUUUCAUUCAACCACUAUAAUUUGUAAGGCCUAGGGUGUAUAAGUAAAGCUAAUCCUAAUUUCUCAACUAAAGUUGUGGUAGCUAUAUUUGUGCAACUUUCACCAUCAAUAAUCAAAAUAUAUACCUUAUCAUGGAUGUGGCACCGAGUAUGGAAGAUAUUUUCCCGCUACUGCUCCGAAUCAUCCUCCUUGAUUUGAGUGUUAAAAGCUCACCUCGAAACCAACAAGUCCCCACCAACAAACUCUACCUUAUCCUCUUCUAUCUCAUCGUACUCUCCUUCACUCUCACUCACUACUUCUCCAUUGUCUAGCAACACCAUCACCUGCUUAUUUGGGCAUUGAGAAGCGAUGUGCCCAGACCUCAAGCAUCUAACACUUGAUUUCUUGACUCUUUGGUCGUUUUGACUCCAUUUUAGGCAUUGCUUUACUAGCAUCUUCAUCUUUUCCGUUUUGUCAUUCAUUCAUGCCUUUAGGUACAACAUCAUUUCUUUUACUAUUAUCCCACCUCGAUUUCUAAGAUGAAUUAGAACUCGAAGUACCUAGUUGUUGCCUAGCUGUCCCCUUCCUCUUCAACCAUCUCUCCACCUUUAUGGACACAUGCGUCAUGUCUUCGAAUUCCUCAUAAUGCUACAACUCAACUACAUUAGUAAUUUCCCUAUUUAAACCAUUCAAGAACCUUGCCAUAAUAGCUUCCCGAUCCUCCACCACAUUCACUCUAAUAAUGAGUAUCUCCAUUUCCUUGUGGUAAUCCUCUACACUCUUUGACCUCUGAUACAAGCUUUGCAAUUUUAAGUGGAUCUCCCUAUAAUAGUGGCUAGGAAUGAACUGUUUUCUCAUCAAUGCCUUCAACGCAUCCCAUGUGCUAAUUGGUCUUCCCCCACUCCUACGUUGUGAAGUAACCUCUUGAUCCCACCAGGUUAUGGUAUAGUCAAUGAAUUCUAACACCGCCAACUUGACGUUCUUCUACUCCAAGUAGUUAUAACACUCAAAAACUAAUUCUACCUUUCUCUCCCACUCUAAGUAUGCUUCUGGGUCACUUCUCCCAUUAAACCGUGGAAUGGUCAUUUUGAUACUACCCAGAUUCCCAUCCAUCUCAUCUCCAUGAUUAUUCCUAACCUGUCUUUCAAACCUAUCGCCUCUAUUCGUCGUCCAUCCCAAAUCAACGUCAUUAGCCUCAUACUCAUCUAGAUCACUAUCAUAUUCCUCAUACCUUAUCUUCCUAGGUUCUUGCCUACUCAGUCCCCUAGCAUUUGACAUCUCUAUUGGCUGUCCCCUAUGAAGAUUAGCCACUUAUGUAUCUAACCUAGUCAUCCAAGCCUCCUGUUGAUCCAACCUAUCCCUCACAACUCCAAAAGUACUCUCAAAUCGCUGUAUCAAAUCAUUUAUUGCGGCAUUAUGAUUGCCAUGUUGGCUUGAAUCGGAAUCUUCUCAUCUAGACAUCCUAAAACUAGAAAUUUUUAUUUGCCUCAUCCGUAUUCACUCGAAAAUCACAAAAUAUGGCUUUUAUCCUCUAAUAAGCUCACCAUCUACCUUUUACCACUCAAUGCUUUUACUAAGUGCUUCCAAGAACAAUCAAUGAACUCACCGGAUUCAAAAUUUGUGGACUCAAGACCGAAUGCAAGUCAAGGAAUAUAAUUUUUAAGGGAUUUUCGAACAAUGGAAUUGGAAUUUUGAAAAGACUCAACUAAACAAUUUAACAAUGGAGGUGUAAUAAAGAUUUUAAAAUGAUUUUGACAACUUUGAAUUUAUUUUUAUUUUUGUUAAUCAAACUUGGAAUGUUGGUAGUAAACCAAUCAAAAAAUUAGAAAUUUUUUUUUUAUGUGAACAUCAACUUUUUUUUUUUUUUUGAACAGCAACCUUUUUUUUUAUAUAUAAAACAACAACAAGAUUAUACUACCAACAAAAUUUCGAUCUAUGAACAAGGAACAAAGAACGACUCAAGAACACAAAAGGAGAACUAGGAAAUGAAAGAAUUUGGCGAACAAACAAGAAAAAAAAGAUAUAACCUAAUUAUAUUGGAGCCAAAGCUCUAAUACCAAUUGAUGUGAACCCCGUAGGUACAGUAAUUAUGUAAACCCAUUAUUAGAUUGAUGCAGAACCCAAGAACACCAAUUGAUAAUCUGAUUUUGGAUUUGAACCCGACAAACUGAAACAAGAAACCCAAAGAUAAUUGUGAUGCGAUGAACCCCUUGUUUACAAAUUGAAGAACCCACGAUCUGAUGCUGGAUGCCACAAAGAAUUAAUCUUUGAUAAGUUCAAAAGAUUGUUCAAAGAAGAAAGAAGGAAGAAAGUAAAUUGCCUCUUCUAUUGAAUUCUCAAAAUAAUGUAAAGUUCUAAAUGCAAUGAAAAUAAAAUCCUAUGUAUCUCAUAAUCUUCCAAUAUGGUAAGUAGUUCAAUUGGAAUAAAGUUCUGCAAAAAUAUGGAAAAACGCGUAAAAAUCUCGAAUUUAAGCGUCGCUCGAGCGAUGUCGAGUAAAGACCCAGCUAAAAGCGGGCGACAUUGGUUCUACUUUUCUCGCUCGAACGAUGAGCAAGCGAAAUUUUGGCACUUCGUCAACUUUGUUUUGGACUUGAAUUAAGUUCAACCACUAGGAUUAGGCUCCCGAGCUCAACACCAAACUUGUUCCUUUUUGCUCCAAGACCGAUGUUUCUUCAACUAUUGAUUGAACUUCUUUGCCCUCAUCCAAGUCAUCGGACCAGCUCCAACGAUCAAUGGAUCUCUGCUCGGACUUGAAUUCUCGACCUUCAGCUUCUGGAUCAUAUCAUGAAGUUCUUCAAGUAUCUUUGAUACAUUUAGAGAUACUUGUAUUUAGUACUUAACUUCAUUAAGAGCUUGAAGCCCAAUCCUCAAUCCAGUAACAACCAACAUUAUUUAAUUAGGAUAGGGUUAUCGUGGAUUUUUAUAAUGCUGAAACUAUCUAUAUAUCAAAUGAUUUGUUGUAACUUUUUGAACCCGUGGAUUACCCUUUGAGUAAUGAUAGGUAGGCUUGCCGUCAUUGGUGGACCUUUUAAUUUAGGAGUUUCAACCUCAUUAUACUUGAAGUACGUGCUAUUAAUUCUCUAUUUAGAGGUUUAGCUAAAGGAUCUACUAAAUUCUUGAUUGACUUUACAUAAUUUAAGAAAAUUAUUCCAUCCUUAAUUAAUUUCCUUAUGAAGUCACAUCUAAGACUCAUAUGUCUAGAUUUUCCAAUACACGUGACUUAGUAUCUUAUUAAAUGUAGCUAGCCAAUGAUCGAUUCAUUUAAUAGAUACAACUUGUCACUAUCACGAAAUCCUCUUAUGAAGCUAUGUGCUUCUCACUAACUUUAUCUAAAGCUUUAUUGAUUUCCAAACACGGUUGCAGGAUUCAAAUUAUCACACUAGUCAAUCAGUUUUGCUAGUGGAUUUCAUAUAUGGGAAUUCAAUUCUCAUCAUUGAAAUAUUACAAUGACCUUCAAUACUAAGAAUAUUAUUUAAAUAUUCCAAUUGUUUUUGCAAAUGCCAUAACCGGCUUUAACCUAUUUCAUCCACUUUAGACUUAGUGUAUAUCAUCAUUAUAAUCGUAUAAGGAUUUUCUACAUUUUCUCCUCCAUAGACAUCUUUCUAUGAUUAAAAUGGCACAACAAACUGUGACUUUUAUACUAAGUUAGCCCUACAAUUCCUUAAUUAGGAAUACAAAUGCAAUCUAGUAAUGUUGCAUCCACAAGUCUUGAACUUCUCAUAUAAUUUCACGAGCAUUAAUGUUAAUGCCCACAUUUUGGGUUAUACUUGAACUCAGAGUUCAUUAAAUCUUUCAUAGUUUAAUUCAUUUAUCACUUUGAUAAUAUCCAUGAAAGUGUAUAUACUUUCAGAUAGUGUUUGUUAAGUCACAAUGUACUUCAAUCCAACAAUCUUUAAUUUUGAUCACACACAAUUUAAUCAAGGUCAUUUCAUAGACCGAUAAUGCUUUUCCAAGCAUAAACCAACUUAAUUGGUUCCACGAUUGAAGUUAAAUUUAACAAUGAAGAAGACUAAGCAUCUUGGUUCUCAAGAAUUGGUACUUCUCCAAAUAUAAGUGACUUAUCACUUUUGUGACCUUUCAUAAGUUAGCAUCAUAUCACAUCAAAUAAUGAGGUACAUAUUCACUUUAUUCAUAUUUGGAUAAAAUCACAUUUUGUCAUGUUCAUUUGCAAAUAUAAUUUUGUAUCAAUCAACUCACAUAAUUUCAUCCAAUUAAUUGAAGCUAUCAUCAUAAUCAUAGUUAGUAUGAUUUUAACAAGAUGUGAAAAUUUAAAUUUCAACAAGAUCUAUCAUAUUUCAAUAAAAGGAAUAGUCAUGAAAGUUCAUAUACUUUCAACAAAUAUUUGGUAAUCUUCCAACAUUAUCAUCCCAUGCAUAUGAACCAUUUCCAACUGUUACGAUAAAGUGAGAAUAAUCAAUUUAUUUCAUUUUCCACAUGCAGUAACAGUAACAUUAAUAAAAAAUUGGAAUAAGUCAAAACUUUGGAAAGUCAUAUCUUUUCAUCUUUCUUAUUAGGUUGAUACUUAUUAAAAGUAUUCUAUUUGUCACAAUUUAAAAAUAAUCAAUCAUAUAGAUCAACAAACAUACUCUACCGUUUUACUCUGCCAAUAGUGAACAUAGUUUAUUAUAUGAAUAGAUGCAAUUUGUAACUUUCAACCGCAUAUGGUUUUAAUUGACCACAAAGGAAAUAACACAUUGCUUGUUAAAACAUGAUAUCCAAACCAUAAACUAUCAAUGUUUACAAAUUUCAGCAAACGAUCAUGCACAUAUAUACUUUGACAUGAUAAAAUUGAACACAUACCGCAAAUUUGGACCAAAAGUCAUGCAUAAAUUCGCCUUUUCACAUUAUAGCAAUGUAGGCAUUCAUAUAUUCUUUUUCUAUCAGCAGCAAUCAUUUGACCAUUGAAAUAUAAUGCACACCAUAUAAAUUAAUAUCCAUUUAGUGGGUUUCAUCUCCUUUUUUUCAUAUGUCAAAACUAUAUUUAUAUAAUGAAAAUAGAUGUUCAAUCCGUUUUAUGCAUAUAAAAUCAGAUUAAUAUGUAGUCAAAACCCACGUAAUUUUUUUUUCAUGUGCGAAGAUCGAAUAAAAUUUCGACUUGCCAUAAUGGAAUUUGAGAAAAUGAAAUGAUAAUUACUAGAAUCGAAUAUGUGGCGAUGGAUUCAAUCCUUUCCAAAACGUUAUCUCCAAUGCCGUUAGAGAAACUCCAACUUGGCAUACCAUCUUGUGAAGUUUGUCCCACCAAAAUGGUCCAAACAAGAUCAUGAUUCAUCAACUUGAUCGUAGCCAUUAUGGUUUCAUUCUCCAUAGCAGAAAUAUCGUUUGAGAUCGUUGGAAAUAUUUCACAACCAAGGGAAGUAGAGAAGAAACAAGAUAGAAAAUAUAUCAAGUGGACGAAAAUGAUGAUGAAGGCUUGAACAAUCCUCAAAUGAUAUUUACCCCCUCUAGAAUACAAUUUUGGUUCUUAAAGGGUUCAUUGGAAAAUGGUUUGAAGUAUUAAUCAAGCCUUAUAAAGAAUUUAAUUCUUAAGCACUGGUGUAAUUCUCCAAAACUCAAGAACAUAAAAGGAAAGGCUUGAAUAUGAAUCUGAAUAUAAUUGGAAUGAAUAGUUUGAUCUUAAUUGUGGCUAUAGAUUUUUCAAUAUUUUUUCUAGUUUAUCAACCACAUAUUUAUAGCCUUCAAACAUGCCAUACGAAGUGGUGCCAAAAAACUCUCAAAAACCACGUGAAAUUUGAACAAAAUGGCUACUAACGGUUACAUGAUUACCCUAGUAUUAGCCUAUGCGACCGCAUAGGUUGUUCAAAGCAGGGCCUAUCUCCUUGCGAUCAUACCCUUAUAGGGUCUAUACGGUCCCAUAGAUCAUGGGUUUGGCCUGUUUGUGGCUGCUCGUUUCCACUUUCAUUCCAUACACCUCACUUAUUGAUUUUGAACAACAAUUCUCAUCACUGCCCUCAAAGCAGCCUAUUCAUCCUCCUGGGUGUUGUCCCUAAGUGGGUAAAACCACGUUGAAACAUUUAUCACCCCUUUUUUGCCUCCUUGGUGUUCCUGUAUGUACAAAUGUAAUAAUAUUUAUAAUCAAUAGUUAAAUCUCAAAAGUGUUUAUUUAUAUGUGUGUUUGAAAUGAAAACUUGAUAAUAUUUCCUAUACAUAUAAACCGCAUGUGCGCGAGCAAGGAUCAAAUUGUGUGCCGCAAUAUAUGGAUCAGUGCCCAGAUUUCCAUUUGAGAAAGUAUGGUGAGGCAAUUUUUGUGCCAUAGCAAUUAUUUCUCCGAUUCGAUCUCUUUUAGAGGAAUCAAGUUCUCUGAUCGGAUCACCUUCUGAAGAAGUAAAGUGAGGAUUAGUCAUUGGACAUAUGUGAUGAAAGAUCGAAGAAUGCAUCAAUUGUUUUAUCGAAGUUUCAUUUGCUAAAGUUGCACAAGGGGAGAAAUUGCCUAUCACAUAUCCAUAAUAAGUAAAGGCCCAUCGCUCAAUUUAGUGUGAUCCAAUGUUUUACUCGAUUACCAAAUUCCUCAAAGCACAUCUUAGCAAACUCACAAAACGCAACGUGAAACAAGUUAAUAUCAAGAUAUACGUGUAACGUGCACAUGAUAAAAAUUUUCACAUAUCAUGUUAAAUUCUCCCUAGCAUAGAACUAGAGAGCAGUAAACAAAAAAGAAAAUAUUGAAAUCAUCUCCCUAUCAUAGAACUAGACAGCAAUAAGAAGAAAAGAUACUCUCUAGCAUAGAAUUAGAGAGCGCAAAAAGAAGAAGAGAUAAAUUCAACGUGAAAUCAUAUUGAAGAUUGGAAAAUAACCAAUGACUUAUAAGGUAUACAAGUGCUCUAUUUAUAGACACGGUACAAUAGCAUUAUAGCUGGACUUCAACAGAUUUAACUAACUAACUAUAUUUAUUCUAAGUAACUAAACUAACUAACCAACUAACUAACAUAACUACAUAACAGCUGGAAUCAAGAUUGGAAUCUGGUGAGCUGAACUGGAAGGGAUCUACUAAUAUGUAUUGUUUCUGGUUCUAUAUUGUAAGAGCCCCCCUCAAGAGGGGCAUGGAUGUUCAAAAUGCCCAUGUUGCAGAUAUUGGAAUGAAGCAUGACAGAUGAUAGAAACACCAUAUGGUUCAAUUUAGAUUCCAGCAGCUAAAUAUCCAAGAAUAGAUUUUUCAGAAUCACAUGGUACUUUCUGGAACACGUCAGUGGAAAGACUAUACCUCCGCGUGCAAUUCUUCAGUUUUUCACAACUAAUGACUUUGUUUUCAGUGAACAAAAGGUUAAGCCAAGAUCUUAACAGCUUAUCCUCAAUAAACUAAGAUCAGAUUUUAUCACGGAUAAGAAACCAAAAAGGCGUAACAAAGCAGAUUUCGAGAGAGAAAGUUAAAGAGGAGUGCAAGUGCACUUAAGAAGAACCAUGUCUUGUGAACCUUCACAAAGGUUUGGUUGGGUGGACUAUACAACAAUUUGCAUAGAUUUUGAAGUACUAAAGGAUGUUGUGAGAUACAGCAGACAAGAACUUGAGGUAGCCUGCGAAGAUUUCAGUAACAUCAUUGGAUCCUCUCCAGAUAGCCUCGUAUACAAAGGCACCAUGAAAGGUGGGCCUGAAAUUACUGUUUUAUAUAUAUAUAUAUAUAUAUAUAUAUAUAGGAUAAGUAAAGAAGGAAUCAAAUGCUAUCCCGAUCUCAUAGAUGCACUUUUGGCUAUAUAUAUAACAUUUAAAUUGAGGAAAUUGCUUGGCAACGUCAUUCGAAAUUUCAAAACUUUUUGUCCUUUGAUCUAAAGAUAUCAUUUUUCUCGUCAAAAGUUUUUCUAAAUUUAUCUCAUCCUUUUCCAUGAGUUACUAUGCAAGAUUGUCGAGACUUUCUAGUCCAUUUAGACAACUGAGCCCUACUUUUCAAUGAGAACAAUAAACUCUACAUUGUCAACAAUCUCGUCUGCUUUGCCAAGUGAGGAUUUUGAUAAAAGGCAGUAUAGUCAUAUAAACUUUCAAGAAAAAAGCUCUUUGGCCUUAAAAAAAUUAGAUUACUUGGAAAACUUUUCCUUUCAAAUAAAAUAAUGCACAAACUCUAAAUCUUCCACGUUUCAAUAUUGAAAUAAAAUAUCUAUUUUUAUAUUUUUAUUGAAGUAGAAUCCAAUACUUGGUAAGAUUCUGGACCAUGAGAUUGAAAUCUAUAAGAAUUCAAACCUUCUUCAUCAAAGCCACAACUUCCUGCAAAAUUAUGAGCACAAUUAACAAUGAAACAGAUAAUUCUUGGUGGCUUAAAUUAGAGCACAGUCAAUCAUAAUGGAAAUAAUUUUUGUUUCUACCAUUUUUUUUCAAAAUUGAAAAUUUUGACUUCAAAUGUUAACUAAGUAUCAACUCUGUUAGGUCUAAGAGUGUAAUUAGUGAUUUUGGGAAUAAAAGGGAUGUAAUUGAAUGUUUGUAAAAGUUAGGGACUCAAUUGAACAUUGAUGUAAAAGUCAGGGCCUUGCAUUGCAAUUUUGUAAAGUUGGGUAGGCUAGGGUUUACACUUGAGGCUAGGGUAAAGAUACAGCAAAGCGUCGCUGGCUGCUCGCUUGACCAAUGCUCGAGCAUAAAAAGCAGAGAGCUCGUCACUCGCUCUUCGUCCCCUCAUCGCUCGAGUGAUAAUGUUUUGCCAGUAAUUCUAAGUCUAAUUUUUCGAGACUUUUACAUGGCCCAGGACUCUCAUCUGUCCCCAGAUAUAAAUCAAAGGUCGUGAACAAAAGGAGGAGAUUGCCACAUUGUGCCUACAUUGCAAAACAUCUUCCUACAUUCUUUCAAGAGGUCCAAGAUAGAAUUGAUCAAGGAAUUCAUCUAUAACAUCUUGUGAUUUGGGCAAUCUACGAUGGGAAAACAUCAAAGUUCUUGAAGACAAAACAACGUGUCUUCCUUCAUCCGUUGAGGAAGAGACUAUCUCAUUGGGGAUUGAGAGAGGUGGACGUCAAGCACAGUGAAUCGGACAAGAACAGGCGAUUCUUGAAAUUCCACUUUGUGAUACAAUCGUGAGACUGGAGCAGUAGGUUUGAUUGGGUACGAAGUUUGAUGUAACUUGUACUUGCUAAAUUGGUAUAGUAGACAUCACUGACUUGGUCCUGGAGUUUUUUUUUUCCACAUUGGGUUUCUCUGGCAACAAACUGUGAGUUGUGUUGAUUUAUUCUUUUACAUAUUGCAAAACGAUAGUUCAAUAUAGGAUUAACAUGACUUGUAUGUUUAACGAACUAGAUUAAUUAGUGACUUUUUGCUAUUAAUUGUAUUAAUUCUGCACGUAAGGUCGAAUUGGUAACUUGGAACGUAAACUGGGUAAAGCAUAAAAUUUGAAUUUAGGAUUAGUUCAUUUUACAAGUAGUAUCCAAAGCGUUCCUAGAACUUUCAAGUGGUAUCAGAGCCUAAACACGAGUCGUGACCUUACAUUGUCUAGAUGAGUAUGUCAUUGAGUAUGCCGCCCCAUUUUGAUGGGAAUAAUUUUGCGUAUUAAAAAGUGAGAAUGAGGGCAUUUUUGAAGCUAUCACUACAACAAAAAUGUGAUUUUGCGACAAGAUAUUUUGUGAUAUACGGAAAGUUGUCGUAAUAAGUGAUUUAGCGCAACACAUUUUUUAAGUUUGUCGCAAAGAUUGAUAUGAAAAAAAUAAGUAACAAAAAAUAUAAGGCGACAUUAAAAGUUGUCGUGAAAUGUGAGAAGGUGCGACAAAUAAUAAAGAUUGUCACCAAAAACUGGAGAGAAGCAAAAUGCCAAAAAUAUUUUUGGUGGGAAAUUUAUGGCGACAAACUUUUAUUUUUGCAACAAAGUGUGUGUGAUGCAAUAGAGUCCACUUUUUGCGACAAGGAAUAUGUGUUGCUAAAAUUUCUAUAGAUAGAGGAAAAAAUCGUUACAAGAAAAACUAUUUUUUACAACGGACAAAAAAUGUAUCAUUAGGUCUUUCACAACACUCACUCGUAUGUUGCAGGUUCUAAUGUUGUCGUAGAGUAGAAAGAUAUGGCAACAUGCAAUGCAUGUUUCAAAAGGUCUCAAAUCACGUUGUUGUUAUGUUUUUGCAAUGUACCUCAUCAUAGCUUUUAUUAUAUUUCGCAAUGCUCUUUGCCUAUUGCCUUAACUUCUUGCAAUGUUCUUUUAUUUUUUUGUAACAAAUGUUUAUUUUUCAUCUAGUUAAAGAUGACAUUUUAAUAUGUACUACAAUUUUUUUUUUAAAUUUUAAUUAUUUUUGACCAAGAGAAAAAUUAUUUAAUAAAAAUUUUGUAAACUGUCAAGAAUAACUUUAUCUUCAACCAAAAAAAAAAAAAAAAGUUCAUUAGACAAUAAAAGUUUCAAUCAUAUAAUAACUUAUAAAAAGAACUACUAUGCUGAACCAAUUAAAAAAAAAAAAAAUAAGCAGUAAAAAUGACCAUCUUUUUUUGGUAUUAAAAAAUUAAAAAAUUGUUUUGUUUUUUAAUUUUCUAUUUUACCCUUCAACCUAAUAAAAACACCCACGAUUAAACAUUAUUUUAUUCCCAGCCAAAUUUCGCAAGGGUUUCUUCCAAGUAAAAAUCCCCAAAUCCAUAUCAAUUGGCGGCACAGUCCAAUAGGUCACCACCACUCUUCUCACGCCUCCAUUGCCGUCAACCGCAUCCAAAGCGUUUUCUACUUACUGCUUAUCUGAGAAAUUUUAGUAGGUCGAUUUGCAUUUUUUCCCCCUUCUAAUCUGUUGAGGAGAAACUUAGAUUUACAAUUUUGGUUUCUUCUUUAUUUGGGUUUGAUAUGUGUUUGUUUAAUCAUACAUUUUUCUUGUUGAUUUGAUCGUUAAGCAAUGCACAAAUGUGCUUAUGAAUUUCUUUUAUUUUAAUAUACAAGAAGGGUGUUAAUAUUGGGUUUAAGUCCCUGAACGGUUACUUUUGUUCCCUUCUCUCAUCAUCUUAUUUCUAUAAUACUCUAUGCUAGAUUAGAUUAUAGAUAUGAUCUGCUAAACCAAUUAUUUUUGUGACUUAUACGCCAGUUUCUAUGUUGCACAGAGACAGAGUUUAACAAUGGCUUAUUAGAUUAGUCAAAACAAAUGAUACCACAUUUCUUGUUUUACAGUUCGAAGUUUAGUAAGCUGCCUUCCCAUUAUUGAUGUGUUUCAUAAUUAUUUCUGGGUAAUGGGUGGUUUUUUUAAAGGACGUGUCCUCACUCUUCAUGGAUGUUGUUAACUACAGGGAAAAGAAAAUUUGGACCUGGAAAAGCUAGUUUAUUUACAUCUCGUCGUAGUCUGAUCUUGUUAUACUUGACGUGAACACAACGGUGAAGGUAAUAUGCACAAAAAUGUCAAUCUUCUUCAAAUUGAUACAUUUUGAGCAUAUUCUGACACUUCUAGACUUGCACUUUAUGUUGAAUUGUGAUAUGAUUUUCCACCAAUUUCUUGCACUCAUAGAAUAUAUAGUUUGCAGAAGGUGGUCAUCUCAAAUGGAAGCCCAUUUGAACUUUGCAAGUUUAUUUUUUUUUUCAUUAACUUUAUAUAAUCUUCCUAGAAUAAGAUUGAAUUCUGUUGUCCAUGAGUUUAUUAGUCCUACAAAUUGCAAGCAGUUUUCCUAUUUGAGUUAUUAAUUGUUACUUGUACAAGGGAAGUACUUAUUCUACGGAAAAAAUAUGUAUACUAAAUUUGUAUAUGGGAAAAUAUGUAUUCUAGAACUGACCUUUUAUAGUAAAUAAUGCAGAUGUAUUUUGUUGGGGGCUAGUUUCAUGAGAACCAACUGUUUCCACCCUUGUUGCUUUCAGCUUCGUCACGAGAUCAUCAUUUGUUAAAUUCUCUGUUGUAUUUAGGUUGACUAUUAGAAUUUGUUUCAUGAGUUAAUUAUUGCACUAAAUUGGAAGUGUUCAAAAGAAUCUAAUUUUUAGAAUAUCCAUUCCAGUAGCUUAUUCUUUUGUUUUGGUUAACAUUGUUUGUUGUUUUCACUAAAAAUUACUGACUACAUAUUCUCUUUUGUAUGGUCUAUGUAAAUACAGAGAUAUACAUGCUGGAUAGGAGUUGGAUGCAACUUUGUAACAGAUUAAGUAAUCAAUAUUUAGAUGGUGUUAAUUCAGGAGGUAGCAAAACAAUGUCUGGAUGAGAACAACGAGGUUCAGUGUCCACGUCGAGAUUGUCAAAAUGCAUUUAUGGUAGAAUCUCAUUUAUAUCAUCCCAAAGUCUCUGGAAGUUAUGAGAGAUGGAUUUUUCAUGGGGUGGAACUUGAGAAUGAUACGGAGGGUGUUGAAAGAAAUACAUCUAAAUUGGAUGAAGCAGAAAAUGAUGAUGAGAUGAUGAUAUGUUAGAAAAUCUAUGUGCUGCUAAAGUCAUCUGAAGCUGGCCAAACUCGAGAGGGGGAAGCAUAUGGCAGAAAUCAUAAUUUCUCACAUAUGAUGAUGCGACAAACUCUCUGUGUUGUGAAAUAAAUUUAAUUACAAACAUCACUUGUUUUAUGAUAAACUGUAUUAUAAAUUUUGAAUAUCUUAAAAUAUAUUAUGCAACAUAUCAAAUGCAUUGUAAAUCAUAUUUCGCUACAAAUUUGACUUGUUAUUAAAUAUAUAUCGCUAUGAGCAUGUGUUGCUGCAAAAUAGAAUCGGUAACAAAAUUUAUACCUUUAAAAUAAUAUUCGCAAUAGAUAUUUUUCUUGGAAAAACUUUAUAGUAAUAAUUGUUGCAACAGACUGACUUAUCGCCCUUUUAAUUUUUAGCGACAAAUAUGAGUUGCGACGACACUAUGGUGACAAAUAUUGUGUUGCUAUUUUGUACUUUCCGCAUCAAAUAAAUAAUGUUGUGAGUUUAUUAAUGUGAUGAACCAGUGAAAGUUGUCGCAAAAUAUAUUUUGUGACUCAUAUAGCGCGAUAAUGCCUGCAACAAGCGUCUAGUUGUUGCUAAAUUUCUUUUGCAACAAAAUCUCAAUUUUUGCGACAAUAUUUUUUUGUCGCGAAAUCGGUUAUUUUUUUUUAGUGUAUGUAUGAGAGGAUAUGGUUAAGUGUUGUGAAUGGUUGGUCUGCCCCUACUACCACAGUCGAUGGUGUUGUCACUCCUACCUCCAUAGAAAAUUGGUCUAGAGUUGAAUUAGAUAAAUGUAAUUGGAAUAGUAAAGCCUUGCAUGCCCUAUUUAUGGCUAUUUCCCCUGAAGAAUUUAGGAAAGUGUCCAUGUGUGAGGUAGCAAAGGAAGUUUGAAAUAUUUUAGAAACCACACAUGAAGGAACUCAGGCAGUUAAGAAUUCUACACUGCAGAUGCUAGCCACUAGGCUUGAAGAGAUAAGAAUGAGAGAUGAUGAGAUGUUUGAUGUAUGCGAGCCUAAAUGACAAAGUGAAUUCGUCCUUCUAUCAAGGGUAGAAAAUCCCCGAGUCUAAGAGAGUGAGGAAGAUUCUUAGAUCCUUACCCGAACGUUUUAGGCCUAAAGACUCUGCAAUUGAGGAAAGUAAGGACAUAGACACUAUCAAUGUAGAAGAGCUAGUUGGAUCCCUCCAGACCCAUGAGCUUACCUUAAACAAUCUAGCUAAGGAAAAAUCUAUAGCCUUGAAAUUCGCUCGGAAUAACUGGAUGGAAUCUUCUGAUUUACAUUCACCCAACAAUGAGGAGAUCACCUACUAACUAAGAAAUUUCAAAAAAAGUUUAGGAAGAAGAAGCUGCAAGAAAAACUGAGAAGUAGCCUCAGUGACUCUAGGAGAAAGUCUAAAUCUGUGAGAUGCCAUAAGCGUGGAGGUUUUGGCCAUUUUAAGAGUGAGUACCCUAAUGCUAAGAUAGUCAAGAACAAGGCUAUGAAUGCUACUCUCACUAAUGAUGAGUGUAGCUCGAACAGUCAGAGUAAGAAAUCCACAUAUGAGGAGAGUGGAAAAUAUAUGGCCUUCAUUGCUUGGUUAAGAGUGGAUCCCAACAAGAUGAUGAUAUAGAUGGUAGUGAAGAAUCUGGUGAUAAGAAUGGAAGUGAGGAAGAUCUUGAAGAAGCUUAUGAUAAAAUUUAUAAAGAAAGUCUCAAGAUCAUAGCUACUAACCAAGUGCUGAACAAGAAAGUGAAGGAACUUAGGUUAGAGAAAGAAUAUUUAGAGGCCCAGGUUAGUGAUCUCACGAGUAAGAAUGAUAUGUCCUCUAGGAGAGUAAGUGAGCUAACCGAUGGAAAUAAGACCUUAGCUAUUUAGGUCAAGCACCUUGAGAGUGAGCUGGAGUUGUCUAGUUCUCAGAUACUUGUCUUUUCUAGCAAUUUUGAAAAGCUAGAUAAUAUUUUAGGAAUAGGCAAGCCGAUGGGUGAAAAGGGAGGUCUAGAUUUUAAUAAUAAUGCUGCUAGUACUUCACAAACCACUUUUGUUCGUGCUACUGACCAGUCUAACACUGUGGCUAGCCCCAUAUCUAAUGUUGUGGAAUCUUUAGGACAGAGGUCUACCAAACAUCGUAGGAUCCAUCAACAUAGGAAUAGAAAUCAGCGUCACCAUAACCAUAGUGCUAGGUUCAUCCCUACUUACUUUCACUGUGGAGAAUUAGGUCACAUACGCCCUAGAUGUCAUCAGUACUUCAACAAAAAUAGGAACAUGAACUUAAAUGAGAACAAAAAUUAGGUGUCUAUUGGUCAAAUUGGAUUCCUUACUGAGCUAGUGAAUUGUUUGACCAAGUUGGUGACACAACUGUCGGGGAACUGCUCUCUCGCGAGAUAGGUUUGGGUGAAAAGGAGUGAUCUACAGAAUCUGGAAGUGGAUCAUGGUGCUCUUAAAGGAAAUAACACUUAUAUAUCUAGAUAAUUAGGUAUAUGUGAUGCAUGCUUGCUCUUAAUUGACAUACGAGUGUUGCAUGCAUCACAUGAUUUUUGCUUGUUUUUGUCUAAUCUUUUUAUUUUAUGCAUGUGCAUUUUCAUUUUUUUGCUUUGACACAUGCAUAUUUAGUUUAAUCUUUGUGUGCUUGUCUUUAUUUUCUUUUGUGUGUGGAGCAUUCAUUUUAGGAAAAAUGAAAAAUACAAAAAAAAAAUUGAAAAAGAUAAAAACGGUCGGUUAUGAAAAUUGCUAUAGCAUGACAUAUAAUUCUGAACUUGCUAGUUGUAAUCAUGUAUGAGCUAAAAUUGAUAAGAUGUAGAGUAAUUUUCAUUUCUUGGUUAGGUCUAUUUUGAUUAAUUUGUAUAAGUAUCUUCAUAUACCGCCUGUACUUUACACACUAUGAACUUUUUAGUGGGACUCUCCCGCGAGUGUGAGAUUUGGGAUGGCUGUCACGUGUUGAUGGGGUGACUUCAAACAUGAAUUGACCAUUUUUUUGUAGACAUUAACGCAAAAAUUUUCUCCCAUUUUAUAUUAGCUCAUAUCUUAAUGUCCUUCUUCGAGGCCUAUUUGACUCGAGGAAUUAAGUCUACGGGGUCUCUUAAAACCUAGUAUCUAUUGCCAACUGACUUAGAUUAAUCAAUCUAAAGCUCGCUACGGGGUCAUCUCAAUCGUUUAAUGGAGGAGAACCUUAACUUAAAAUGAAAAAUAAAUGAUCCCGGAAUAAAAUGUGAAAAUAUGAUGAGCUGAAAAAUGUGAAAAUGAAAAAUAUAAAUGCUCAUAGUAAGAGGGAGAAAAAAAAUAAGUAUAGGUUCUACUGCACGUCACAUGAUUUGAAUUUCAUAAGUAGAUGAAUAUACUUAUUGGUAGUAAUUGGCAUGUCUCACAAAAGGUUUGGAAUCCUGCUUGCAUUGGAUUAGUGACACGUUACACAAAUGAGUCACUUGUACUUUUCACUCCAUUUUGAUCUGAACUGAGUAUGUGGAGAGGUCUACUACUUGUUAAUUUUACUUUUCCUUGCUAUCAACUGCAUUUGUGAGGUAUUAUAUGUUAUUGCUCAGUUCGUUCUUAAUAUUAUUCCGUUCAGCAUUUGUAACAAAAAUGAGUAGAGGAAUGUGUAACUAAGGGGGAGAAAAAUAAUGAAUGAGCAUAUAAAUAGAGAGCGACUACAUUUGCAUGGCACAUGAUUUCACCGAUUGAUGUUACUUACAUUUUGCAUUGCUAUGUCUAGGGGUCGUUGGGGGAGAGACAUAGAUGCAUUGAUAUAUAGCAUUACAUUCAUGAGUACUUGCAAAAAAGUGAGAGUAUUGCAUUACAUUCCAUAUCACAUCCAUUUGUUUGAGUUUGUUUUUUUAUUUUUAGUGGUGUUGAUGUUUCGGUUGGUGUUUUGACUAGCAUCAAUAUCACGUCUCAACCUAGCAUGUUAUGUGUUUGUGAUUAAGUGUGUUAACCUUUUAUAUUUCCUAUAUCACGUGUUUUUACACUGGGCAUAUGAGUUUGAAAAUUUCAGAAAACAGGUACAAGAAGGAAUGCAAGACUCAGUUUUUGGAAUUACCGGGUAGUAUUGUUUUGUGUGUCAAGCCCAAGCUUAUUUUUUGUAUAGACCUAACUUAUAUUGUGUAGUUCUGUCACAGAAUGCCAAAGGAGGAGUUUAUGAAGUCUAAGAGUUUCAUUGGCGAUUUUGUGAACAAAAUGGAUGUAAUUGAAUGUUUGUAGAAGUCAGGGACUCAAUUGAACAUUGAUAUAAAGGUUAGGGACUUGCGUUGCAAUUUUAUAAAGUUGGUUAGGCUAGGGUUUACACUUGAGACCAGGGUAAGGAUACGUCGAAACUUCGUUGGCUGCUUACCUGACUAUCGCUCGAGCAUAAAAAGCAAAGAGCUCUUUGCUUGCCCUUCACCUCCUCGUCGCUCGAGCAAAAACACAUCUCUCACUUUUCACUUGAGCGGCAAUGUUAUGCUACCGAUUCUAAGUCACAUUGUUCAAGACUUUCACCAGGUCUAGGACUCUCAUCUAUCCCUAGAUAUAAAUACAAAGGUUGUGAACGAAAGGAGGAAAUUGCCCCAUUGUGCCUACAUUGCAAAAAACAUUCCUAUAUUCUUUCAAUAGAUCCAAGGUAGAAUUCAUCUAGAAAUUCAUCUAUAAAAUCUUGUGAUCCGGGCAAUCUAUGGUGAGAAAACAUCAAAGUUCUUGAAGACAAAACACCGUGUCUUCCUUCAUUUGUUGAGGAAGAGACUCUUAUUGGGGAUUGAGAAAUGUGGAUGUCAAGCGCAGUGAAUCAGACAAGAACAGGCGAUUCUUGGAAUUUCACUUUGUGAUGCAAUCAGUUAAGGACCAACAUGUUGUAGUGGAUAGCAAAUUGAACUACAGGAGGUAGAUUAGGAAGUCUAGCAGGAGGCUAGAUACAUUUACGAUAAUAGAUCGUGAGUCUGGAAUAGCGGGUCUAAUUGGGUAUGGAGUUUGGUAUAACUUGUACUUGCUGAAUUGGUAUAGUAGACAUCACUGGCUUGGUCCCAAAGUUUUUCCACAUCGGGUUUCUCCAUCAACAAACUGUGAGUUUGUUGAUUUGUUUAUUUUGCAUAUUGCAAACCAGCAGUUCAACAUAGGAUUAAUCGGACUUGUAUGUUUAACCACCUAGACAACAAUUAAUUAGUGACUUCUUGCUAUUAAUUUUAUUAAUUCCGCACGAAAGAUCGAAUUUGUAACUUGAAACGUAAAAUGGGUAAGGCAUAAAAUUUGAAUUUAGGAUUAGUGCGUGUUUCAAGUAGUAUCCAGAGCGUUCCUAGAAAUUUCAAGCUCAUUUUGAAUUUAAUGUUCCAAAUAAUGGUCACAAAUUUAUCGUUUUCAAUAAUGGGAGAAAAUUUUUUCUUGCAUUAUUGAAUCAAAAAGGUUAUUUAAAUAGCUUAAAGUUGUUCAUUCAGUUCAUUUUUCACUUUAGUUAUUAAACUUCAUUGUAUCACUUGUAGAAAAUUUAUUUAGAACUUCAUUUUGUGAAUGAACAAGUACUUCAAGCCACUUCUAGUGAUUCAAAUUCUAAAUCUGUCAAUUUUCUUAGUAUGGUGGUAGAAAAAUAUUAUUCAUUUCAUUUCUACCAACGGAUUUAUGAAACAUAUUAGAAAUGGUGGUAGAUUCAAAAUCAACAAUUUGGAGAGAAAAAUAUUGAAAAUAGAUGAGUAAAAAGAACUCAGGGAGACUCGUGGUAGUGUUUCUUAGAAAUGGUGAGUAUUUAUUUUGAUAUCAAUUUAUAGAAAAGUAGUAAAAGUAUAGAAGUUCUUACAAAUAUGAGGGCCUACAUGACUGCCUCACUUAGUGUUUGAACUGAUAUGGAAUUUUGAUAAAGGAUUAAAUUAAAAGGGGCAACCUGCGUAUUGAUGAGGCGACUUCAGAUCUACGCCAACCUAGUGAGGCAUGGAUAUGCAUUGAUGUUAAUUUGUUGUAUAAGCUUCCAAAUAGGAUUUGGAUUGAGCGUGAAAAGCGUGGAGGAUAUUGGCAGAUAGUUGUGUACGAGAAGAAGCCAGAUUACUAUUUUUGAUGCAGACACUUUGGUCAUGCUGAGGACCAUUUUUUAGUUAGAUCACGCCCUACACCACCACCUGCUAUAAUUGUUGACCCCAUCCCUAAACAUAAUAUAGAAGUGGCCCACGAUAAGGGAAAAGGAAAUUAGGUAUUCAUAGAACCUCCUAAGAAAUGGUUCCAGUUCAGAGAGACCAGAGGAGACAGCAUGCUACUAGCACAUCUAGAGUCCAGAUUUCAUCUUCUAUAUCUAUUGUUAUUACAUCAGCUACGCUUCCUACUGCUUCUAGCUCACAUGUUCAGACCAGUUAGCUACUCCUUCAAUAGCUCUUCCAAUUGUUACAACUUUGCCAAUUAUCAUCACAGUAGCUCAACAGCCCCUCCAGAAUCCCCUUCCGAUUUUGCAGCACCUCCAGCUACUUAGGAGGUAGUAUAUCAUCCAGUUACUAUUACAUUUACUCUACCUCUAGUUCCUAUUCCCACUGCUACUACUGAGCUAUCCUCUGAGCCGACACAUAUUAGCUAUCCACCAUUGAAGACACAUACAAAUGGUACUCAAUCAGCAUAAGGAUAAGAUACAGGGACAGUUCCUUAUGCUGCUCUUGCACACGGGUUGUUAGCUAAGAUCAGCUCAGAGUGGCAUGGUGUCAAGCAAAUAUUGAUCGAUCACUUUAAGAGGGACCAUGGAAUGAAAGUUGGAUCUACCAUGGGAUUUUCCAUUGAGGACUUGUGAUGUGAACCUGGAUAACUAGAUCGCUAUUAAACCCACAAAAGAAUGACAUAAACCCCAAGAAAGCCAAAAAUCAAAGUUUAUGGAAUUUGACCCACAAUUAUGAAUCAAACAACCAACACAAUCACUAGGAUAUGCUAGCCUUUUGAUUACAAGAUUUAUGAAAUCAUACUUGGAAUUUUAAAGAUUGACUUGAAGAAUAAAAUGAACCAGAAACCCAAGCAAUUACUAGAAUACCUUGACCUCGUGAUUGCAUAAUCCACGAAUAGCAUUUUGAUUGGUAAAUGCCAUGAGAAAUUAUCCCAAUAAGUUCGAUAAACUGUUCUCUAAAAAUAAAGAUGGAAGUAACCUUGCCUCUGAUUAAUUCAAAAUAUCAAAAGUCCUAUAAUGAAUAAUAGGAAAAAGUAUUUAUACUACCCUAGGAAUAAUGGAAAAAAAAUGAAUAUUAAGAGUCCUAAACUUAUAAAGUUACCAAAAAUAACAAUUUAAAUCAAAACAGAAUCCUCGCGAAAAAAGGAAAAAGUCGCGUCCCAAAUGAACCAUGCGACCGCGUGGUUCUUUUAGCCGCGGUCGCAUGGAAGAAACGUGGGCUGCCUCUUCAAUCCCUAUCCUAGUCUAUGCGAGCGCAUGGGCUUUAAAGCCUUGUGGCCGCAUGGCUUUGUGUGUUGGCCCUAAUUUUGGUUUCUUCCAACGAUGUGUUCUUUAACUUAUCGGCCCUUGACCCUAGCAUUGAACUUGACACUUGAUAUGUUAUCUUCAACCUCAUGUGCCUCGCUUCUUGAGUAUGCAUUUAUAUGACCUUUGGUAUCAUCAUUGUUCCAUAUUACUCCCAAUUGAGCCCCUUGCACCUCUUCCAUGAACUUUGCUCCCUUGAUUGAUCUUGAUCGACCCAGGAUCAUAUCAAUUUAGUUUUCAAGCUAUUUGGUGAGGAACUUUCUAUGAGUAAAACUCCUACAUAUAAACCUUCACUUAGUCCUUCUAUCACGGCUCCUACACAAAAUAAGGUAAAAGCACAUAUACAGAGAGACGUGGAUGGCAUGGGCCUUGGAGACUACGUGCAAAAUGCAAAGGACGAUGUAGCCACAGUCAGCGAAUCACUCUCCCAUGCUUCAUAUGUUGUAGCACAGAGCACCAUAAGAUCAAACGCACAUGCAACUAGCACUAUGAGAUUAGAUGUACUCGCUUUUAGCCCGACUUUCAGUGCACCAUCAUGUGGACAACAUUUUUCACCUAGGCAAGCCUCUUCAUGUAGGCGAGACCCCUCUCCAAUGAGCGAGCCAGACUACACAGUCUACUAUGAUCCAAAAAUGUUUGAAACCAGGCUCAUGACCCAAUUAAUGUCUAUGUACUACCACCCAAAGAUCUACCAUCGGGGAUACCCUUGAGUAGUUUUAAUUAGUUUUUGUUCAUAUCUUGUUUACUGUUGAUUGCAAUUCAUUUUGAGAUAUUUGUUGCAAUUUACAUUUACUAGAGGUCAGGUCUGUGCCUUCUCUUCUAUUUGUAUUCUCGUUUUUAUUGUAUAAAAUAAGCCAUACUAGUGGUAUUUGCUAAAAAAAAAAAGUCUUGACUGAAAAUAAAAAUAAAAAUUCUUUAAAUUUGAGUGAUAUUUCCUUUUAUGAUUGGUCCAAUAAAUGAGUGAUACAAUAUUAAAAUUAGAAAUUUCAUCUCAAAAUGUCAAUAUUAUUACGAUCAGUACCCGAAUCUUUUAUAUGUUGGUUAAUAUAUAUUUAACUGAUGUAUAAUUAUGUUAACAUCUAUAUUAAUACACAAAUACAUACUCUGUGAGAGAGAGAAAGAGAGAGACCAAGUUCAUUACUGUUUACUUUACCACCUACAUUUCGAGCUUCUUUGACCUACAGUAAUUAAUUACAUGUUGGCAUGAGUUGUCAACAUACAAUAUUGAAAUACGGUAGGGGUGGGUUAUUCCCCAGUUGUAAUAUAAAAUUUCCUUUGUUUAGCCAGAUUCUUAACCUAGAAUAGCUCUCUUUAUUUUACUCUCUACACUAUAUAUGUAUAUGAUUGUAUUCAUUCAAAAAAUAAGAAAAAUAAUCCCUUUGUUAUCAUAGUAUCAAAGCAAAAAAUCCUAGGAUUUCUGCUACAGCAAACACGUUACCAAAACUGAUCAGAAAUUAUGGUAGAACCUAAAUACGUGGUGGCAGACCAGAGACAUGAUGAGAACUCUACUACAACCAUCCUCGAUGAUUUAAUGACUCGACUAAUGUAAGCCCUAACCCAAAAUCAAACCAAGAAUUAAGUGCAGACCUAUGAACCUCCUGCUGCGCCGAUUGGGAUCAAGCUAGAUGGAUUAAACUAUGGUUUAUGGUCCCAAGUUGCUGAGAUGUCUAUCUCUGGCAAGGACAAAUUGGGAUAUAUUAAUGGAGACAUUCUAGAACUUGAAUCAUCAGACCCCAUGUUUCGAAAAUGGAGAAUCAAAAAUACAAUUUUGAAGGGAUGGAUAAUUAAUUCCAUAGACCUGACUCCAAUCAGCAAUUUUAUUCGAUUUUCUACUGCAAAAAUGGUGUGGGAUGCAAUUGCUACUAUUUAUUUUGAUGGAACAAACACUUCUCAUGUGUAUGGUUUGAAGAAACAUGUGACCAGAAUGAGACAAGCAAGAGGAUCCAUUGAAGAAUAUUACAAUGGUCUACAAGGCUUGUGGAGAGAUAUUGAUUUUUGUAGGUUAAACCCAAUGGAAUGCCCUGCUGAAAUAAAGAGAUACAACUUGGCUAUAUAGGAAGAUAGAGUCUAUCUCUUUCUUGAUGGGCUUUUUUUUUUUUUUUUUUUUUUUUUUUAAGCAAAUACCACUAGUGUGGUUUAUUUUAUAUAAUGAAAAGCGGGAAAACAAAGAGAGGAGGGGGGCAUGGACCUGACCUCCAGCGAAUGUAAAUUGUAACAAAUAUCUGAAGAUAAAAUGCAAUCACAGUAAACAAGAUACGAACAAAAACAAAUGAAAGGUACUUAAGGGUAUUCCCGAGGGUAAAUCUUCGGGUGGUAGUACAUAGACAUUGAUCUUGUCAUGCGUCUGGUUUGAAACAUUUCUGGAUCAUAGUAGUCUGCGAUGUCUGGCUCGCUCGUUGGAGACGGGUCUCGCCUGCGUGUAGGAGCCUGCUUUGGUGAUAAGUACUGUUCGGAUGGUGGUGCACUGAAUGUUGGGCGAAAAGCGGGUGCAUCUGAUCUCAUUGUACUAGUCGUAGGUGUGUCUAAUCUCAUGGUGUUCUGUGCUACGACAUCUAAAUCGUGGGAGAUUGACUUGCUUGCUGUAGGGACAUCGUCCUCUGCAUUUUGCAUGCAGUUUCCAAGGCCCAUGCCAUCCAUAUCUCUCUGUAUAUGUUCUUUCACCUUAUUGUGUGUAGGAGCUGUGAUAGAAGGACCAGGUGAAGGUGUAUGCGUAGGAGUCUUACUUACAGAAGGUCCCUCUCCAAAGAGCUUAAAAACCAAGUCUUCAAUAGCAAAUCUCAUGGUAGAUCCAACUUUCAUUCCAUGGUCCUUCUUAAAGUGAUCAAUCAACAUAUGCUUGACACCAUGUCGCUCGACUCUGUCACAACUGCGGUAGUAGUAGUGGGAAGCACAGAAGGCACUGCUGAAACUGGAACCCACUGCUUCUUUGGCUCCACAAACGUCACCUUGCCCUUAUCCUUAUCAGUCCUAGUAAUAGGGGGCCGAACAGGGGGGUGCGCAACAACUGCAGGAGAAGGAGGAGGAACCGUAGUACACUGAUCAUAAGAAUGACCCAAGUGUUUACAAGAGAAGCAAAAAAUUGGCCGCUUCUCAUAGAUAACUGUCUGCCAGAAGCCACGGUUACCAGCGCGCUCAAUAUAAACCCUGUCGGGCAACUUAUGUCCCAAAUUUACCUCAAUGCACACCCUUGCCUCACUAGGUCGUCUCAAGUCGGUGGUGGCCUCAUCAAUUCUCAAGGGCAUUCCUAUUGCCCCAGAUAAAGCGAAAAGGAACCCCUUCGCACGUAAAUGUACUGGAAGCAGAGGGAACGAUACCCAUACGGGAACUAUCGGAGUCUCUUGCUCAGGUGUAAAGUCACAUGUCCACUUAAGGACUCUCAUCGGACAACCAUCAAUAUACUAUGAAGGUUUAAGAAAAAGCCUGCUGUAAUCCUCCUCAUGUGUAAGGUGUAUAAGAAUGUGUGUUGUGUUAAUCAAUCCCACCUCGAAACAACCAUGGAACCCAAACUUUGAAAAAAUCUCACGUACCUUCCUCAUGGUUGGCUUGCGAUGUGGAAAUUUCCCCACAAGUGUAUACUUGUAAGGAUCAGCGAGUGUAGCCUCCUCGGACUCAAUCAAAACUAUUGCCGGCUCACCCAUAUGUAUAAAGGGGUCUUUAGCAGCAAACCCAGUAGUGGAAGAGUCAUCUAUACCCUGUAUAACCGAUGCAAACGACUUUCGUGAACUCCGUUCAGCUUGAGACAGGCCCGGACGGCCAGAAACUGCAGUAGCAUAGGUCUUUCGGCCCUGAUUGAGCACUGUCUGGGCCUCAUGUGGAAAAACCGAUGAUGGAAUUGGGUCCGUAACAAAAUUCCCCACAUUCUGGUGAAGUUUCACCGGCGCGUGACCACCACGCGCCGGCCGUUGACCGGCCGUUGACCGGCGGCGAUUUUCCAACGUUGUCAGAAAAUUAUGAUUUUUCACAGGCAGAUGCGUAAUUUCAUGCUGAUCAUCACGGUAUGUUCCGUUUUCCGAAAUGAGUUCAGGAUUGGCCGGAAUCUGCGAUUUUCCGAGUGACUGGCCGGAACUUGCGAUCGCCGGCAAGGGCGCGUCCGACGUCUGAAUUGGAUGAUUUUUUAGUCGAAGGUUCGCCUUUUCAUGGGAAAUCUGAUGGUCAGGCGCGUGUCCCUGUUUGAGCUCUGUGGAAGGGUUAAUUGAAAAAUCAGUUUUCGGCCCCUCGGGAUUCGAUCUGUCAAUUUCGGGCGAUUUGGACGAAAUCUCUACCACCCCCAGGGUUUUCGGCCCUUCUGGAAUCAUUGGUGAUGGUCCCAUAUCCAAAUUCUGAUCAGAAGUGGGUGUUUCGACGACCUUGGGAUUCGUGCCAUGAUUUUUCAAACUCAGAUCUAUUGAGUUGGGGGAUGAAUCUGAUAUUGGUGUUAUUGGAGAUGUUUGGGUGUUUGUUGGUGAUGAUUUUCCACCACUUAGAGUGCUGCAAUCCGGUGGUUUUGGUGGUGGAUCAAGUUUGUUGGAGUUUUGGAGGUUUUCUCCCAUUCUAGAGAGAAGGGAGAGCGUUUUGGAGGUAGAGAGAGAAAGUUGGUUUUUGGUUUGGUUUAGGGUGAUCUCUUUCUUGAUGGGCUGGAUGAUCACCUAAAUAAAAUUAGGGCGAUGUGUUCCAAAUCUGACCAUUCCCGACAAUUGAACAAGCUUAUGCUCAUGUUCAAAGAGAGGCUAUGCGACAAUAUGUUAUGAAUUCAAACACAGAACAUACACAUGCCACUGCUAUGGCCUCAAAAGGAGUUAAGACAUGACCAACACUCCAAAUAUCCACGGGUGGACCUUCUUCAACAGGUGGUGGAAAGGCCAAUACAACCUAUAAGGGAAAAACACAAUCCAACAAAGGUUGUAUACACUGUGGGAACAUAAAGCAUGAUCAUGAAACCUAUUUUAGGUUAAACCCAAAGUGGUGGAAUGAACUUAAAGCACGAAAAUAGGGUAAAUAGAAAGCUAACACCAAUGGUGAACCGAGACGAGCUGCUUGGGCAAAGGCAGAACAUUUACUUUCUUUUUACUCCACUGAUGGAACCAUCAGAUGAGUUAAAUUCUCUCAAUAACCAAGAUAAAUGUGGUCUUGCAUUAUUUGGUUCCAGUCAAGAUAAUUAUGGUGGCUGGAUUGUUGACUCGGGGGCAACCGAUCACAUGACUUUCAAUAGUAACAACUUUUCUAAGAUUACCCAACCAAAACGAAGUAGCGUUGCUAAUACUAAUGGAGUCACAUACCCUGUUAUAGGAGCUGGAACCAUUGGUUUAUCACCUUCUCUCUCUUUAUCCAAUACUUUACUUGUUCCAUCUCUCUCAAAUAAGUUAGUGUCUGUAGCCCAAGUCACUAAAGAACUAAAUUGUGUUGCUUUAAUAUAUCCUAAUUUUUAUCUCUUUUAGGAUAUUCUCACAUAGGAGAUCAUUGGGCAUGGCACUAAGAGAGGGGUUGUACCACAUAGAUGAUUCAUCCUGGGGAAAAUAAAUAACAUGCACCAUUCAACCACUAUCAAUGAGAGGCAGAUUUGGCUACGGCAUUGCGGAUUGGGACAUUCGUCUUUCAGUUAUAUAAAGUAUUUAUUUCCAAACUUAUUCUCAACCUUACAUGAUUCAAACUUUAAGUGUGAAACUUUCAUUUUAGCUAAAAGUCAUCGUCUAUCUUUUCCAAUAAGCUUGAAUAAAAGUGACGUUCCAUUUGCUUUAAUCAAUUCUGAUAUUUGGGGACCCUCUCCAAUUAUUACUUUUUCUGGAAUUUGUUGGUUCAUGAUACUUGUUGAUGAUUGUACUCAAAUGGCUUGGUUAUAUUUGUUGAAACAUGAAAAAUGAUGCCUUUCAUGUGUUUAAGUCCUUUCAUGCAAUGAUCAAGACUCAAUUUCUAGCAGAACCAAAGAUUCUUCAUUCUGACCAUGGUACGGAGUAUGUUAAUUAGGAUUUUCAAGCUUAUUUCCAGAGUCACAGUCUUCUUCAUGAAACCUUCUGUACUUAAACGCAACAAUAGAAUGGGGUGCCCGAACGAAAAAAUAGGCACAUCUUAGAAACUGCUCAUGCUUUAUUGAUUGGAGCACAUAUGUCGAAUAGAUAUUAGGAUUCUAUUGUGAUCACAACAGUACAUCUAUUGAACUGUAUACCUUCAAAAGUAUUGAAUUUUAAAACUCCAUUACAAACUCUAUCCCGUCACAUUUCUCUACCAUCUAUUUUGAUGAUCCCAACUCGAGAGUUUGGAUGUGUAACCUAUGUUCAUCUCCAUAAAAAUCAACACACUAAGCUUGAUCCAUGUGCGAUAUGAUGAAUUUUUUGGGGUAUGCUACACCAAAAAGGUUAUAUGUGCUACAAUCCUGCCACACAAUGUACCUAUGUCACCAUUGAUGUUACUUUCAUGGUGUCUAAAAGUUUUUACUCCUCGUCAGCAUCUAAUUCUUCUCGUUAGGGAGAGAUAAAAUAUGAAGAGCAGAAUUGAUGGAAUUGUGAGGUUUUUGAAGACACCCACAACUUAGUCCAGUUCGAAGUUGGGUCAGGAGGCAGGAUUAGUAAUGAUACUAUACAUGACAGUACACAAGAAGUUGAAGCUGAAAUUACACAAGUUAAGACUGAAGACAACAUCCUCAUCCUCUUCAGUGCCCAACGACCAAUCUCCUAAGAAUAUUCCUAAGGUAAGCUCUCCAACUACACCAGCUCUUGUUCAGAUAUUUUUGUUGGUUAUAACUUGCCUUUCAGACAUAAUCGUGGAAAACUCUCAAAUCGAUAUUCACCAAAUUUAGAGGAAAGGAGAUCGAAGUGUAACACCCUGAGAUAUUAUAGAAAUUUUGGGUCUAGUCAAGUCCUUCGGCAAGUCAAUUGGCUAUGCUGAAUAUUUAACAUGGAUCACGAUGAAGAUCUUUAUAGUUGAGGAAACAAAGUGGAAACAAAUAUAAAUUUGUACUUUUAUUGAGUCAAAAUGGUUAACUAUUGAUGGAGUUAAUUACCCUAACAAUAUUAGGCUCCUUUCAAAGCUCGAAUUAAAUGAUGAAUUGUGGAGCCAUAAUAAUAAUAACUACGUAGUUAAUAAUAUUAGUUAUCGAUUUAGACCAUAUUACUAUAGCAAUAUUAGACUCAUUUGAUUGGUCAAAAUUAAUUAUGUAUAUUAGAAUCGAGAUAAAAUUAAUAUGGAUAAGACUAAAUUAAGUUAAAGAGAUCAAAUAUUAAGGGAUUAAUUCGCUAAGCAGUAGGACGUGACUUGGAUUCCCUUAUUAGUUAGCUAGGGAAGGAUUAGGAAUCAGGUAUAAGUAAACUAGAAUUUAUGUGAUUAAGUCCCAUUGCAAUAAAAUUCUAUUAAAGUUCUCCACUUUUGCUCUCGGUUUGACAAAAAAUAAAAAUAAAUGUAAAUUUAAUAAGAGUUUUAUUAGUUAUAUUGUUCGUUCGUUUGCAUUAAAACAAAUUAAACCUUAUAUCCUAUGCAAUUAGGAGUUCAACUUAUCUUAACGUGUGCAUGCAUGGAUAAUGAUAACUUAAUUGGGAACAAAUCAAUGCAAAGAAACGUAUUUAAUAUGUAUUUUUUUAUAAUAUACCUUUUAAGAUAAUUAGCAAAAGAUUAUAAUAUUUUAUUAUACAAUCAAGUUUAUAAAUCUUAUUUAAAUUCUGUUUCCUCCAUUAGAUAUAUUAUUUUAAGAUUUAAUCUUAUCCCAAGUCUAUUUUUUUCAUUUGAAAUCCAUUGUAACAAAAGUUGGUUUCCACUAUUGGUGUGCGUGACUAGCAAAAGGCUUGUAUCUUUUAAGAUAAUUAGGAAAAAAAUAUAAUAGUUUAUUUAUAUAAUUAUAAUUAUCGUAACUUGGAAAAUGAUUUAAUCAUAUCUCUGCCUUUCCAUUUGAAAUCCAGUACCAAAGCAGAAUCAGUUUUCUCACCCGUGUUGAACACGUGUUGUAUAUAAUUUAAUUUUCUCCUACAUUUGUAUGUGAUGGGUAUAAUUAUAUAUAAUGUAAUUUAUCUCUGUUUUAAUCCUAUCACUUGUGUUAUCCUUCUUUUGACAAUGAUUACUGUUCGCAAAAUAUUUCUUCUCGAUUUUAAAAACCCACCGCAAGUGUACGGUUCGUUAACAAGUAGUAAAAUGGACUAUGAGUCCAAGUAUCGUUCCCACGAGGAUUGAAUUAGCACUAAUUAAACUAAUGUGACCUUAACCGAAUCUAAUUAAAUGAAAAUUUGGUUUAAAUGUGAAAAACCCUAAUUUUGGGAAAAAAUCCCCAAUUUGAAACCCUAAUUGCAAAGAAAACCCUAAUUUCAAAAUUGGAAACCCUAAUUUCGAAAUUUCACUAAUCUAAUGAAAUAAGCACGCAACUGAAAUGUAAAUAUGCAAUUUUAGAACUAUUGUAUUGAAAUGAAUCGAAAUGAAAUCAUUAAGAACUCGAAUCCCCAAUUGACUAUUAAAAACCCUAAUUUCACAAAUUCAACGAAUCGAUGGAACAAAAUGCCAAUUCAAUGUUCCUAAAUUAUCCAAUACACUCUCUCGAUAUAUAUUGAAUCUACUCUUACACACCACCAGCCUAUAUUUCUAUGGAUGAUGCAAUGUACAAGAAUGCAUGACUUUUUAUGAACAUUUUCAUGAAUUGCAUAAAGCAUAGAGGUAAGUUUCCAUCCCCUAUCGGACCCUUUGUCGAUUUAUAUUCUAUCGAAUUUAUUCCCCUUCUUUCGAAUGCAAAGAACAAAUCAUCUACAAUCACAUAACAAUUGGCCAAAUAAUUAUGGAAGCAUUCAAAUCAUAUAAAUCAAACAUUUGUCCAAUCGAAACUAUUGUUGAAUUAAUGAAAUAACGGAAAUUUAAAUCAUCAAAAGGUUCAUCAAAUUCCUAAUGAAAAAAAACCCUAGACUAUAACCAUCAUUACAAAAUCAAGAAAUUGAAAAACGAAAUUAAAAGAUAAUAAGAAUACACCCGUAUGGAAUUUCUUCAAUCCGUGUGUAUAAUCUUCAACCCCGUCUUGAGCCCGUGCGAAAUUGAAUCCAAAAUCAAGUUUCUUGCCUCCAAUUUUGGUCUCUCCCUCCUCCCUGGUCGUUCUUCCUCUUAAUAUGAUGAUUUUGGGUAUUUAUAUCGCGUCCAAAUUAAGUAGGGAAGGAGUUUCAACCAAAAUGAAAAACUACGCCCGAAAUUUCAAAACUUAACUAUGCGACCGCAUAGAAGGGAUCUAUGCGGUCGCAUAGAUCAUUUUUUUUCUCUCAUUUAAUUUCCUGAAACCUUCUAUGCGAUCGCAUAGAAGGUUACACUAUGCGGUCGCAUAGAAGUAGCCAUCUAUGUGGUUUGUGCAAUUUGGUCCCUGAACUUCUUUGUUGCUUCUCUUGACUUCUUUCUUUGAUUUCUUCAUCUUUUCAACAAUUCUUAUCUUCCAAUUGAUGAUCGACACUUUCAAAUAUUAUGCCACUCAUUUGGCACAUCUUUUGAGUAUUUGCACUUUAGUCCUCCAACUUUCAAUUAUCUUCAUUUUAGUCCAUCUUCCAUUCUUUCUUGCUCCAAUUGUUUUGCUUUGUCAUUGAGCUCAUACUCGGCACGUUUUUACUCUCGUUCUGCAUUUAGCUCAACUUCUCAAUAAUUGCACGAUUGGUCCUCGAACUAUCAAAUUGUUGCGUUUUGGUCCUUCUUCGGCUCUUUUCUCCUGAAUUCCACAAUUUCCAUUGAAUUACCUACAAUGCAUGAAUUUAACUGGAUUAAGUCACAAUUCUACCAUUUUAUCCAUGUUUAAGUCAUAUUUGUGAACCAAAUAAGUGUGUAAAAACACACUUAUCAAAUCCCCCAAACUUAAACUAUUGUUUGUCCUCAAACAAUGUAGUGACUCAACGUUAAACAAACAUGGCUUAGUAGCUUGCCGUGUCUCAGGAUUGGAACUUAGCAAUACAAUAGAACAAUAUCAAUAUUGCAAGAAUAAAAUUAACCUUUUCUCAUCAAAUGCAAUACUCAACGUGUGUGUGUGAACUCAUGCCAACAUAUCAAGCUUAUGAAUGGUUUGUUCCCAACCCAUAAUGGUCAAAUUUAUCCUUACAUCACUCGAGAGAUACACAAAUCCCCCAAACUUAUUCUUCUCACUCAAUUAUCUUGGGAUGUGUUCUAAGGUUAGGAGUUUAACAACUAUAAUCCUUACCCUCUCUUAGUUUGGAUACAUCUUACCCUUACAAGUACACAUAUCAAUAAGUAGAGACUCUCUUUAAUUUGAUUGUUUCAACCUUUAGGCUCAAACUACGCUACUUACCUCGCAUCAAGGUUAAAGUUAUAUCAACCAAAUGUCCAACAAGGGCCCCCCCAAUUUUUUUUUUUUUUGUGUCAUCUUCUCAUUUGCUUUCUAUAUAACCCGUGUAGCGAGUUCUUAGGCGAUGACUCCCAAACCAGUUGGUCUUAGGGCACCAGGUUUUAAACCCUUGCAGCCUUAUUCACCCAAGUUAUAAAGGCUCGAUAAGAUGAAUUUUGUCAACUUCUCCUUUAUCUUGCUUUCUAUAUGACCCCUGUAACGAGCUUUAGGCCGAUAAUUCCCAAACCAGUUGGCUUUAGGAUAUCAGGUUUUAAACCCUAACAGACUUACUUGCUCGAGUCAUAAAGGCUUUUGAGAGAAGUGAUGAUUUUCCUAUGUUUAUUUUAUGCCCUUUACUUGUUUUUUUUUUAUAGACAUUUGAUAUCAACAACCAUCCUCAACUUAAAGCUUUCACCUAUUUCUCACCUUCUGGGUCUAGGCAAUCCACACAAUAUAAAUUCAUGCACUGAGCCUCUACUUAUCUCCAUGUUUACCUAUAGUGGCUCAACCAUCUCCAAACUAUCUUAUGGUGAUUUAACGGGUUAAUGAUAUAGAGGGUUAACCUAGGUUUCUUAUGUUUUACUCCAACAAUCCCAUUCAAUAACUUAACAUGAAAACAUGAGUGGCGUGCAAAAGAAUGUCAAGCAUUGCAUCAAUAAGUAUCCGCUAAUUAAAUCCUGUACUAUAUCAACAGUUCUAUUUUUCACCUAUCCAAUAAUCACAUCAUAGCUGGCAAGGCUACCAAACCCACACAAGCAUGCAAAAGUAAAAUCAACACUCAUUCAUCAUGCAUGCAUCAUGCAAGAAGGUAGUCAAUUUAAUGAUUGAUUGUGAAAAUGCAUAUUAACUACAUGCCGAAUAUUUGUUUGAAAAUUAUGCUACCAUCCCCCAAACUUAUACAGUACAUUGUCCUCAAUGUAAAUGUAAAGUUAGAAAAGCAUAAUUUAAAAAUAUAAACACAACUUGGCAAAUAGAGGUAAACAACACUCCCUUGAUCAAAGUGGUGGUCGUGGUGUGUAGCUGGGACCCGCAGCAUGAUCUUCAGGAGGAGAUGGAAGGCGAGAUAGGAUUUCUCUCAUCAGUGCUGACUGCUGUGUCAUUUCAUCAUGGAUCCCCUCAAUCUGUGUCUCCAAACGGCCUAAACGCUCCCAAGUUUCAUUUACCCUCAGCUGGAUGCCAUCCACCCUGCCCACGUACACACUUAGUCGACCAUUCAUAGUGUCCAUCUCCCUCCUAGCUGCCUGGGCAUCCUGGCGAGCGGCACGUGACAUAUCAGUGGCAAUGCGGACGUCACGAUGGGCUGUAUGCAUCUCAGUCGUCAAAGUUCCCAUAGCCUGCUGGAGACUCUGCACAUCUUGGCUGAUCCCCGUGGUGGUGGUGAAAAUCUGCCUCAAAACCUGAUUGUCCAUAUCAACCUGGGGUGGUGGUGGAGGAAUUUGAGGCAUGUCAAGGUCUGCAUUUGCUUGACCUUCCUCAUUCAAUUGCUAUCGUCGUUGUGCAUUUUCUAAUUUCUGUUGGUGCUUCAGUCUUGCUCGGUCUUGGGCCUCUAGUGUGGAUUGCUUGAUAAAGGGGGUUGGCUUUUCUGGUGCUUCCCCAGGUUGGAUUUGUAUCCCCGCUGCUCUACAUAUUCCACUUAUCAGACUGGGAAAAAUUAGGGAGUAGUGCCUAUCACCCCAAGUGCCUGUACCAUGAAUUUGGUUGUAGAUGUACGUGGCUAGAUCAAUCUUGUUCCCUCUAACCAAAUGGUAUAUGAAUCCGGCCCUUGAAUUUGUAAAUGUUGUUCUGUGGGAUAUAGGCUCGAUGUUAUGGCAAAUGAAUAACCAUAAAAUUGCUAUGGAUGGGGUGAGAUCUAUCUAAUGCCAGUCUGCUGUAGGUAGAGGCCAAGCGUUUUCACGUCCCAACAAUAUUUCUGCAACCUCAUUCCAGUUGAAGUCUUCGGGAAUAGGGACCACAUUAUUCCAGGAUAACUGAUGGUAGUCAUGAAUUACCUCUGGUGAAAACAUAAUCCAUUUGCCCCUAACCCAAGUCUAAUGUAAGUGCUCCGAUCCGGGAGUGUCGAUUUCUGUGUUGAAGUUUGCAUAAAAUUCCUUUGCUAGAUUCUCAUACACCGGAUGAGGUCUUUCUAUUACCUUCUCCCAGCCACAAUUGUGAAUAAGAUAUGUCAAUUCAAAGUUGGGGAAGUCUUCUAACUUUACUGGCCUUUCGGGAAUGAUUGCCCAAUCACGCACAACAUUGGCGUAUCGGGCUGCCGUAUCUGAUGAUAGGAAUCUUCGAACACCCCCUUCGGGUUCUCUUGUUCGGGCCGUUCCAGAUGAGGAGCCGACUUUCUCUUUUCCCUUUGAAGUUCUUUUAGGAAGCAUCCUGCAAAAGGAAAUACACAAUAUCACUUACUUGGUAUAGGAAUAACGGGCAUUAAUAAUCUUUGAAUUCAUAAUCCCCCAAACUUUCUUCAACAUGCCAAUGUACGUAUGCUUAUGCAAUUUUUCAAGCCAUGAAUCACCAAUAUAACUCUAACUUUGCAUAAGUUUGGAAAACUCAAAACUAUGGCCCGAAUAUGCAUUUUUAGAAAAUUUGACCCAUGACCAAGUGACCAACUUCGGCCCCGGGCAUCACCGAGAAAUAUCGAAAUUUCCUCAGGCAAGUUUUGGACAUGUGAAAGUACUCAAUGAAAUCUAGCAUAUAUCCAAAUUUCACCUUAAUCGGAGGUCAUUUGCAUAAGAAAACAUAGGGACGAAAGUAGUGACGUGGGUGAAUAUGAUUAGCCAUGUUGUGCCUUUGUGAAUUCAAAUAUUGAGGUAGUGUGUUUUCAAAUGAAAUUGCACGUGAUUAUUCGGCCAGUAAGUUACACAAUAACGAUGUAAACUAUUGCAUAAGUGAAAAGUUCAAGAAUGUAAAACAAUCGUCAAUGUGGCAUUUCGUCGAACAUGUGGUGUGCAAUGUGAAAUUCUUCCUAUUUCUCCUAAAACACCACCAUGAAAAUGCCCCCAAUUCACAACACCAUGUCAAAUUACCUUAUUCCUUCUAACUAAUGCCAACACAAUGAAUGAUAACCGGAAAAUGAAGCUCGAAAUUAGGGAUUAGAAGAACAUACCUUGAAGUUCCAAUUUUCUUGUUAAAUGAAAUGUGGCACCUCAAAGUAGAAUCCAAUCCAAUUGAAUGAAGNNNNNNNNNNNNNNNNNNNNNNNNNNNNNNNNNNNNNNNNNNNNNNNNNNNNNNNNNNNNNNNNNNNNNNNNNNNNNNNNNNNNNNNNNNNNNNNNNNNNNNNNNNNNNNNNNNNNNNNNNNNNNNNNNNNNNNNNNNNNNNNNNNNNNNNNNNNNNNNNNNNNNNNNNNNNNNNNNNNNNNNNNNNNNNNNNNNNNNNNNNNNNNNNNNNNNNNNNNNNNNNNNNNNNNNNNNNNNNNNNNNNNNNNNNNNNNNNNNNNNNNNNNNNNNNNNNNNNNNNNNNNNNNNNNNNNNNNNNNNNNNNNNNNNNNNNNNNNNNNNNNNNNNNNNNNNNNNNNNNNNNNNNNNNNNNNNNNNNNNNNNNNNNNNNNNNNNNNNNNNNNNNNNNNNNNNNNNNNNNNNNNNNNNNNNNNNNNNNNNNNNNNNNNNNNNNNNNNNNNNNNNNNNNNNNNNNNNNNNNNNNNNNNNNNNNNNNNNNNNNNNNNNNNNNNNNNNNNNNNNNNNNNNNNNNNNNNNNNNNNNNNNNNNNNNNNNNNNNNNNNNNNNNNNNNNNNNNNNNNNNNNNNNNNNNNNNNNNNNNNNNNNNNNNNNNNNNNNNNNNNNNNNNNNNNNNNNNNNNNNNNNNNNNNNNNNNNNNNNNNNNNNNNNNNNNNNNNNNNNNNNNNNNNNNNNNNNNNNNNNNNNNNNNNNNNNNNNNNNNNNNNNNNNNNNNNNNNNNNNNNNNNNNNNNNNNNNNNNNNNNNNNNNNNNNNNNNNNNNNNNNNNNNNNNNNNNNNNNNNNNNNNNNNNNNNNNNNNNNNNNNNNNNNNNNNNNNNNNNNNNNNNNNNNNNNNNNNNNNNNNNNNNNNNNNNNNNNNNNNNNNNNNNNNNNNNNNNNNNNNNNNNNNNNNNNNNNNNNNNNNNNNNNNNNNNNNNNNNNNNNNNNNNNNNNNNNNNNNNNNNNNNNNNNNNNNNNNNNNNNNNNNNNNNNNNNNNNNNNNNNNNNNNNNNNNNNNNNNNNNNNNNNNNNNNNNNNNNNNNNNNNNNNNNNNNNNNNNNNNNNNNNNNNNNNNNNNNNNNNNNNNNNNNNNNNNNNNNNNNNNNNNNNNNNNNNNNNNNNNNNNNNNNNNNNNNNNNNNNNNNNNNNNNNNNNNNNNNNNNNNNNNNNNNNNNNNNNNNNNNNNNNNNNNNNNNNNNNNNNNNNNNNNNNNNNNNNNNNNNNNNNNNNNNNNNNNNNNNNNNNNNNNNNNNNNNNNNNNNNNNNNNNNNNNNNNNNNNNNNNNNNNNNNNNNNNNNNNNNNNNNNNNNNNNNNNNNNNNNNNNNNNNNNNNNNNNNNNNNNNNNNNNNNNNNNNNNNNNNNNNNNNNNNNNNNNNNNNNNNNNNNNNNNNNNNNNNNNNNNNNNNNNNNNNNNNNNNNNNNNNNNNNNNNNNNNNNNNNNNNNNNNNNNNNNNNNNNNNNNNNNNNNNNNNNNNNNNNNNNNNNNNNNNNNNNNNNNNNNNNNNNNNNNNNNNNNNNNNNNNNNNNNNNNNNNNNNNNNNNNNNNNNNNNNNNNNNNNNNNNNNNNNNNNNNNNNNNNNNNNNNNNNNNNNNNNNNNNNNNNNNNNNNNNNNNNNNNNNNNNNNNNNNNNNNNNNNNNNNNNNNNNNNNNNNNNNNNNNNNNNNNNNNNNNNNNNNNNNNNNNNNNNNNNNNNNNNNNNNNNNNNNNNNNNNNNNNNNNNNNNNNNNNNNNNNNNNNNNNNNNNNNNNNNNNNNNNNNNNNNNNNNNNNNNNNNNNNNNNNNNNNNNNNNNNNNNNNNNNNNNNNNNNNNNNNNNNNNNNNNNNNNNNNNNNNNNNNNNNNNNNNNNNNNNNNNNNNNNNNNNNNNNNNNNNNNNNNNNNNNNNNNNNNNNNNNNNNNNNNNNNNNNNNNNNNNNNNNNNNNNNNNNNNNNNNNNNNNNNNNNNNNNNNNNNNNNNNNNNNNNNNNNNNNNNNNNNNNNNNNNNNNNNNNNNNNNNNNNNNNNNNNNNNNNNNNNNNNNNNNNNNNNNNNNNNNNNNNNNNNNNNNNNNNNNNNNNNNNNNNNNNNNNNNNNNNNNNNNNNNNNNNNNNNNNNNNNNNNNNNNNNNNNNNNNNNNNNNNNNNNNNNNNNNNNNNNNNNNUCCAUGAAUUUUUCAAUCAUGUCUGAGAAAAUAGCCAUCAUGCAGCGCUGAAAAGUAGCGGGAGCGUUGCAUAAUCCAAAUGACAUCCUUCUGUAUGCAAAGGUGCCGUAGGGGCAAGUGAAAGUGGUCUUCUCCUGAUCAUCUGGUGCCACUGGAAUCUGAUUAUACCCGGAGUACCCAUCUAGGAAACAGUAAUGUGAAUGUCCCGCUAAUCUCUCCAACAUCUGAUUAAUGAACGGUAAUGGAAAGUGAUCCUUUCGAGUAGCUGUGUUAAGUUUACGGUAGUCAAUGCAAACUCUCCAUCCAGUCAUUGUUCGUGUAGGAAUCAACUCAUUUUUUCAUUUUCUAUCACUGUGAUACCCCCUUUCUUGGGAACAACCUGUAUGGCAUUGAUCCAUGCUCUAUCUGAUAUUGGAUAGAUGAUGCAUGCUGAUAUUAGAUAAAUAAUGCCUGCAUCGACCAACUUCAAUAUCUCAGCUCUAACCACUUUCUUCAUGUGGGGAUUCAAUCUCCGCUGUCCAUCAAUGCUUGGUUUAAAUUUUUCCUCCAUGAGUAUCUUAUGCAUGCAUAUAGAUGGGCUGAUCCCCUUUAUAUCUGCAAUCGGCCAUCUAAUAACUGUUUUAUUUUCCCUUAACACCCGAAGUAGUUUCUCUUCCUCUACCUCACUGACAGUGUUUGAAAUAAUAACAGGUAGUGUGGAAGAUUCCCCCAGGUAUGCAUAUCGAAGAUGUGGUGGCAGUUGUUUGAGUUCCAAUUUGGGCGGUUUCACAAUGGAUGGCACUGAUUUUGCAGUUCUAGUUCCCAGCUCUUCAUAGUAGCGUUUGCGCAUAUAUGGCUGGUUAUUCUCCAAAAACCUAGCACAUGUCUCAAUCUCACUUGAUUCAGAAUGGGUGGAUUGUGAAUGUGCAAUGUAUGCCUCAUAUGCAUCGGAAGGAUGAUGUAGCCGAAAUAUGUCUUGAACUAUUCGGUCGACUACAUCGAUCUGGAAACAACUGUCUGCCUCAGUAGGGAAUUUCAUUGCUUUGAACACGUUGAAUGAGAUUUGCUCGUCACCAAGCCUUAAUAUCAGCUGCCCCUUCUGAACAUCUACAAUUGCUCUCCCAGUGGCUAAGAAAGGUCGCCCCAAAAUGAGUGGAACAUCUUUAUCUUCUUCCAUGUCCAAGAUAAGAAAAUCAGCUGGAAAUAUGAACUUCUCCACUUUUACCAGCACGUCUUCAAUGAUUCCUCUUGGAUGUGUAAGGGAUCGAUCUGCUAACUGCAAUGUCACUAUUGUGGCUUUUGCUUCUCCCAAGCCGAGUUUCCUGAAAAUAGAAAGAGGCAUUAGAUUAAUACUUGCUCCCAAAUCACACAAAGCUUUAUCAAAAUAACAGUCUCCAAUAGUGCAGGGUACAGUAAAACUCCCUGGAUCUUUCAGUUUUGGGGGUAGCUUUCUCUAGAUUCUGACGCUGCAUUCCUCAGUCAACAUUACUGUUUCGUGUUCUUCUAUCUUUCGCUUGGUGGAGAGGAUAUCCUUCAAGAAUUUUGCAUAGCUCGGCAUCUGGACAAGUGCUUCAGCAAAUGGAAUGUUGAUAUGCAGUUUCUUGAAGACUUCAAGGAACUUACUGUAUUACUGAUCCAUUUUGUGCUUUCUCAACCUUUGUGGAAACGGAAUAGGAGGCUCAUGAGGGUUAACAGGAUUUGUAUUUUUACCCUGUGAUGUCUUGGAAUUCCUCUUAACCUCAUCUCCUGUUGCAUUGUCAGUUUGCUCCACACUUUCUUCCUCCAAGGUUGGCAUUGAUUCCUUGUUGGCUCCCGAACUUGUUACAUGUGGUUCCGGCAGUUGUACUCCACUUCUGGUUAUUAUAGCCUUUGCAUGUUCCUUGGGGUUAACUUCAGUAUUGCUGGGUAGGUUUCCCGGUGCUCUACCCGUUAUGGAAAUUGCUAUCUGUCCCACUUGUGUCUCCAAGUUCUUGAUCGCUGCACUUUGAUCUUGAAGCGUUGUUUCCGUCCUUCGCAUAAAUUGGUUAUUGGCUUCCAUGUACUGAUUGGUGUGUGUCAUAAAUUUCUCGAACAUAUCCUCCAAAUUUGGCUUUUUGUCUUGCUGCUGAUAUUGCCCUUGUGGUCUAUUUUGAUUCUGGUUGCUCCAAGAGAAAUUUGGGUGUUUUCUCCAGCCUUGAUUGAAAGUUUCUGAAUGUGGGUUAUUCUGCUGGUGCUGACCCCAUUGUGCGAAUUUUGCAUGUUCGACUCCUUGUGCCAGAAUUGGGCAAGUAGCAGUACUGUGAUCUGCUCCACAUUCUUCACAACUCUGCUUCAUAACUUGCUUAGCAGUGGCGGUUUGUGAAAUGCUUUCAACCUUAUGGAAUAAGGAAUCUAUUUUCACCGACAGUGCUGAGUAAGUAUCUACUUCAUACACCCCAGGUGCUCUCUUCUGAACUACUCGAUCUGUAGACCACAUAGCUGAAGUUGUAGCCAUCCUUUCAAACAACUCCCAGGCCCCGUCAAUUGUUCUUGUAGAGAUAGACCCGUUAGCCAUCCCAUGGUAUUGAUGCCCAUUCUGAAACAGUUGAAUCACGUUAGUCUUCAGUUGGAAGUUCGGUUGCCCAAAUGGAGGAUAUACAAUACUAGAUUGACUUUGCACCACCAGUGGUGCCAUGAAAUCCCCAAGUACCAUAUUUCCAUCCUCUUCCACUGCCAAACCUUCGUUGAGUAGAAUUCCCGGUCGAUUUUGCUCGUUAGCCAUUUGCUGUACCACUCUUGCUUCCCUUUGCCUGUGAUGGAAUGUGCGUUCAAUCUCUAGAUCUAUAGGGACCAAGUCUUGAUCAGGUGCUCCUUGCAUGCAAGCCCUGAUAUGGCAAAAUUAACACAAAAAGUCAAUAUAAACAAUAAUUAAAUAAAUCUAAUAAAAUUAGCAAGUACUAAAAUGAAUAAGUUCGAAUUAGUGUCACAAAAGAUAGAAUUAAAUCUAAAAUUUAAUCCCCGGCAACGGCGCCAAAAACUUGUUCGCAAAAUAUUUCUUCUCGAUUUUAAAAACCCACCGCAAGUGUACGAUUCGUUAACAAGUAGUAAAAUGGACUAUGAGUCCAAGUAUCGUUCCCACGACGAUUGAAUUAGCUCUAAUUAAACUAAUGUGACCUUAACCGAAUCCAAUUGAAUGAAAAUUUGGUUUAAAUGUGAAAAACCCUAAUUUUGGGAAAAAUCCCCAAUUUGAAACCCUAAUUGCAAAGAAAACCCUAAUUUCAAAAUUGGAAACCCUAAUUUCGAAAUUUCACUAAUCUAAUGAAAUAAGCACGCAACUGAAAUGUAAAUAUGCAAUUUUAGAACUAUUGUAUUGAAAUGAAUCGAAAUGAAAUCAUUAAGAACUUGAAUCCCCAAUUGAUUAUUAAAAAAAAAACCUAAUUUCACAAAUUCAACGAAUCGAUGGAACAAAAUGCCAAUUCAAUGUUCCUAAAUUAUCCAAUACACUCUCUCGAUAUAUAUUGAAUCUACUCUUACACACCACCAGCCUAUAUUUCUAUGGAUGAUGCAAUGUACAAGAAUGCAUGACUUUUUAUGAACAUUUUCAUGAAUUGCAUAAAGCAUAGAGGUAAGUUUCCAUCCCCUAUCGGACCCUAUGUCGAUUUAUAUUCUAUCGAAUUUAUUCCCCUUCUUUCGAAUGCAAAGAACAAAUCAUCUACAAUCACAUAACAAUUGGCCAAAUAAUUAUGGAAGCAUUCAAAUCAUAUAAAUCAAACAUUUGUCCAAUCGAAACUAUUGUUGAAUUAAUGAAAUAACGGAAAUUUAAAUCAUCAAAAGGUUCAUCAAAUUCCUAAUGAAAAAAAACCCUAGACUAUAACCAUCAUUACAAAAUCAAGAAAUUGAAAAACGAAAUUAAAAGAUAAUAAGAAUACACCCGUAUGGAAUUUCUUCAAUCCGUGUGUAUAAUCUUCAACCCCGUCUUGAGCCCGUGCGAAAUUGAAUCCAAAAUCAAGUUUCUUGCCUCCAAGUUUGGUCUCUCCCUUCUCCCUGGUCGUUCUUCCUCUUAAUAUGAUGAUUUUGGGUAUUUAUAUCGCGUCCAAAUUAAGUAGGGAAGGAGUUUCAACCAAAAUGAAAAACUACGUCCGAAAUUUCAAAACUUAACUAUGCGACAGCAUAGAAGGGAUCUAUGCGGUCGCAUAGAUCAUUUUUUUCUCUCAUUUAAUUCCCUGAAACCUUCUAUGCGACCGCAUAGAAGGUUACACUAUGCGGUCGCAUAGAAGUAGCCAUCUAUGUGGUUUGUGCAAUUUGGUCACUGAACUUCUUUGUUGCUUCUCUUGACUUCUUUCUUCGAUUUCUUCAUCUUUUCAACAAUUCUUAUCUUCCAAUUGAUGAUCGACACUUUCAAAUAUUAUGCCACUCAUUCGGCACAUCUUUUGAGUAUUUGCACUUUAGUCCUCCAACUUUCAAUUAUCUUCAUUUUAGUCCAUCUUCCAUUCUUUCUUGCUCCACUUGUUUUGCUUUGUCAUUGAGCUCAUACUCGGCAUGUUUUUACUCUCGUUCUGCAUUUAGCUCAACUUCUCAAUAAUUGCACUGUUGGUCCUCGAACUAUCAAAUUGUUGCGUUUUGGUCCUUCUUCGGCUCUUUUCUCCUGAAUUCCACAAUUUCCAUUGAAUUACCUACAAUGCAUGAAUUUAACUGGAUUAAGUCACAAUUCGACCAUUUUAUCCAUGUUUAAGUCAUGUUUGUGAACCAAAUAAGUGUGUAAAAACACACUUAUCAAUUACUCUUGAUUUAUAAUUGUCCUUCAUAUAAUUUGGAUAGAUUUCAAUCUUAUAGAGGAUAAUAACUAACACAAUCCUGACCCAAAUCAGCUACUCUAUGUUUGCCUGUAAAUACUUAUGCCAUACACAUAUUUUUACCAUGAACCCCAUUUCCUUAGUUUUAAUUUCAUCCUUUAAGUUCAGUAGAAAUCCCCUAUUAUAUUCAUAUUCUACCAAAAUUAUAAUUCUCUUGCCUCUUUUCCAUCUAUUACUUGCAAUACAAUUCGUAAGCAAGAGAUAAAAGAAAACAAUUGGAACAUGACUCUCGAAUUUCUUUCAACAUUUAUUUGAUAAGGUAGGAUACUAUGUGCAAGUGAUUUAUCCUUGCAAUAUUAUAAUUUUUUUUACGUGAUUUAUUUCAUGAAAUGCUAAUUGACCUGCGGGUCCUUAUGAAAUGAAAUGUGAGAUCUCCUUCGAGUCUUCUCAAAUAUGUUAGAGUGUUCGAUGGAUCAUCGACUGCUCUUUAUGAAAUGAUGAUAUGAAAUGUUGUAAAUUCAUGUUUUAAAAAUUAUCAUAUUGUUUUGGACGCAUGUAUCCUAUUGAGUAUAAAUUACUCACUCCUUCAAUUUUAAAAUUUCAAGUUAGACAAGUCGACGUGGAUAGUGGCUGAGCGGUGCCUGGGUUGCCAAGUAAAGAAACUUGACAAGAAAAUAUUUUAAAAUAAUUCUAUUAGGAUAUUACGUGUUUUGGUUUAAUCCUGUUUAAUUUUCUAUGUUUACGUGACAUUAUUUUGGUAUUUGAUUAUUUAAUCUAUUAAGAGUUUUAAAGUUCCAAUUUAUAUUUUUGCUUGAUGUAUGUUUAUGAAAUGAUAUCCGAAAUACCUCAAAUUCUAGUCGAUAAAAUUUGGGGCGUUACACAAAGUAUCCAAUUGCCAACUAUAAAUAGACUCAAAAAUUGGAGAAACCCUUCAAGGUGUUUGUAUACAGUUUGUCUGCAUGCCAGAUUCCUAAUGGAAUACAACAGGCCUUAGAGGAUCCAAAGUGGGCUCAAGCGAUAAAAGAAGAAAUGGAAGCACUACAAAAAAAUAAAACAUGGAAUCUUCUUCCAUUGCCAAAAGGAAAGAAGACAAUAGGGUGUAAGUUGGUUUUCUCCAUCAAACAUAAGGCUGAUGGGUCCAUUGAAAGAUACAAGGUAAGACUUGUGGCGAAAGGAUAUACACAAACUUAUGGCAUAGACUAUGAAAAGACAUUUUCUCUGGUGGCAAAGCUAAACCAUGUGAGGGUCUUAUUAUCUCUUGUAGCAAAUUUUUUUUGACCACUACACCAGUUUGAUGUAAAGAAUGCCUUCCUUCAUUGUGAUCUUAAAGAAUAGGUUUAUAUGGAUAUUCCACCAGGAUGCAGCAUUUCUUCAAAAUCAGGGGUUGUAUGCAAAUUGCAACGAUCACUAUAUGGACUAAAACAAUCAACCCGCGCAUGGUUUGGUCGUUUUAGCUUGGCUACGAAGAAACGUGGUUUUCAACAAAGCAACUUAGAUCAUACUUUAUUCCUGAAGCAUAGACGGGGAAAGGUAACAACUCUAAUAAUAUAUGUGGAUGACAUGAUUAUUACAAGAAAUGACAUGGAAGAGAUCGACAUGCUUCAAAAAAAUUUGGCAAAUGAAUUUGAAAUGAAGAACUUUGGGGGCCUAAAAUAUUUCUUAGGGAUUGAAGUAGCCAGAUCAAGAAAGGGUAUAUUUUUUUCCCAAAGAAAAUAUGUGUUAGAUUUAUUAUCCUAAGUGGGUCUUCUUGAUUGUAAAUUAGCCAAUACCCCAAUUGCUCAAAAUCAUAAGCUUGGAGAAUACCCGGAUCAAGUCCCAACUAAUAAGGAGAGAUAUCAAAGAUUGGUUGGAAAACUAAUUUAUUUAUCCCACACUCGACCUGACAUUACUUAUGCAAUGAGCAUAGUGAGUGAAUUUAUGCACUCAUCAAGUAAAGAGCAUAUGGGUGCAGUAAUUCGAAUUCUUCGAUAUUUGAAAUCUACACCAGGGAAAGGACUUAUGUUCUUCUAGAACAAUCACCUCAAUGUCGAUGGCUAUACCGAUGCAGACUGGGCUGGUAGCAUAUCUGACAGGAAGUCUACAUCAAGCGACUUUACAUUUGUAGGAGGCAAUCUUGGCAUGUGGAGAAGCAAGAAACAAAAGGUGGUGGCUUUAUCAAAUGCUAAAGCUGAGUUUAGAGGCAUAGCCAAAGGACUUUGUGAACUCCUUUGGCUUAGGAUGUUAUUGACUGAGAUUGGCUUUGCAUCCAAAUCUGCAAUGAACUUAUUUUGCGACAAUAAGGGAGCCGUUGACAUUUCUCAUAAUCCAGUUAAGGAAGAUAGGAUGAAACACGUUGAAGUGGAUCGACAUUUUAUCAAGCAGAAUCUCAAAUCAAAGAUAGUUCUCUUCCCAUUUGUGAAAUCUGAAGAUCAACUAGUAGAUAUACUGACAAAAGCUAUCUCCAGCAAGGUCUUUCACGACUCACUUAACAAGUUGGGCAUUUACAAUAUCUAUGAACCAACUUGAGGAGGAGUGUUGGUGUGAGUUGUCAACAUACCAUAUUGAAAUAUGGUAGGGAUGGGUUAUUCCCCAGCUGUAAUAUAAAAUUCCCUUUGUUUAGCCGGAUUCUCAGCCUAAAAUUGCUCUCUUUAUUUUGCACUCUACACUAUAUGUGUAUGAUUGUAUUCAUUCAGAAAAUAAGAAAAAUAAUCCCUUUGUUAUCAUUACGAAACCCAUAAAACAAAUUAUAUAUCCAGAAAUUAAGAAGAAAAAUUUUAAAUUAUAUGUUAACGGACAUUCUGACAUAUGUACUCACACAAUGUAACAAUGGUUUUGGCGAAUCUUUAUUAUUCCUAGCAACAAUGGAAUAUUUAAUAAGGUGUAUUUAAUGGUACUGAAUAAUAUUAACAAAGUAAUGAUUAUAGGCUACAGAAUUGUUUAUUUUUCUGUCCAAUUUUGCUUGAUACAAAAUAAUAAAAUAUACUAAUAACACACUUGAUAUGCCGAUGUUAUAGCACCAAAGAUAAACUCCUAGAAAAAUUAGAUUGUUUGGCCUCCAUUUCGGUGGGAUAUGUUAGGAUUGUGACUCAAAUAGGAGUUUUGAAGUGGCAUAAUUCGACUUGGACUCUUGAAGCAUUGGAUUAGGGUUCAAGGAAACGAAGUUGAACAAAGAGAGGAGUUCUUGUUCUUCACGGUGAGAUGUAUGCGGUCACAUUCACAUGCCAUCACACCACGUGACCACAUGGUAAAUGGCAGAGAGUUUUCAGCCUCUAUUAUGCAACCGCAUGAGAUGUAAUAUGAGGUUGCAUAGUACAUUUCUAGGCGCCGUCCUUGUUUUUCAAUUUUUAAGCGUUUUAACCAAAUUGUAAUAGAUUUUCUUACCCUUUAGGACUCUGUCAGAGUUUUGAUUGUGUACCAUAAAUAAGAGGCUCCUUUGUUAGUUUAUGUAGAAGCAAUUUUGCUAAAUUGUACUUGUUUUCUCCAUAUUGUUGAAUAAUAAAUAUCAUUCCUCCGCGAUUAAAUCUUUUGGUCUUCUUUACGUUAAAUCUUGUUUCGUGGUGUGAUCUUGAAUACUUCAUAAUUGUCAUUAAAUUUCAUUCUUUACAAUCCAUUUGGGUCCAACAGGAUCCAUCGGAAUGAAUGGGAUGACAAAUUUAACUAAUAUUACAAAGAAAUAUUUUGAACAUUACAUAUAGAUGUGACGACAUAGUUGGUUGGCCCAUCACAAAUCCCUUUGAUAUAUAAUCUUGUAUUCUGAUAAUAUGAUUCUUAGUCAAUGUUGGAUUUUCGAUUAAAAUUAAAAUCAAAUUUUGCUAUCAAAUUAAUUAAUUAGUACUUAGUUUGAUAUAUGAAUAGAACUAUCAAACUUUAGUUUGAUUUGCUACUUUCAUCGUAUCUAAAGUUUUUAAUUUUGUAUAAUAUCCAAAACUUAUUUGGUUUGGUAUUUUAGGAUUAAAUUUAUAACAUAAAACUCAAAACAUAUUUUUUUGAUGUUUUUAGUGUUUUUAGUAAAACCAUAAAACAUGAAAAAUAAAACUAAUCUAAUUCCUCCUUCCUUUAUUUGGAAAAUGACAGAAUUUUUAUUUGCUAAUCGUGUUCAACUAUAAAAUUGCAACUUAUUUCAUUUUUGUCCCUACUUCAUGAUUUUGGUAAUUUUUUGUCCAAAUCUUCAAUAUUGAUCCUAUAACUUUCAAAAGCCUCCACAUUGGUCCAUGAACCUGAAUAAUCUUUUAAAAUUUGUACUCCAAAAGUUCUACAAAUGUGCAAUUUAGUCUUGAUUUUUCGAUAAAUUGUAUUUCACUCCUGAUUUUUCCCUAUUACUUAUAAUUAAUCCUCUACAAUCCUCUUAGCCUUCAUUUCCUCCAAUUCAACUCCAGUCAGGCUAAAAUGAUUCAAUAUUUGUUUGUAUUUUAUUUUUGUAGUGGAAUUGUUUUUUAAGAUUCAUUAACUUUAAAAUUAUAUAUUCCUUGAUGAUAUAUUAGCAUAAAAUUUUCCUAUUUUUCUGAAUAAAUUCAGUGAAUAAAAUGUCAUAAAAUAAUUUCUAGAAAUUCCAAACUAAUUAAACCUGCUUUUCAGUUUUCUGCUUUGAGCAACAGUUUUCAGGAUCACAAACCGCUGCUACCUUUCCAAUCUUAUGUUUCUCCAUUGGUAAUAAAAGUUAGAUUUUGACAUUGUUGAAUUUUAAAGAAGACAAAGUCUUCACACAAUAAAACUAGAGAGCAGAGAACCUAAUUGCUUCUUGGUGUGUUUAUUCAUCAAUCAAAUGGCCUUUAUAUAGGCAUUAACACAACAGAUAAAAGCAAGAAAAAAGGAACUGACUAACAAAUCCUAUAGACUUGGUAAUUACAAAACUAACUAGCUAAUGAUACUAAAGAUUAGGUCAACAUGUAAAUUACUUAUUCAACAAUCCCUCCCUUAAAUUCAUGUUUAUAAUAUCAUUUAUUUCUUCAGCGUGCAAACUCCAAGCAAUUUUCCCAGCUUUUGAAAUGCAUCCAAUUUAAUGGUGUGAGAAAUAGAGUAGCAGGUGCCUAUGCGCCAUGAGUGGGCGCCUAGGUGCCCCCUAGUUCUGUUGAAGCAGAAACUAGGCACUUAGGUGCCAUGUGUGGGCGCCUAGGCACCCAAUUUCUACAAAGUGGGCAGAAACUUGGCGCCUAGGCGCCCGAUUUAGCUAUAUAUAGAGCUGAUUUUUCCUUUCAUGAUCGAUCCGAUUUUUAGAGAGAAAAUAGAAGAGAGGGCUUGGAGAGAAUUUAACAAGAAAGAUGUUGUUCUUUUUGGGUAUAAAUUCAAAGCUCUUUUUCUUUCUUGGGAAUUAACUUGAGGCUUGUUCAAGUAAUCAAAAUCUAUUGUUCAUCAUAUAUAUUGAAAAUCAUUUCUUCUCCAAUUUUCUUUUCUUUUCUUUUCAUCUUCAAGUGGUUGGGAUUUUCACAUUACAAGUUUAUUUGAUUUUGGGCAAUCUUAGGAGGUGUUUCUUCCCAACAAUUUGGUAUCAGAGCUUCUUCUUAAAUCAGGGUGGUUAAGCUCCGAUUUUUUGGUGGUUGGCUUGAACUUUGUUGUGCACACAAGGUGUUUGUGAAAAUUUCCAAGUGAACUUUGUUGUUUUAUUUUCGGUAAACAAGUAGAUAAAUCAUGUCUACUAGAGGAAUGGUGAAGAUUGGGAAGUAUGAGAUAGAUAAAUUCAAUGGAAAGAAUGACUUCUCAUAUUGGAGAAUGCAAAUGAGAAAUUUGUUAAUUUCUCAAAAGUUGCACAAGGCAUUGGCGGGAAAGGAGAAGAAGCACAUAGAUAUGUUUGAUGAGGAUUGGGAAGAUCUAGAUCUUGAGGCACGAGCGUCUAUCAUUAUUUGCCUUGAAAGAGAUGUAGCUUUCUUGGUUGAUGGUGAGGAAACGGCGGCGGAGGUGUGGACAAAGUUGGAGGCAAACUUCAUGACGAAGACUCUAACAAAUCGGAUUUAUUUGAAGUCCAAAUUGUAUACUUGCAAGAUGGAUGAAGGUACACGAAUCUGGGAGUACGUCAACAAGUUUGAUAGGUGCAUAUCAAACUUGAAGGACAUUGAUGUGAAAGUAGAUGAUGAGGAUCAAGCACUUCUACUACUUCUUUCAUUGCCUAAGUCUUAUGAGCACCUAGUACAAACAUUGAUGCUUGUAGGUGAUAAACUUGUGAUGGAAGACACUUGAACGUCACUUCUAGCGGAUGAUCUUCGAAAGAUUGCAACUAGUGGCAUGUCUACCAUUGGUAAUAAGGAGCAAGCUCAAGGAUUUUUUGUAAGAGGUAGAAGCAACGUGCAACCAAAGGGCAAGGGAGAAAAGUCUAGAUCGAGUUCUAGACCUCUUGCGGAAAGGCCUUGUUUCAAAUGCGGCGAGCUUGGGCAUUUCAAGGCGAAUUAUACUAACAACAGGGGUUGGAAGAAGAACAAUAAGAGCAACAAUAACGGGAAGGUGCAAGUCAAGCAAGAGGUUAGCUAUGCCUCGGAAGAAGGGGAAAGCGAUGAGUGCUACACCAUCUCUUGUGAUGAAGAAAUCUCCGGUAAGUGGAUCUUGACUCUGGAUGCUCUUACCAUAUGUGUCCAAAUAGGAAGUGGUUUACUAGCUAUAGAAGCACUGAUGGUGGAACCGUGUUGAUGGAUAAUAACCAUUCCUGAAAAAUAGUGGGGGCUCGGUUCAAUUAGAAUCAAGAUGUAUGAUGGAGUGGUUAGAACAUUGAUUGAUGUUAGACAUGUUCCUGAUUUGUGAAAGAACCUUAUCUCUGUUGGUGCUUUAGACUCUGGUGGUUCCAAGAUUGUAACAUGGAAUGGCGUAAAGAAGGUUGUUUGUGGUUCUUUGAUUGUGAUGAAGGGUAUUCGUGAAGGCAAUCUCUAUGUUCUUCAGGGUACUACAGUUACAGAAGAUGUAGCGGUUGGAACAAGUGGAAGUGGUGGAGACCCAUGUGAGUGCACUCGGCUAUGGCAUAGGAGGCUUGGAAAUAUGUCUGAAAAGGGGUUAGAUCUGCUAGUCAAGAAAGGUUUGCUAAAGAACUUGAAUAAGCCUUACAUGGAUUUUUACGAGCAUUGCGUGUACGGUAAAGCACAUCGAGUUCAGUUCCAGCCAAGCAAACAUAGAAGCAGAGGUAUUCUAGACCAUGUGCAUACGGAUGUAUGGGGUCCAGCUUCUGUCACUUCCGAAGGCGGUUCUAGGUAUUUUGUGACAUUUGUUGAUGAUUAUUCUAGAUAUGCUUGGAUUUAUUUUUUGAAGCAUAAGAAUGAGGUAUUCGACACUUCAAGAAGUGGAAAGCAAUGGUUGAAAACAAAAUAGGAAAGAAAUUGAAGACACUGCGAUCUGAUAACGGUACUGAGUAUACAGAUGGUGCUUUCAAGGAGUUCUAUGGUAAGGAAGGCAUUGCGAGACACUGGACAGUUAGGAAUACACCACAAUAGAAUGGGGUCACAGAAAGACUGAAUCGCACAUUUCGAGAUAAAUCGAUGUGUAUGCGAUCCUAUACUGGUUUGGGCAGAGUUGGUUGCAAAUGCUUGCUACAUUGUGAACCGAUCUCCACAUUUAAAGUUAAAUGGAGAUGUACCUUACAAGGUAUUGACAGGAGAACAUGUAGAUUAUGAGAAACUCAGAAUAUUCGGAUGCACAGUCUACUAUCACGUCAACGAGGGAAAGUUUGAUGCAAGGGCCAAGAAGGGUAUAUUCUUGGCAUAUGCAGUACGUGUAAGUGGCUAUCGCCUAUGGUGUGUAGAGGAUUCUAAGUUCAUAAUCAACAGAGAUGUUACUUUUGAUGAGAACUCCAUGAUAGCUUCGUUGAAUGCUACAGUGCCCACUGGUGAUGAUGUUGAGACUACAAAGUCUCAAGUUGUUGACAUAGAACAUAGAGAUCAACCUGGUUCCAAUCAUGUUCAAGAGGAGCACCAUGUAGACACUCAAGAUGAGAGUGAUGAUGAUGAGCUUGAACAAGAGGCGGUUCAGCAAGAGAAUAUACAGGCACAUCAACAAUAGCAGCUUGCAGAUAACUUGGCUUCCUCUAGGCCACGGCGUACUUACAAGCAAGUUCUAAAGUUGGGGUCAGACGAGCCUUUGAGGCACUAUGGGCAGAUAAAUUUGGUUGAGUAUGCACUCUUGGUGGAGGAUAAUGAGCCUGCCACUUUCAAGGAAGCUAUUUUAAACAACAAUAGUAAGAGUUGGUUGGCAACGAUGGAAGAAGAGAUGGAAUCACUUCACAAGAACCAAACAUGGGAGGUUGUCCUAUUGCCCAUAGGUAAGAAAGUUAUUGAUUGGAAGUGGUUGUACAAAAAGAAAGAUGAUCCUACCAAGCUCGGUGGUACAAGAUUCAAAGCAAGGUUAGUGGCUAAGAGGUUUGCACAAAGAGAGGGAGUUGACUACAAUGAGAUCUUUUCUCCGGUGGUCAAGCAUACUUCCAUUCGGGUGCUAUUGAGUAUUGUUGCUCAUCAUGAUCUUGAGCUGGAACAACUCGUGUCAAAACCGCCUUCUUGCACGGGGACUUGGAUGAGGAAAUCUAUAUGCAUCAACCUGAGGGCUACAAGGUUGAGGAUAAGGAACGUCAGGUAUGUCGCUUGAGAAAAUCACUAUAUGGAUUGAAACAAUCUCCUCGGCAAUGGUACAAGUGAUUUGACUCCUUCAUGCUAAAGCAUGUUUCUCCAGAAGUGAGUAUGACUGUUGUGUUUAUAUUCGAAAACUUCGGGGAGGUAACUAUAUCUAUCUUCUUUUGUAUGUGGAUGACAUGCUUAUUGCUUCGAAAAGCAAGGUAGAGAUAGAUAGGUUGAAAUCUCAACUUGGUAAAGAGUUUGAGAUGAAGGAUAUGGGGGCUACUAGGAAAAUACUAGGUAUGGAGAUUAGAAGAGAGAGGACGAACCGACGAAUUUUCUUAAGUCAGAAAGGCUACAUUGAGCGGGUUAUUGCUAGGUUCGGGUUGCAAGGUGCAAAGUCGGUGGUGACUCCAUUGGCUCCACAUUUCAGGCUCUUUGGUAAACAAUAUCCUACUACAGCGGAAGAAAAAGGUACGCAUGGAUCGUGUACCUUAUGCUAGUGUAGUUGGCAGUUUGAUGUAUGCCUAGUGUGUACACGCCCAGAUAUUUCACAGGCGGUUAGUGUGGUCAGUAGAUUCAUGGCGAAUUCGGGGAAGGCACAUUGGGAAGCUGUGAAGUGGAUCCUGAGGUACUUAAAAGGUACCGCAGAUAUGGGUUUAUAUUUUGGUGGAGAUGCAUGUCAGAUAAGUGGGUUUUUGGACUCGAAUUAUGCAGGUGAUCUAGAUAGACGACGAUCUACUACUGGAUAUGUGUUUUGCAUACAUGGUGCCCCAGUUAGUUGGCGAUCGAUGUUACAGGCUACAGUAGCUCUUUCUACUACAGAGGCCGAGUAUAUGGCCAUGGCAGAGGGAGUGAAGGUAGCAUUGUGGUUGUGGGGUCUUCUAGAUGAUUUGGGGAUUGAGCAGGAUUGUGUGGACUUGUGGUGUGAUAGCCAGAGUGCGAUUCAUUUGGCUAAGAAUUAGGUUCAUCAUGCUUGAACUAAGCAUAUCGACGUCAGGUAUCAUUUUGUGCGUGAUGUCAUAGAGGAAGGUGAUAUUUCUCUCUUGAGGUACACACAAAUGAGAACCCAGCAGACAUGUUAACCAAAGUGGUAAUGGGUAGCAAGUUUCAGCAUUGCUUGGACUUGCUUCACAUUAGUCCAUGCUGAUAUGCCCGAGUGGGCAUGGCCUUUUGGGGUGGGGUUGAAAUGAGGUGAAGAGUAUAUGAAGAUGGAGGUGAACUACGAAGGCUUGAUCCCGAGUUUUGGGUACGUAGGCAACCAUGGUUUGAAUGGUGCAGCCGAGUUUGGCGCUUGUUGCUUCUUCUUGUGUUCGUCCAAAAUUUGAGGUCUAUCAAAUGAUGUACAAAGUGGAGAAUUGUGAGAAAUGGAGUAACAGGCGCCUAGGCGCCCCCAGUUCUGCUGAAGCAAAAACUGGGCGCUUAGGCGCCAUGUGUGGGCGCCUAGGCGCCCAGUUUCUCAAAGUGGGCAGAAACUUGGCGCCUAGGUGCCACUCAUGGGCGCCUAGGCGCCCGAUUCAGCUAUAUAUAUAGCUGAUUUUUCCUUUCAUGAUCGAUCCAAUUUUUAGAGAGAAAAUAGAAGAGAGCGCUUGGAGAAAAUUUAACAAGAAAGAGGUUAUUCUUCUUGGGUAUAAAUUCAAAGCUAUUUUUCUUUCUUGGGGAUUAACUCGAGGCUUGUUCAAGUAAUCCAAAUCCAUUGUUCAUCAUAUAUAUUGAAAACCAUUUCUUCUCCAAUUUUCUUAUCUUUUCUUUUCAUCUUCAAGUGGUUGGAAUUUUCACAUUGCAAGUUUAUUUGACUUUGGGCAAUCUUGGGAGGUGUUUCUUCCCAACAAAUGGCUUUUGUAAACAUAUCAGCAACUUGAUCUUCUCCUUUGCAGUAAAUAAGAUCAAUGGUUUCAUCAAAAUGAUACCUUCCAUCAAUAUGUUUGCUUCUUCCAUGUAGAACAGGAUUCUUGGACAACUUUAUAGCUGAAGUGUUAUCACAAUAGAUGUGAGUGGGUCCUUCUUGCUUGAAACAGAGAAACUCGAGUCCUCCUUAGCCAAAUUACUUAGCAUGCACAUGCCGUUGCUGCCACAAACUCUGCUUCUAUAGUUAACAAUGUUACAAUAGCAUGCUUUCUUGAAGACCAUGAGACUGCUCCUGUCCCAUCAUAAACCAGAUGUGCUUUUUCUAUCCUCUGGAUCACCAACAUAGUCACUAUAUGUAAAACCAAAUAAAUAUGAUUUUUCACCUCUUUCGUAAAGCAAACCAUAAUCAGCGGUGCCUUGUAAGUAUUUGAAAAUUCUUUUCGAAGCCAAGAGAUACAUCUCCUUUGGACACUUUAUCUCUUCCCUUAGGUCCUUUGAUGAGCUUCACAUUUAUUUUUGUUGGUGUGCUAACACGAUUACAUUCAUUCAUUCCGAACUUGUCAAGAAUUUCUAGCACAUACUUUUUCUGAAAGAUAAAAAUGCCAACAGUAGAUUGAACCACCUCUAUGCCAAGAAAGUAAUGUAUCAUGCCAAGAUCAGACACAUCAAAUUCAAUCAUCGUGGACUUCUUAAAAUUCUUAAACAUGACUUGAUCAUUUCCAGUGUAGAUUAAGUCAGCUACAUACAAGCAAACCAUGAGAAUCUUGCCAUUAUCCUCCUAUUUCAUGAUAAGUGUGUGUUCAUAAGGACAUUUUUUAAAUCCUUCCUUCAAAAAAUAAGCUUCGAUACGAUUGUACCAAACUCGUGGGGUUUGUCAUAACCCAUAUAAAGCUUUUUUUCAGCUUAAGCACUUUACAUUCUUUUCCAAUCUUAACAUAUCUGGGAGGUUGAUUAACAAAUACUUGCUCUUCCAAGUCUCCAUGUAAGAAUGCUGAUUCAACAUCUAGUUGAAAAAUACACCAACAAUUUUGUGUUGCUAAUGCAAUCACCAAUCUGAUUGUGUCGUACUUUACAACUAGAGCAAAAACUUCUUUGUAGUCGAUGUUGAACUCUUGUUUGUAGCCUUUGGCAACCAAGCGCGCCUUGUAUUUAUCAACUUCACCAUUUUCUUUCAGGUUUUUCUUGUAGACCCAUUUUACACCAAUAGUCUUCUAUCCUUGAGGAAGUUCAGUCAAUGUCCAAGUAUUAUUAUUUUCAAUGGCUAUAAUUUCAUCAUCCAUUGCCUUUCUCCAUUUUGAUUGUUUGACAGCUUCUUCAUAAAUUAUAGGAUCACAAUCUGAAAAUAGAACAAAGUGUGCAAGUGAGUUCUCGAAUUGGUCAAUCCCCGUGAACUCAUAUUCAGCCAUCCAUGUGGGUUUUCUUUGGAAACGUUCUGAUCUUGGUAUGCUAUGGACCCUUCUUGGAUAACUGUGGGUUGUGGUUCUUGCUCUACAAUCUGCCGCCCUUCAAUAUGCUACUGGGAUUGGUAUGUAAAAAUAGAAUAUAUGAUUAGUGUUUGCCAGUAUGAUACUGGGAUUCGGUUGGAGAGGAAGAUGAUGGUGGUGGUGGCAAAAAUUCAAAUUUAAGUGGUUGGUGAUGGGUAGAGUUGAUGGUGGAGGUGGUGACAGUGAUGAGAGGCAAGGCAUGGCAAAAAUGCCACGUAUAGGGCCUGGGCGACUAAUUAAGCGAUUAACAAAAGUGUUGACUGCUUAAGGUGCAUCUAGGUGUUCAUUAUUAUUAUUAUUAUUUUCAAUUCUUAAAACUAAAAAGGCUUUUUUCUUCGCUUUCUUGUUUGCCUUAUAAGUUAAAACAUAGCCAAUGAAGAGAGAAAGAGUCGCUUGAACAAAAGAAAAGUGCCAAAAAUUCCUUUCUCCUCCAAAUUCAAUAUCCACUUCGGCACUUGCUAUGUUAAUUAAGCUGGUAAGAUCUCUAUCUCCAUCUUCAUCUAGAGAAGAAACCCGCUAUAAGUGGGAAUAAAAAUCGAAUUCGGAUUUAUGCCUAGAAGAAAAGUGCUAUUGAAAGUUCUGUAAUAAAGUCAGUUUGUGUCUUUUGCCACUUUGCUUCAUGUUUCUUACCGUAUUAUUAAGACUAGUAAAGUUUUCUGUUUGAUUAGGUUCAAUGGUAAGUUUAAGGAUGGUCUUUUUUGCACUAAUUAAAGAAACAGGUGAUUUUGGAAUACGAUAUGCAUUGCAUUUUAACUGCUGCAGAUCAUAGCAUCAAAUAUGUGGUGUCCUGUUCACUGCCGAAUUGUUGUUAGUUUUGUUUACGUACUUCAAUUUAAAUACAAGCGGGGUAUUGUUCACUGGUUGUGUUUUAUUGUUUGCUUCUUAAUGUGUAUCUAUGUUCACUGUUAUGUAACCUUCUUAAGUUUCCGCAUAUAAACCCUUGGAGAAUUUGAGUGUAUGAUUAACUUAAUUUAAAAAUUCAAUGACAUCAAAAUUCAAUGCUAGUCAAAUAAAAAGGGAUUCCAAAGAUGUUGGAUGGGAAAUCAUGAUUUUUGCAGAUCCUAAAAAUCUUAAUAAUAUGAAAUAAUUUUUGCAAAUCCUAAAAAUCAUAAUAAUGUGAAAUGCAUAUUAUGUGAUAAUGUUACUAAGGGGGGAAUUUCUAGGCAAAAAAUUCAUAUAGCAGGAAUCAAGGGAAGAUGUGGUAUAUAUAUCAUGUCCUAGAGCAAGUUAAGAACGAAAAGCCAAGUGUGUUGAAGCUAUUCAAGGGAUGAAGUCUAAAACAAUAGAGAAGCUAUUGAAUGAUGUUAAGUUGAGGGAAGAUGUGGGUUGUAUCUUUGCCAGCAAUACAACAUGAAGAAGAUGAAAUUUCUAUUGGGACUAGGAUAAUGCCUAUUAAUGUGGGGCCUACAAAUCAAUUUGCAAGAUCUAUCAAUGUCAAUGAUGCUUCUAUGAGUGCAAGUAAGAAACUAAGACAACAAAAUGUGAAUGAUGCAAUUUAUAAAAAAAAUGGUUUUUAAGGUUCAUUGAUACUUCACAAGAUGAGUUUAUGAAGCUGGAAUUCCUUUUAAUGCCAUUGACAAUGAUAGUUAUUAAACUAAUUGUGGAAGCUCUUGGUCAAUAUGGCUUGGCUUACCUUCCUUCUUCCCAAUACCAAGGGAGCACUUUUAAAGGGAGAAGUGCAAAGGUCAAAAGAAACAAGAAAAAUGUGGAAAAAUAAUGGGUGUUAAAUCAAGACUUAUGCUUGGAGUGAUAAGAAAAGGAGAAGCAUCAUGAAUUUGUGUGUGUAUUGUAAAUUGGGGACCACAUUUAUUUCAUCAAAGGAAGCUUCAAAUGAUGCCCAUACCGGUGAAUUUAUAUUUGACUAUUUCAAUUAAAGAUGUUGGGGUCGAAAAUGUGGUUCAAAUUGGGACCGACGAUGCCUCCAAUAAUAUGGCCACCGCAAAAUUGUUGGAAUUACAAAGGCCUAAAAUGUUUUGGACAUCAUGUGCCACUCACACUUCUUAUGCAUGAAGGAAUCUCUAAACUUCCUAGCUUCAGGGAAGUGAUUAACAAGGGAAAAUCAUUCACUAUAUUCAUUUAUGCACAUCACAAGACUUUGGCGCUGAUGAGAAAGCUCACAAAAAAGAGAUAGUUAGGUCGGGAGUCACUAGAUUUGCAUCUUCUUUAUUAACAGUGCAAAAUUUGCUUGAUAAAAAACAAUAGCUGAGAAAUAUGAUGAUUAGCAAUGAAUGGGAUAAGAUAAAAUGGUCUAGGUAUAAAGAGGAAAAAGAUGCAUUUCAUAUUUUUGUUAUGAAUGAUCUUUGGAACAUGGUAAAGUCUUGUUUGACAGUAUUCACUCCUUUAGUGAAAGUGCUUAGAGUUGAUUGUAGAGAAAAAAAGCCUUAAAUGGGCUUUUUCAUGUAGAGCUACUAAUGACAAAGGAUGACAAUUAAAAGAUAUCGAAGAGGGAGCAUCAGAAUGUACCUUUCUUUUUCUUCUUCUUCCUCAACCUUUGUGUGUGUGUGUGUGUGUGUGUGUGUGUGGAUAUACACCAAGGAAAGGAAUAAGCUUGACACUAAAAGGGUGAACAAUAUUGUUUAUGUCCAAUUUAAUGCAAGGCUGGUGAACAAAAAGAAGAGAAAACACAAAAUAGAUAUCUUACAACCUACAAGAGGUACUAUAAAUGCUCAAAAUGAAAUAAAGGAGCUUGAGGAAGAAGAUUUUGUAUUGGACAACAUGGAGGAGGAACUAGAUAAAGAAGAUGAUAUUGAAUUAGAGUUUGGUAAACAUGUAGAUAAGAUUUAAGUUUCUAUGAUAUCUACAUUAUGUAACUAUUAUUUUGAUACUUAUCUUUUUGUAUUAUUAGUUAGAUGCUUGGUAGGUAUUAUUUUAAUUAUUAAAUAAUUUCUAGAUUGAUUAAAAAUUAAAAAUAAUAUUAAAAUAAGAAAAUAAAUUUUUUUUUUCACUCCUAUCAUUGCCUAACCCAAAGCUUGACCUCUACACAGCCACACAUUAUACCUUUUAGAUUAGAGGUUGUCAGAAGCAGUGGAACAAUGUGUUAUAAAUGUAAUACAAAUUAUUAUAAGUGGCAAAGGAGAGAAACGCUAUCUAUACAAGUGGUGGUGACGAUAACGAUGGCCAUGAGUAAGAUAUUAUAUUACAAGUGUAGCAUAAUUUCUUACAGGUGGUGGUGACGGUGGACAGAUGUGGACGAAUGUGACAAAAUAUAUUAUUGUUAGAAAGUGUAGCAUAAAAGAAAAUUAAAAAUAAAUAUUGACAAAAAAAAGUUGGACGACAAGUUGAGAAACCGUUUGAUAUUUAUGUUUAUUUUUGUAAAGUACCCUAUUUUAAUGUGGCCCUUUGAGCCGUCAUUUUCUGGGUUGUGUUUCUUUUAAAUGAAAUUUACACUACACAACCUUUUAAAUAAAAUUUCCAACCUAUUUUAUUACUAAGAAUACUAGAAAUAGUAUAUUUGGUAACUUAAAAAUCACAUAACUCCUUAAUAUAAUUUGGGAUAAUUAUAUUCAUACCACAAUUUUUUUUUCUUGCUCCACAGUUUAAUUUACUUUAAGUUUUUAAUCUUUACUCAUUAUAGUACUGAUGUACCUAAUGAUUUUUAAAAUCAUUCUUAUAAUCAAACAUUUCAUUAGUUAACACAAUUUGUAUUUAAUAACAGUUUUAUUUUCAAAAGUCCGUUGAAAUUACGCAAAACAACUUAUUUGUUGUCAUAUAUUUUUAAUAAUAAAUAAAUAAAAAGUGCUAAAAAUAUUUUAUUUCCUCAUUUCAAAGCAUAAAAAUAAAAUAUUUUGAUAUAAAUCAUGAUCAAGGAUGAAUCUUAAUUUCACAUACAAUAAUAUUGCUCCAUUUUAAUCCCGUAUCUUUUACCCCAACUUUCAAUUCCAAAAAAAAAAAAAAAAAGGGUCAACAACCUAUAUUUUACUUCAAUUUCUUCAUUGAUUGUGAGAAUAAAAAAUCGAUUGUUGAGUGGAGAUCUUUCUUUUCCAUAUAUAUAUUAGGAUCUCCAAAGAUCCAUUGAAGAUUUUUGUCCAUGGUUUAGUCUAAGCAUCAUCAAACCUCUGUUCUGCUUCAAUUUAUUCGUCAAUUGUGAUAAUCAGACAUCAAUUGUUGGCCUGGAGAUAUUAUUUUUCAUGUGCACCGAGAUAUUCAAGGAUCAACGGAAGACUAUUCUUCCAACAUAGUGCAUCCAACCUCUAGAUAAGAAUUCGUUCUUAGGGAUUUCUGUCAUAUAUCAUACUUUUAGCCACUAGGUAAAGUGAUUUCACCCCACGAAGUAGCUAUAAAUAUUGUGAAAUGGAAACCCUAAAAUACAUUUCAACCAUGGGUUCUGACAAGAAUAAGUCGUCACACCAUCACUAGCAGACACAAGGGGUGGCAGGGGGUCAUGUGACCCCCAACUUUUGGACAAUUUGUUUUUUAUGGGAUAAGAAACAAAGUUGAAAUAUUACAUUCUUAGCACCUGUCUAACUGGUAUUAAAAUCAUAUUUUUAUUAUAUUUUGAUAAAAGUUGAUGAAAUGUGUGGUUGAAAAGUUUUGGGUUCCAUAAAAUUUGUGGUUUAAAUUAAUUGUUGAUUUUGACUUAAAUUGAAAUUUAGAUUUUAAUUUAUACCAAACAAGGACUUAAUACUAUUUCAAAGUGCUCAUGGCUUAGUUUUUCACGUCAUUAAUGGCACAUGAAACAAUCAAUCGUAGCUAAUAUUGGGGCUAUUCAAAGUACAUCGUUUCAAAUUAGUAUUUCGAGAAUUUCGAUAACAUGCUUUUAAAAAUUAUUCGACGAUUGCACGCUAGUCGAAUUUUCAGAAUUGACUACAUGAUCUUGAAGCUUUUCGAGAACUACAUUAUAGACAUAUCGAACCAUCCAAAUGGAUAUUGAAAAUAGUUAAAGGUGCAUCAAAUGUAUGUCUUGAAAUUUUAAAUUUUUUGAAUUGUCUCAUUAAUUUUUAUUAUUAAUUAUAACCUACAAAUUCUCAAUUUAAUUUACACAAUUUUAUUAGAAAAUUUUAUACGGGGUAUGCGUCAAUUUUUUUUGAAGUUUUACAUUCGGAAAAGUCAUAUCCUAUAUAAAUUUUACAUGGGGUAUGAUUUUUUCAGAUGUAAAUUUUCUAAUAUAAAUUCCUCACAACUUUUUUGUAAGUUUAAUUAUGUCCCCUAAUUUAAAUUCCUUCAAGAAGUAUUAUUUGCUCAAUAAGUAAUAUCCCACAUGGAAAGGGUUAGUGUUUGUGGCUUGCCCGAAACUAACCGCUCACAACAAGGAGUUGUAUAGAAGAUUACUACAAUCAACCAUUCAUGUUCAGUCGUGCUACGUAUACAUAAUGGUUUAUAUAAUAGUUUACAUAUACAUGAUGUGGUAAAAUAUGAUUGGGUUAGAAUUUCUUCAACUGAAUAAAAAGCUUCUUCACUUUCUUUUUGACACAUCAUCUAUAUAUAAAUUAUUAUAUAACUCAAUUAUGUACCGGUUGCAUUAUUCAUUCUGAUUCAGCAUGGCACCUUGACGAAUGUAGCCUAGGCCUGCCCCCAACCCAUAUACAAAAUUAAGAGUAAAAUUUUAUUUUUGGGCCCAAAUAUUUAUGUGUAGCCUGACUCUACUCGAGUCCCAAACAACUUGCCCCCAACCCAGAUACAAAAUUAAGUGAAAAUUUUAAAUUGGGAAAAUUACACCUAGACACGUUUUUUUUAAAUUUCAAAUACAAUAAUCAGGCUUUAACUUUAUUAUUUCACAAAUCGGGUUAUAAUUUAAUUAUUUAGUAUUAAAUUUUUAACAUAAUAUUACUAAUUAAAAUUAUUUUACAGUCAUUAUCCCUACAAUGGGGGAGAGAAAUUAUUUAAAGCAUUUCAAAACACUAUUCUUCUACCACAUCCAUUGAGAGGAAGAUUAUGGAUCCUAUUUCAAUUGAUUCAUCCUCGUUCGUUGAGGAAGAGUAACAAUUGGAGGACUUCAUCGCUGUUCGUCCACAAUUUCCCAUUUCCUAAUGUUCAGGAUACUGUUAAAUAUUUUGAAUUAAUAUUUCAAACUUUUUUUCAACCAUAAAUCUAUAAAAAUUCGACUUAAUGGGUUCGGCCAAAGAGAAUUACUCUAAAUUGCUAUAAAAUGGGGAAAACUAAUCAUGGAUUGGUUUUUUUUAUUGAGAAGAAAGGCGAGAAUUGCUUCCAAGUAUUUUUUAUGGCCCUUAGAAAAUGCGUUCGAGGAUUUCGAAAAGCGAUGCGACCCCUAAUUCUAGUCAACAGUACAACCUUUAAGAUUAGAUACGAAGGCAAGUUGAUUAUUGCAACAUAUCAAGAUACUACUUUCAAAUUUACCCUCUUACAUUCAGCAUAGUUGAGGAGAGAAUGACUUAGCGAUGCGUUGGUUCUACACGAAAUUGAGGGAAGUAAUUGGGGAUGUUGAGAACUUUGCAUUCACAACUAUCUAGAGGCAGUUAAUAAUAAAUGGUAUUGCAGAAAUCUUUCCCGAAGCACAUCAUGAUUAUUGUAUGUACCAUAUAUAGGGCAACUUAAAGACUAAGUAUCGGGACAGUGGUAUUGUCGAAUUGUUUAGGAAAGCUGCAGAGGCAUAUAAUUUUGAAGAGUUUGAUAAGCUCAUGGUCAAAAUAAAAAAUAAAUUACGUGUUGUAUAGGAUUAUCUAACAGAGAUGAUGAUCGAACAUUGGGCACAAUCACGUUUUUCAAGACGUCGAUAUAAUAUGAUGACGUCAAACAAUGUGGAGUCACUUAAUGCAUUAUUUAAUAAGGAUCGAGAAUUACCAAUUCCUACAAUGAUUUAGCCCAUUCAUAACAAACUACUUAGUGGUUUCAUAAUCGGCGUGAGGAAUCCCGACUUAGGAAGAUAAGAUUUUAGAGAUGGUGAGAAAGGUAUGUGUGGAACCAUUGGAUCAAUUUGACUUCUCCAUGAGAUAUGGACUUGAAUGAUAGCACGUGCAUAUGUAGAAAGUUUCAAUUGGAGAAUUUUCCAAUCACGCACGUAGUGACAGUGGCUAUGCACAGAGGAUUUUUAUCACACACCUUAUGCAGUUAUUAUUAUAUAGCUUAUUAUUGGAGAGCAACGUAUACUGAAACGAUAUUUCCUAUACCAAAUAAAGUCGAGUGAAAAGUUCCCAACUACAUUAUCCCACUUAAUAAUUUGUUGCCAUCCAAAGUCGGAGCAUGUACUCCUGGACGUAGACGUACAUCUAGGAUACCAUCUACUGGAGAAUUUUUUCAAUCUCGUAAAUGCAGUAGGUGCGACGCAAUAAGGUAUACUUGCCGAUUUUGUACAAGCAAGAUUCCUCUAUAUAACAAUUCAAUGAAUGCGUAAUACAAUACCCAGAAUUUUUAUUUACUAUUUUCAAAUGGGCCUAAAUUUAAAGUUAGUUAUUUAGUAAGUGGAAUAGUUCAUUAUUCUUUCUAUUAUUAAUAACACUUAAUUUUUAUUUAUUUUCACAUUCUAUCAUUAAUUAAUAGUUUUUUUUAUGUUCGAGCAUUUGACAUCCUAUAUUAAAUUUAUAUUGAUGGUUGAAAUCGCAGUAUUUUUAGCUAUUUGUUUGCUUAUACAAUCAAGUUUAUUGUCGUAAAAAAAAUAAGAAGAUUUUUAGUUAUUUGUUUGUUCAUACAGUCAAAUAUGCUCCGAAUCACACAUACAGUUGUGCUACAACACAUGACACAAUGAAGUCAACAAUAUUUAAUUAUUUUUAAUAAAAUAAUACAUAAUGUACUAAGGAUCACAAUUGUAUGCAUACAAAUUGCAAGUUAACUUCAAUCUCUACAAAUCUAUGCAAGGUUGGUUUAUUGUAUCAACUUUGUGAUCAAUAUUCCAACACUCUAUAUACUUUAUUAUGAAUAUAGCACAAUCACCCCUGCAAGUAAAUAAUAUUAUAUUAGUUCGAUAACAUAUAUCUAAAAAAUAAGUUUUCAAACUAAAAACUUUUAAAUACUUACGACACUCUGUGUCUCGCUGUCUUCAUGUUACGUACAAUGGAUAAUUUGUCAUUUACUCAAAUCAUCGUAUGUCUAGCUACAAUGGGAACGAUUAUAAUCAUCAGCUCCAUUAUUUGCUCCAAUUAAUCUUGUGUCUGACAGCUAUGAUCAGAGUUGUACACAUGGAUAGUAGAAUCAGCGAAUGCGAUCUCAACUGCAGAGCAAUGUGAGUUCACGAUCACUAGAAUGUACAUACGUAUAUAACCUAUACCCUUUCCAUCAUAUCCCCUACCACCAUCACCGUCAAUACCUCUUUGCUGCCUCUGUCGGGGCCAUACAUUUCUUUUCUGUGAAAAAUGAAUCGAAUGUAGCAUUCAAUAGCUACGACGAAUCAUCACACCGCAUUUGACCAUCUCCUCCGUCAUUCCCUUGUCCCUAAGAACCGCAAGUCCCUCCGUCACCCCGUCUAUCUCCAUGAGGCUAGUCCCUUUGUCGUCCGCUCCAUCCCGAGAGCUACUAGUCCAUUCCAGGCCUGCUAUAUCACCUCAUGUCACUAUGACCUCAGCAUGAAGAUCUCCUAAAUUGGCUUGUUGCACCAUGGCAUCAUGUCAUAACUCUGCUACAUCACUUCUCAUCUCCAUCAUAAAUGUAGGUAGAAGUUCGAACAAAUUAUCGGUGGAAGCAUCACAACUACGUGCAGAAGAUCUACGUGUGAGGUUCUGGAUGUAGGAGUAGGUGAUCUCAUGUGUGAAGGUGACCUCCUCAGGGAAGGUGAUAUCGUUGGCAAAAAUGAUCUCCUUGAUGGAAGUGAUCUCCUCACCGGAGGUGAUACUGGAUUACACUCCUAAAAAAUGAACAUUACAAACGAAUAGCUUAAUCAAAAAUCAAAACGAUAAUCAAAUUAUAUUCAAUUAACACACCUUAUCUCGAUCGACAAUGUCUUCGGGCAUUUGAUUUGUCUGGCAUAGCUGGAACAGAUAGAUCACACAGAUAACUCUGACCCUUCUCUUUGAUCGACGGUCUCAACUCGAAAAGGACUUAAGCCGACGUAUUGACAUUUCACCGAUUUAAUGACCAUCUAUCGAGAUUUUGAAAGCACAUAAAUAUAAAUUGCAAAUGUAAACUACAUACCUUGGGAUCGUCAAAGAAAGCUGAUUAUUGUUUGGCAAAUGGUUUGUCUUGUGCUCGUUAAUGAUGCAUUUGAGGAUAGCAUGUCUCCCAUCUCUUCGGAUAUCGAUCACCCAAGAUAGGGAUAGUCUAGUACACCCAUAUUUGUAAUAAUUACAAUUAUUAUAUAAAAUUUAAUUAAAAAAUAGAUAGUUCAUUAAGUUAAACAUUUACUUGCAAAGCCAAAGGCAAGCCAGGUGCAUAGUACUUGUGCUCGGGCCUAUCCUCUAGGCAUCAAAUACUCCAUCCGAAAGACGUGCAAAGUAUCCAUAAAACAUCUCUGCCCCACGAAUAGUUGUUGAACGUAUUAAUGUCAUCAACAACUUCCAAAUGGAAAACAUCAAUCGACGUCUUCUUGUGAUGACUUCUAAGCACACUUUCAAGAAUAAGCAUCAAGCCUAGCUUCAACUUGUCUAAAAUCUGGUCACAUUCCCUGAAUGCAUCUCCUAACUAUACCAGAGUUACUAUCAUUUGUCCAUGAAAGUAUUUAUUUACCAGCCUCAUGUUUCUUGAAAUAUGAGCCCUUACUGUUUCUUCGCCUGUAUAUCUCAAUUCGAUGAUGAGGGCAAACUCGAAUAUAGAGAAUAUAGCUACCUUACCCCCAAAUCAAAAAGGAAGAUAUCUCUAUCAACUGGCUUAAGCAGUCAACAUUGUAAUGCACUGAGCAACUGUCCGAAGAACUAUACGUCAUGCAACUCAUGCAACGAAUACAGGGGCCAUAAGCAGGAUCGAUGUAAUAUGUCUCUGUGUUCCUCAUCUAGCGAAUCUAGUACCAUCGUAAAUUGCAAAAGUCACAAUUCAACUUAACUUUGCUAGGAAUUUGUUUAAUGGUAGCGUUUAAGUGGUAUUCUAUUCUGCAAAAUUUCAAAUGUUAGAAAAUUAAACUAACUGAACUGUAACUACUACACCCAAGAAUUAACAUAUAAUAGAAAAAAGGAAAAUGAAAGUAAAUAAAAAUUAUAAAACAAAAUUAUAAAAAGCAAUAAUUAAUUUUUUUUGUCAACAACAUUAAAUAUUCAAGAAAAAAUCAAGCUAUAAUUAAUAUUAGUUAAAAUAUUAAAAAAGAAAUUACAAUCAAAUAUUAAAUAAAUAAUUAAAAUAUCAAACGAAUAUUAAAUAAACAAGUAAAAUAAAUAAUUUAAUAUUAAAUAAUUAAUUAUAAAAGCGAUUACAUAUUAUAUAAAUCUUUAAAAUAAAUAAUUCACAUAAAAAUAAUAAUUAAAUAUUAAAUAAACAACUAAAUAAAGAAUUACAAAUUCAAUUAAAUAUUAAAUUAAAUAUUAGAUAUUUACAUAAACUAUUAAAAUAAUUAAUUAAAUGUUAAGAAACUAAAAUAAAUAAUUUAAAUAUAAAAUUAAAAUAAAAAAAUAUUUAAAAAUAAAUAAAAUAAAUAAUUACAAAAACAAUUACAAAUUAAAUAAACAGUUAAACAAUUUAAAUAAACACUUAAAAUAAAUAAUUACAAAAACCAUUGCAUAUUAAAUAAACAAUUUAAAUAAAUGAUUACAAAACAAAUAAAAUUAAGUAAAAAAUUAAAAUAAAUAAUUAAAUUUAAAUUAUCUAUUUAAGUAAAUUAUUAAAUAAUUUUAUGUUAAAUAAAUAAUUAAAAUAAAUAAUUACAAAAACAAUUGCAUAUUAAAUAAACAAUUAAAAUAAAUAAUUAAAUAUUAAACAAACAAUUAAAAUAAAUAAUUACAUAAAUGAUUAAAUAUUCAAUAAAUAAUUAAGAAAAACAUAAUUAAAUGUUUAAAUAAAUAAAAUAAGUAUAUAAAAAAUCGAAGGCAGCCCAAUAAAUGGAUAUAGACGGCCAUCUGGAUUUGGGUCGUCUGGAAAGACAGAAUUGCAAUUCCCGACUUUGGAAACGACGGAGAUCACACCAUUCCUGAUGAUCUCCGUCCCUGAAGUGUAUCAAAAUACUCAAUUUCGUGUACAAUUUAUAAUCUACAACAAUUUCUACAACAAAUGAACAUAUAACGUGCUUUAUUUAUUGGUAUCUAAAGUUUCAAAGCUAUCUUUCUUCAGAGAAAUGACGAUCUUCGAUCUAGGUCGUCAACUUCUUGGCGGUGUGGGCCGACGGUUUCUAGCUGGUUGUUUUCUACUCUUCUCUAUCUUCAAAAAUCAGUGUGGGCAUAAAUGGCAUAAAUGUUUUUCUAUAAAUGGCAUAAAUCGUCAACUCUCUCUAAAGUUACAUAUGUUUUUCUAUGUUUUUCAUGGUUUUAAUAAUUUUUCCUUUUUCUCAAAAAAAUGGUUAAUGGCCAUUAUAGAAAGAUGGUCGGAUUAACCAAUCAUAAUGUGAACCCGUAUAGGCAGUCGCUACAGAACCCACUUACAAGAUGGAAAUCUUCCCAAGAAAGUCAAAGUAAGAUUUUGAAUUAAACCCAACAAACUUGGAACCAAGCAACCUAAAUCGUCGAUGAUGUGUAGACUUCUUGAUUACGCAAAUUAAUUGAAUAUCACCCGAAAUUUUGGAUCUAACUCAAUAACUAUGAACUAAACAACCAACACGAUCACAUGGACAUGCUGACCUUUUGAUUAUAAAUAAUUAAUUGAAGUCACAACUCGAUUUUGAACGCCACAAGAAUAUUAAUUCCUAAUAAGUUUGGUAGAUUUGCCCAUUGAAGAACAAAAGUUUUGAAGCGAAGCUUCGAGAGAAAAUAUCUAAUUUAAUUCAUAUCAAAGUUUUGAAUACAAUUAUGAAAGAUAUUUCCUAUUUAUACUAAAGCUAGAAUAUAAUAUAAAAACGAAAAAAAAUAAAUCCAAAAUAUAUUAAAGAUGCUAAAAUAUUAGAAUUCUAACUAAACUAGGAAAUUGCCAAAAUAUGGAAUUCUCGAAUCACAUUAGACCCUCUCUCUUCGAAAGGAUUCAUCCUCGAAUUAUGUUCCAGAUUGUAGCCCUUGUCUCCAAUCAAUGCAAGAACAUGAAAUGGUCCAUCUCCCCUCGGAUGCAAUUUGGACCUCCUUUGACUUUGUAUUUGUCUUUUUCGUAAGUAAACCCAAUCUCCUUCACAUGGACUAAAGUGUGCUCACCUCGACUACUUAAUCUUACAAGUUGGAACUGCUCCAUUAACAUUUCCAUAUGAAGAAUAACCGUGCAUUUUCCUUGCUUUACUUAGCUCAAGAACUUGAUGCGAUAUCACUUCCAAUAUAUCCAUAUUAUCCUUCAGUUCAUCUUCCUCAAUCAACUCUCUACAUAUGUAAUUCCUCCAAUGCCUUUGAAACUCCUUUAUCUCCUUGGCAAUCACAAAGUCAACUUGUGGCAGAUAAGAAAAAUCCAACUGAUGUGAACCCACGUAGGCAGUCGCCAUGGAACCCACGAACAAGAUGGAAAUCUUCCCAAGAAAGCCAAAGUGAGGUUUUGGAUUAAACCCAACGAACUUGGAACUAAGCAACCCAAUCGCCGACGAUGUGUGGACCUCUUGAUUACGCAAACUAAUUGAAUAUCACCCGAAAUUUUGGAUCUGACUCAAUAACUACAAACCAAACAACCAACACAGUCACAUGGACAUGCGAACCUUUUGAUUACAAAUAAUUAAUUGAAAUCACAACUCGAUUUUGAAGGACACAAGAAUAUUAAUUCUUGAUAAGUUCGGUAGAUUUGCCCAUUGAAGAACAAAAGUUUUGAAGCAAAGCUUCGAGAGAAAAUAUCUAAUUUAAUUCAUAGCAAAGUUCUGAAUACAAUUAUGAAAGAUAUUUCCUAUUUAUAGUAAAGCUAGAAAAUAAUAUAAAAAUGGAAAAAAAAUCCAAAAUAUAUUAAAGAUGCUAAAAAAUUAGAAUUCUAACUAAACUAGGAAAUUGCCAAAAUAUGGAAUUCUUGAAUCACAUCAAAUCAUCUUCCACUAUUUUCCCCAUGCUCUACUCAUCUCCGACUGUUGUAAUCCAUUGUCGACUGUCCACUUCAAUUGGAAGCAUUCAACAUCAUCGACAAUGUUUUCCAAAACCUACAAUCCCAAUCGCCACCCUAUGCUAUAACUGGAAUCUCUAUUAUGCCCUACCAUCACCCAUCUAUCAGCCUAACAUAUAAUAAAUGAAACCAACCUACUCCAAUCACUGAAGCAACCCACCUUUGACACAUGAUCCUACCCAAUUCCACAACCAGCCGCACCUAUAACUCGCUACUGCAAAACACAGUUGCCACCACAAUCUUGUGUCAGACGCACUCCACAGAGACGAAAAUUUCUAUUCUCUCAUGCAUACAGAGAUAGCUCAUUUUAUUUUGACUGAAGGAAGGAGCUGAAAGAGGAACUGGGACUAGAUUAUUAGGUUUGGGAAGAAAAAUAAAUAGGAGAGAAAUUGUAGCCAGGUAAACAGGCUUUUUUUUUUCACCACAAGCCUCCUGCCGAGAGACAAGGAAAUCGAUGGAUCGUUAGCCAGGGAUUAUAAUAGGGACUCGCUAUUUCUACUUAUCUUUGGAUUUAUACUAUUGUUUCAUUUAAAGUGUGUCAAUUAUUUUCUAUGUUGCUGUUAUCCUAGUAUAUUAACCAAGCUCAUUUGAUUGGAUCCUUUGACUUCGUUAAAUCCCUACUCUUUAUACCAUUUAUUUUACGUAAUUACGCUUUUGACUAGCAUUUGGCACUUGUUUUGCUAUUUUACAUAAACCAGGAUGACUAACUUUCCAUAUUUGGAUUUGUUUAAUCCAAAAAAAUAAAUUAAAAUGCUCAGGUAGCUAUUUUUUGUUAUUUGCCCUUAUUGUUCAUUAAUCUUCCCAUUGCACGUCAUUUAGCUAUUAUUACAUUGAAUGUAGUUGCUUAGUAGUCAUUGUUCAUCUUUUGUUCUUAUAUUUUGACCAUGGACCUUUGCUAAUUUGAUGCACUCACCCAAUAAAUAACUCAAAUUGCCACUGGUAGUAGAACACUUAAUUAGUGGUUGUCCAAACUGAGAUGACUGCUGCUCAUGAACAGAGAGUGAACCUAGCUACUAGAUUAAACAAGUUCAAGGAAAACCCUCGUUCCACUAACGUUGAUAAUUUUGAAGUGUCCCAUAAUGGAUAAUAUCAUCAUCACGAGGUGAUCAAAAAUAUUUUUGACACGAUUGAAGGGAUGGGGAUUAGAAUCGUGAGCUAGAACAAGUCUAUGGCCAUGAUGAUACCCAUUCUCUUCCUCGUCAUGAGGAGCAUUUCUUUAGAAAAUAAAGUAAAUGCUCUAACUUUCAAUGAUUCCUUAGAUCCUAAAUUUUUCACUCAAUGAAAUGCUUUAUGACAAGAAAAUCAGCUACUGACUGAGUAUAUCACUCAAUUCGUGGAAUUUCAAAUGAAAUAUCAUAUCAUUGAGGAUGAGGCCCUGACUUUGUGUAGAAUUAGACAAUGUCUAAAGGUCUAUUUGAUUGCAAAGAUGGAAUUUGUGUGGAAAGAAAAUGAAUUUCAGAGAAUUAAAUUACCUGUAAAUUGUUUUCCUGAGAAUUGUAAAUUAUUGUGUUUGAUUGGUAUAAUUUUUCACUUGGAAAAUGUUAAAAUAAAAGUUUCUUUUGGUGUUCGUUUGGCUUUGUUUUACAUGAAAAUUGUCAAUUUAAGGGAUAUCUCCUUUUACAACUGUUCCUAAAAUUUGUUUCCAUUACUAAAAAAAGGUCCAAAAAUCAUCAUUUGACUUUGUUUUAUAUGAAAUUUGUCAAUUUAAGGGUUAGAAUUUUUUACAAUUGUUCCUCAUAUUUGUUUUCAUUGCCAAAAAAAGGUAGAAAACCAAAAGCCACCAAAAUGGUGGGAAAGCAAAUUCUAAGAAAUCUAAGAAAAUGUGCACGUGUGGGAGAAAGGAAGAAAAGGAAUUGCCAAGAAAAUUUUUCAAAUCAAACAAGGCAAAAGUGAAAAAUGGAAGGAAAUAAAGGGGGCUAUCAAACAUGCCCUAAGAGAUGAUCUUAGGCAUGAGCUUUUCCUUUGGUAUGUCACUACUCUUGAUCAUCUUCACUCUUUAGCUCGAGAUUUUGAGUUGAUUAUUGGUACACCAUAUGAAAUGUGUAAUGACAACCGUACAUCCAUCAAUCAGCACUGUCUCUUCUUAAGUAUAUCAAAAUACUUUCCUUGUCCAAUGUUCCUCAUUUGUUGGCAAAUAAGUGUAAAAUUCCAAAAUUUCAAAGGACUUUUCCUCACUUGCAGUGCCUCAACUAUAAGGACUUUGGCUGCAUCUCUUCCAAAUGUCCUAGUUACGCUUUAGUCAUUCAAGAAAGAAAGAAUGUAAUAGAUGAACCAUUAGAAAUUCUCGUUUAUGAACUUAAACUUGAAGAUUUUGAUGAAUGUGAGGACACCUACUUAUGUGGUAUCCGGACUCUUCCUGAGAAUCUAGAAUUAUACCCUUUGUUCCCAACACUUCUCAAGUACAUGUUGUAUGUCUUACCUUUAUCCAACCUAAAGAGGUUGAUGAUUUCACUAGUGGAGCAACCUGUCGCAUAUGGUUAGCACUAAAAUGAAACUCUCCACUACAGACCACCCUUAGACUAAUGGUCAAAUUGAAGUUGCUAACCAGAGUCUUGGUAAUUUCUUAAAAUGUCUAGUCCAGGAAAAUCUUGGGAAUUGGGGCUCGAUCCUCCUAGUGGUUCAAAUUGCAUGUAAAAAUUUUGUGAAUCGAUAAUAGGAGGCCUUUAGACCUUAUUCCUAUGUCCUCACAAGCUAGUGUGUCAAUGUCAGCCGAAGUAUUUGUACAUCAUCUUUAUGACUUGUAUAUUGAGAUCAAUAAACAACUUAAAGCAAGUAAUGUAUCAUAUGAACUUCAAGCUAAUUUUCAUAAAUGACAUGUUUGAUUUAAUAUUGGGGAUUAUGUUAUAUUGCAAGCCUGUAGUGCUUUCUUUUUUCACUUUUUUUCUAUUUCUCAAUCCUUCCAAAUUUGCCACCAACUACAAGGAAUCAAUGUAUUUAAGUAUUACAAAUAUACUAUUUUUUAUUCACUCAAAAGAAUAUUUUUGCAUCACCAUUAAAUACACAUCUUUUGUUUGUUCCUUUGUGUGUAUUCUAAUGCUCCGUUUGGUAGAGUUUUUGUUUUCUACUUCUAUAUUUUGUAGUGAAAUUCUUUGAGCAAACUAUCUCAAGCCAAUGCCCUCUAAAAUUUCUUCUAAUUUUGUAGAAAAUUAUUUAAACAUGUUCAAAAAUAUUUUCUUAGUUUCAAAAUUAACUUUUGAUUUUUCUAAAACAUUGCCAAAUGGGGCCUAGACCUUACUUAUUGCUAAUUUUUUAGAUAUCUUCUGAACAUAGAACAAAGAAUGAAGAAUGUAGAGUGAGGUAUUUAUGAAGAAUAAUCAAUGGCACUCAUGCAACCCUAACUCACUCUCUGUAUUAUAUAAGUCACUUUUAUUCCUUAGUUGAUUGUUUCUACGUACUUCCCACUCCUACCAACUUACUCUAAAAAAGGCAUUGCACCAAGGUCAAAAAGCAUGUUUUGUUAAUAAAAAGUAACUUUUAAGUAAUUUUAGUUUACACUAGUAGUUAUAUCAAAAACAAAAAUUUAAUAUAAUUAUUAAUUUAACUUUUAAUAUUACGUAGCAAGGGAUUUACUUAUGUGCUAUAGUGAAAGAUACCAAAUUACUGUCAAGUGCCCUAUGAACCAUUUUAUUCUCAAGAUUAUCAACAUUUAUUGUUACAUCAUUACCUUUUUUUCCCCGAAUUGCACUAAUUCCCCCUUAAUAGGUAGAUGUCAAUACCUUUUAGCGUUAGCAAUGAAUUCUAGAUGAUCAUGGCUGAAAUUUUCAGCCAUGAUUUCAAUUUUUUUACAGGCAGUGGUCUAGCAACAUAUGGAGAGACUAAAAAUUAAAAGGAAAUAAGAUAUUUAAUUACUAUGAAUAAGGUCAUUUUGACUUCUAUUUUCUAAAAUUUAGUUUUUCUUAAACUCAUUUUUAGUUACAUAUUUUAUAGAUAAAUAAUUUUAUACGCGACCAUAAUUUUUUUGUAUUUUUAAACCAUUCAUUCCCCAAAAUCCCUUACCCUAAAAUUCCAAAAUAAUAAUAAAUUACCAUGUACUAUUGUUUCUGUUUUUAAAAUUUAAAUUUCAUUAUUACUAUUAUUAUUAUAUUGUUCUCUCUCAUGAAUUCGCUGAUUUCACAAUUCAUGGGAAUUGGGGCUUGAUCCUCCCCGCUGUUCAAAUUGCAUAUAACAAUUUUGUGAAUUGGUAAUAGGAGGCCUUUAGUCCUUAUUCCUAUGUCCUCACAUGCUAAUGUGUUGAAGCAUUUGUACAUCAUCUUUAUGACUUGUAUAUUGAGAUCAAUAAACAACUUGAAGUAAGUAAUGCAUCAUAUGAACUUUAGGCUGAUUUGCAUAAAUGAUAUGUUUGAUUUAAUAUUGGGGAUUAUCUUAUAUUGCAAGCCUGUGGUGCUUUCUUCUUUCACUUUUUAUGUUUCUCAGUCCUUCCAAACUUGCCACCAACUACAAGGAAUUUACUUAUUUGCUAUGGUGAGUUGGGAGUUUGAUUGAAAAUUCUUCUUCUGUCUUGGGUUUUUAAGUUCUUCUUGGUAGAUUUAAAAUUUACCUUUGUGGGUUGAGAGUUUUGAUUGAAAUUCUUAUAUCUCUCAAGGUUUUCAAGUUUCUCCUUAGUAGAUUUACUAUUUAUUCUUGUGGAUUGGAGUUUGAUUGAAGUCUGUAUCUCUGUUGGUAGAUUUAUUAUUUUUGUGGGUGGGAGUCUGAUUGAAAAUAUGAAGAUUUGUGACUCGUUAGAAGGGUGAAGCCAACAUUAUUGAUGGUGAUGAUGAAAAUAGUAUUUGCUAGAAUCAAUAUUGUUUAUAAAAGGACUGCAAGCGAUGGAAUGAAAUGUUGUCCAUUUUGGUGGGCUAUGGAAUCAUGUUUGGCCUGGUUUUAUGGUUUCGGCUGCCCUCUUGGUUAAAAGGUUCUAAUGAGCAGAAGUAAAUUUCACCUUAUCAAAAAGGGACAGAGCUUGCAACCAACCAUUCUCAUUAUGACCCAUUAGAAGUCCAAGGACUACUCCAUAAACUUGAUUGUAAAAGAGAUGUAGUUCCUCUAAUAAUAGUGAAGCCUCUUCAAAUGAACUAUAGAAGCUCCGACCACAAAGAAAGCCAUGAAACUGACAUUAAUUAUGAUAAGCGAGAUUAUAAAAAGAAACGUAGGUUAUACAAAUAACUAGCAGAGACAGAAAACUAAUCACUAAGAAAAAAUUGAGAUAAUGAAUUGGUAAAGGAAUAAAAUAAUAAUAAAAAUACACCCAGUACAUAUAAAAGGACAUGAAUCCGAUUUGAAGGAAAGCCCAUGAAAUUCACAUUGAUUAAGUAGAAAAAGGGCUAUUGCUACUAAAACAGUCUAAUUACUAGCAUCCAAGUUAUAUAACCCAGAAAAUAAGGAGGACAACAAGUUACAUACCCUGAUACCAUUCUAAUACAAAUAUGUUUAAAUUCAAUAGGAAAUCACCUGGUGCAACUUAAAAUGCAUAGCUACUCUUAGCACAUCUAUAGAUGCCUAAGGGUAUAUGGUGGUUUUGUACGAGGGAUGUGGAGUGUGACAUUUGGAUCACGAGUGGAGAUGUGAUCAAAUGUCUAGGAUCAUUUAUCUGAAAUGAGACCCUGAUCAGGUGGAGUGUGAGAGAGACACUUCUAUCACUUCUGUUAGGUGGAGACCCAUUAUCCACGUAGGUUGGGAGAAGUGAUGUGGAGAUAGAGGAUUAUCGCGUGGACUUAGGAUCUAUCAUGACUUACUAGUUAGACAUGAGUUGAGUGAUCUGUCUAGUGAGCGUGGUGGGCAAUGAGAGGAGAUAUGUGUUCUCGAGGUGUGAGCAACAUGGAAUGGGAUAGGAUAAAUGUGGUGAGAUCUUUUCUUAGGGUCAUUUAUGCAUGUGUUGCAUAUGUGGUUGACUGUGGUUUGAUUGACUUGGUGUUAAUCUAUGGUUCUAUGUGAACGUGUUUCUGAAAAGAUCUGUGUGUGUUAUCUUAUAGUAUAUCGUCAUCGCAUGCAUAUUUGCUCUUGAUUUUUUACUGUUAAAUAUUUGCUUCUACUUGGGUGUUUUUUUUACCUUAGCCCCAGUGAGUACAUGGAAUAGGUAUGGUAUGUGUUUCAAAUUGGAAACAUGAGGUAAGGUCUGUUAUCCAAUUUUAUUGGCUACCUUGAUUAUGCAAGUGUUAACUGUGUAUUUUUUGAUUGCUUGCAGAUUUAUUGGGCAUCAAGGUGGAGAUUUGUUGGGUUUUUGAUACCCAAUAAAUCCCGGGCUAUGAUGUUAACGUGGGUUAAUAUUAUUUCAUAGGCAUAGGCCGAUGAAUGAAAUAAGUCCAAUAACCAAGUCCAUGAGCUACACCCGGCCCAAUUGUAUUCCUUAUGGAUGGCUUGAAUCUUAGCCCGUUUACCCCUUUAAUGGCCCUACAUAAAGCCUAACCCUAGAGUAUAUAUUUGGUUAUAACCCUAGCCACUUUGAUAUGAUGAUUGUGUGAUUUUGAGAGAAGAAACAAGAGAAUCCCGGCUGCCCCUCUUUGUGUGAGAAAAAAGGUGUCCAGAAGUGUCCAGAACGCUGGUAUAACGUGUGCAAUUGGUGGUUCUUUCAUGGUAUACCUUUGUGGUGUCUUCUCUUAGCCUUUUUGGCGAUAAAUCAUCAUCCUUUCUUGUCAUACAUGGGUAAGAUUGAAUAAUAACCAAGGUGAAUCAAUUCGUUGUGGUUUGGAGCCAUUUGUAUUGGUUGUUGGUAGAGAAAGGUACGUUGGACCGAGCCUAAAAAACCACCGUUUGAAGAUCUUUUGAGAGAGCUUCCGCAACAACAUCUAAGGCAUAUAAAUGCUUUCAAAUAAAAGAACCACACCAUGGUGUCAAGAAUGCAAAGAUAUAACAAAAAUAUGCCCAUGCUUGGCUUUUAGAAAAUAUUUACUUCAAUAAAAAUUUAAGACACACCUUCACCGUAUUACCAAGGAUUACAAGAAAGAAGCAUUAUAUAUUAAUAAGUAUAGCCACCAUUUCAGUCUAACAGCUCUUAAAAUGUCCAUAGAAAUUUUAGAACGCGUGAUUCCUAGAAAUUUUGAAAUGAAUUUAAAGCACGUGGAUCAUUCCCUGAAAUUGGGUGCUAAUGUGUCUUUUAGAUUCGCAAGUAAGUUGAGCAAGUUCCUUCUAUAUAAUUUUAUAGGAAAAUAAUCAGAAAUUUAAAAAAAAAAUUCUUGUAAACCACUUUCAAUAUUGUGCUCCUUCGCAAUAGUAGCAAAAAGAAGAGAACUGAUAUGAAUAUUUUAUGUAUAUUAAUGCAUUGGAUCUGGUUUAUUUGAGCAAAAGGUCUUCAUACCUUGGGGAAGUUCAUACCAAAUGCAGCCAUUACAACAAAAGUUAAGCAAGAGGUUUACAACUUUCAUCUCUGCAAAUAAAUAUUUAUGAUUGUUGGCAAAUGCUCAUCCCUGUUUUGCUCAAUCUCAAUCAUAAAACUAAGAGUGAUAUUAAAAUAAAUUGAGACUAAGAGCCAAUAAUUCCCUUUUAUAGCAAGAAACGUCAAUUGUAAUUUAAUCGAUUAAAUCUAGACUGAAAAUAUGUAAAAUAUUGAGAGUCUUAACUGUGCUCGCAACCUCAAACCGAAACAUUUUUUCCAUUCCGAUACUUAUUUGCAUGAAGUAGAUAUUAUAGGUAGCAGAACGAUCAUAAACGAAUAGCACAUACAACUAAACUAAUAUUUAUCUACAUGUUUUUAUAAUUUCACAACUAUAGAGUAGUCAUUAGGUCAAAUUAAUGUAUGUUCACAACUAUAUAGUAGUCAUUAAGUCAAAUGAACUCACAAUUUGUGGUUUAAUUGUCUUCCCAUCCAGCUCCACAGUCCUAACUUUCUAUAGUAAUUAUGGAUAACUACAUUGAACCCCCAAUAAAAGCAGAGCUAAAAACAUGAAAAUAACUAAACUAUUUUGUAAUCUAAUCAACAUAAAUAAUGGAAUUAUUGGAAUAACACUCACAAAAUCCACUCCAAUGGUGCUAAUAUAGCUGUCAACAUAUGAAUCAUCCUAAAAGCAUCAAAGGACAGCAUCAUGUCCACUAUACAAUUCACCGAAAAGAAAAUUUAAUAAAAACCCAGAGCUAAAUAUACUAACCCAACCAUAUUUCUAGAAGCAAGUCACUAAAGAAUAUUGAAAAGAAACCCAUUAUAAAGCACACGUAGAUGAAGAAAUCAUACCUAUAGUUAUUGGAGAAAUCGAAAGUUCACCUUCCACCACUGCCUUUAGAGAUAUUUUACGUCCGACUGCUUCACACCAUCAUCAUUAGCCAAACCAGCCAAUCAAGCCUCAUACCUCACAGAUUCGUUCGCCACAGCAUCACUUACCACGUCUUUAUCUUCAAUGAAUCAUUCGUUGAUGAAGAAGAUGCCUCCACCACCUACUUUAAUAUAUUAUUGUUAAUGGUUCAUGAUUUUUCUUUACAUUCUCUCAUGGAGCAAAGGACAUGGAUUGUACUUUCUUUUUCUUUUAUUUUUUGGUAAAUUAAGUUUUAAUCUUAGAAGAGCUUGUUUACUUGAAAAAUGUUAUUAAUAGACGAAGAAAUUGGGGAUUUUCUUCACAUCCAUGCAAAUAAAUUUUGUGUAUAGAAAUAAAUCAAGUAUGUGUGACUUUGUAGUUAUGGAUGGUGGAUCUCAUUAUCUGUUUUAGUUGACCCAAAAUAUAUAUAUGCACAAACCUGUUUUUCCUCUAAAUGAAGGCAUGUGUAAAAUCUAUUAUUAUUUCUUAAGACCCUUUGGAUGCUAUUGUUCUUAAUUCUAAAAUUUGAUGUGAAACUUUGUGUACAUUCGAGAUUUGUUUCUUUCUUUCUUGAUAAAUGUUGACUUUCUACAAUUAAAGUUAGCAUUUAAAGAACAGUACAGGAUAUUUUUCGAUGACUAUAUAUGUGAAUUUGAAGCUAAUUUGAAUACAACCAAAUACUUCACAAAAUCUCUUUAACUCACAAUGCAAAUGUUACAUCAACAAAUAGCUCACCAAUUCAAAGAAUUUUUAAAUAUGACGUUGAUAACCUAGCAAACAAAAAGCAAAAGUAGGAGUAGUUAUUUGAGAAUGUCACAUAUGUAUUUUGAUUUUCUUUUGCAUGCUUAUGUCUACAAUCCACCAUACCUCCAUUUGUCGUAAUAGUUUUUGUUUAUUAUAAUAUAAACAUGUUAAACCCAUGUAUCUAAUUACGGCAUGAAACAACUCUACUUUUUGCUUAAUAUUACCAUCAGCAGUGAAAAUACUUGUUGACACAAUUUAUAUAAUCCAAUAUAAUUUUCAUGCAAAGCCGGUUUCAUUUUCCACUGAAAUCCUACAAAAUCAAAAUCCAACACUAUCAUUUACACUACAUUACCAACUACACGUGCAAUGCACGUGCAUUCACUAGUCUAACUAAAAGUAAAAGAGGCAUAUUGUAGUUACUGUUCACAAGCCGAUUGCUCAGCCAUUUUGGACUGAACCAAGUUUGUUGAGUCAAUUGGAAAUAAGCUGAAUUUUUAAAUGACAUCGUUUUGUGUGAUUAAAAGAGGAUAAGUGUUCCUUUCGGUUUUUCUCAUUCUAGAACAUUCAUUUUGUCUUUGGUUUUCUCUUUGUUUUUAGAUCUGAAAACUUAUUUUGUAGAUUUGAUUUUCAUUUUCAAGAUAUCUUCAAAAUUUGGUUAUGGAGUGAUGUUUUCCAAAAUUUCAGGGUUAGCAGCGGUGGCAACUUCCACUUCGGCAGCGACAAUUACCACCUAGGUGCACCGUCUCCUCCUACCAAAUUGACCCACUUCUCUGCCUUGAGUUUUUUUUAGAUACACUUGUUCUGUAGAAAAAUUCAAGGUGCUAGAUCUAAUGCUUUUUGUUUGUGCUAAUUAAUUUUGCAAUUUGUGCUCAAUGUUUUGUCGAAUUACGAAAGUUGGUAGUGUUUCAUGGGAUUUUAGUUGGUUAAAGGUACCACUUCAAUGACAAGAAGCCCUAAAUUUUCUUAGAAUUUGUUCAUGAAUUAGCGAAAAAAAUAAAACUCAUUUAUUAUUGGGUAUAAGUUUUGCUUUACUUUAUUGAUGCUUUCAAACAUCUUGAUUCACUUGAGGUAUGUUUAAAAUAGUGUGUUUUCAUUCCAAUAUUUUGAUUCUGCUUGAAAAGCUCUUUUCUUGAUGUGCGAGCAUCAAUUUUUACACUUCACAACCUAUCUAGAGGAUUCUGCAAGCGUGCGAGCUAGGCUGUAACAUUUGAGCAAUAUCCUUCUUUAGGUAAUCGUGUUGUGCGUACCUUCAAAUCUAUGUACCUAGCAUAAUUGAAAAUGAAAACAUUAAGAACUAGAUAACAUAAUUCUUCUUCACAAAUCUUUUGUAUGACUCAGCUCUAUACUGUUUAAUUAUCACCACAAAAAACAAAAGCAAAGAAAUUCACAAGCAAUUAAUUUUAUAUCAUUCAAGUAUUUCCAUACCACAUAUAUUGCUUUCUAUAUUAGAAUUUAUUGAAUGAGAAACAAUGUAUUAAACUCCAUGAAGGAGAAGAUGAAUUACACUCCAUGAAAGGAGGAAAUGAACAGCUCCAUAAAAGGAGGAAGACACUCCAUAAUAGGAGGAAAUGAAAUCUCCAUGGAAGGAGGGAUUGGAGGACAAUCCAAUAGACUAAAAAUUCAUCCACGGUGCUGUAUUUAUAGAGCAAAAUGGCUAAAGUAAUUAACUAACUAAUUAGCUAAUUAACAAACUAAUCAAUAACUAACUAACAACUAAGACAGCUGGACACAACCGUUUUGGAAUCUGAUAUGUUGAGAUGGAAGUCUCUAGAAUCUGGUGCACACAUGAUGCUGGAAUCUGCUGAUGUUUGGUGCAUGUGUAUUCCAACAUUCUAUUCUUUAUCUAUGUCGUUUGAUUUUUGAUAAUUUUAAAGCAACGUUUAAAAUUCUCCAAAAGGGAUUUCUAUUAUGUUUCACAACCUUAUGUUGACCAUAUUAUCUUUGUAGUAUACGCCGUAAAAAAGAGUUGAAGUGAAUUUUUUCCUGUUGAGAUGAGCCAAUUAGUGGUAGAUUUAUAUGUGUUGUUGUGUAUGUAUUUUCGCAGUUUGUAUAAUAUAUCUGCAAGAACGUAGGAUUUGACUUUUGAAAAUAGCUCUGAUUCACCAUGUCUCAGAAACUGGUUUGACAUAUCCAGCAAGCAAGAAGUGAUACAAAAGUUGAGACAACAAUUAAAGAGAAAAGAUUACAUGAUGCUAGAAAUACAAGAUCAGAUUGCAAAACUUUGAGACUCUUUGUGAAGUGCAUUUGUAUUCUUUCCAUCUACAAUAGCUGCUCGAUUCUACAAACAGGGAUCUGUUUGAUUCCAAAGGAAAAUAUAGAGAUUAAGAAAGGCAAUUGCAGAUAAUUAUGGGGGACAUAUGGUUUUUAGUGACAAUUCCCUUGCUGUUCAUCUAGCAGAAGGAAGGAAUGGCCACACAAAUGGAUAUUCCGAGAUUGAAAGCAAUCUUGAUUCUUAAGAAAAAGGGAGAGGAGAUUGGGAUAUAACAUUGAAACAUUAAGAAGGGAAGUCAGGGGGUGAAAAGAAGUAAUAAUCCAAAAUCUCAAAACUUUUGGGCUGUCGUAUCUUAUCUAAACUCAAAAUAUUAGAAAUUUCAAACAUAUGUUUUUUUACGUGUGAUAAGGAUUAAGAAUAAAAGUAGAUGUCAUGGUAUCUUGUUAAUAUAUAACUGAGAAAACAUUUUGAAAAAAAAAUAAAAUAAAAGAUAAUUAUUUUUAGAAGUGAAAAGUUAUAUCGUUGAAUUAAUUUUCAUGUUAUUAUAUUUAUUCAAGACAUCUUUCGGUAAGCUUCCAAGAUUGAGCUUCUUGUUCAUCUUGUGGAAUUAAUUGAUGAUUGUAGGUGUUUAGUCAAGAAAGCUUGUUUGGUUUUACCGUUCUUGAUUAAUCUUUAGGUUCGAUUGAUUUUCUUGAUUUUGGUUUUUUUUUUCAUUAGUAAGCAAAAAGAAAAAAAAAACAUUUUUGCUGUUCUGAUUAUAUGUCAUAAUUUAUUGUAUCUAUUUAAUGAGUUAAACCAUGUGGUAUUGCCUAAUUGUUUCUAUGCACAACUAAAAAACAAUGUAAUUUCGUUCUUCACAUGUCCUAUUACUAAAUAGUAUUUGAUCUUUUUCACUUAGCUUGCACUUUAGCAACAUGAGUUUUUGUUGACUUCCUUGAAGUGAGAUGUGUUUGAUGUUACAGGUGCCUUCCAGAAUUUCAGGGACUACAUCAAAUUUUGUGAUUAAUAAACCCGAGAUUUAAUUUAAACAACCCAAUUUCCUGCAAUUUAUGAAGGAAGCUAAGGAUAUGGAUCUGGAUUUAUGGUAUUUUGUUGAACAAAAGAACAUUUAAUAACCAAUAUCGAUUCUCCAGUAUUUUAUAUUCCAUUUCUGACUUUUAGCAUGCGAACUUUUAUAGCUCUUGUAAGAGGUUUAGUACUUAGCACAAUAUUCAUAUUUUGUAAUUGCAAUUUAGCUAAGACAUCUUGCAGUUGUAGCAUGGCAGGUAUUAAUCAGGGUUGAAAUUAUAAAAGAAAAUGGAAAUAAUAUAAUCAAUCUCUGUCUUCAAUAAACAUUACACGCAUACCAACGAACAAGCUGGAGGAAAACAAAAAAGUGGAGAAGAGGAACUACAACAUUAGAUUUCAGGAAUACGGAUUAUGAGUGCCCUAUUUGAGUCCCAUUUUUUCAAGAAUUCAUUUUUUCAAAUCUCACUUUCAACUAUACAUUCUCUCAUAAAAUAAAAUACGUAUUUUAAACAUUUUUCUUGAUUUUUAACCACACAUUCUCCAAAAAAUCACUAUUCUAUAAUCCAUUUUACCCAAGAAUGGGGAUCAAACAGGGACUAGAUUUCCAUUACAAAGUAAACUUUACCUUUCUCUUCACUAUUUUGUCUUGGUCAGUGGUGGAUCUAGGAGUUGGAGCCAACUAGGGCAGUUGGUAACCGUCGACUGAUGCAUUAACAAGAUCGUUUAUUAAUAUUUUAUUAAAUAAUAUUAAAAAAAUUUAAUUAAUAUAUAAAUGCAGUAAAACGUAAAUCACAUAUUAACAAUCAUCAAGUUUCCAUUUCCAAAUUUCACAAAUACUAGUAGAUUCCAUAAGUCCACAAACACUAAUAGUUUUUAUUUCCAAAAUCCCUAAUUUUCACAAAAUCCUCAAUUUUCACGAAUUUCAUAGUCCACAUAUAUGAUAUCGCAUAUCCUCAAACUCAUGAAGCCUCCAAUUUUCGUAAAUAAUAUUAGAGGUUCGUGACUCAUGAAGUCACAAACUAACAGUAAAUAUUCAUAAAACAUAAAUUCAUAAAUCAUAACUGAUUAUUUUAACUGAUAGCUCAUAAUUUGAUAAAUAAUAAAUCAAAAAACGAACAGAAACCAAAAAAAAAGAAAAAAAGGAGAAAUGAAGAGAGGCAGGAGACUCACCACUCAUGUCCCGCCAUCACGAGUGGAAUUAGUUACCAGUGAUACAGUGGUGGUGUAGUUCUGUAGUUGCCAGUGGCUCAACGUCGGUGAUUCUACUGUGGCUUAGCUUGAGUGCUAGCAGAGAAAAAUAGAGUUUGGAAAUUGGAAUUGGAUAGAAUUGCUUGAUUUUGGGUUUGAACUGCCGAGUGAUAUGUGGCUUUGUGCGUUUGAUUUAUGAAGGGAAAAUUUCACGAAACACCAGUUAAUUUAUAUUAUUGUCUAUUCUACAUGCCACUGUAUUCUUAUUCUAAUUAUACAGCUUUUUAUACAGUAUUUUGGAAAACUGAAUGGGAGAACAAAUAAGCAGGUGUAUUAAGUUGGAAAGCAUCAAUUACGGUCAAUUCAAUUCUCCCAAUAUCUUGCACUUUCCCAAAAAAUCCAUUUCAUAUUCUUCUCUCUCCAUCUUGCAGAAAACUAAACACUACCGUCCAUGCAAAUCCAAGAUCCCCAGAUCAAUUAAUCAAGAAAAGGGGUUAAUUUACUACACAGAUCGAUCUCAUUACCUCACAUACCCAUGGGCUCUGUCUAUAUCCCACGGUCGGAAGUUGAAUGUCGUAAGUUAGCUACCCCUUGACGGAAGUUGUCGCUGGCUUCCAAAGAGGGUAUUAAUGGAGGGGAAGCUUCGGCAUCUGUGGAGAUAGUGACGACGAAAAUGGAAGUGCUUGUUCUCCUUAACGUCGAAUUACAUGAUCUAUAACCGUUUUGUCAGAAUAUAAGGAACGAGACCCCCCAGCCAUCAAAGAAAUGUUUAAAACCUCAGCCAAUGUUUAUAAAAGUGAGAAGAGGCCUCCUGACUAUGUUGACGAAGAAUCCUCUAUGAAGAAAAUGAAAAUGGCGUUGCAUUCGAACCCGGAAAAAGGAAAUUCUACGUCUCACGUAUUAUUUUUGGGGAUUUUUGAAAACUGUGAAUGUUAAUAUAUGUUAAAUUUUGUUUGCUAUCUUGAGGUUGACAUUUUUGAGACAAUGAAUUACGUAUGUAUGUGAUUUACGUGAAGUUCUCCUCCAUGCUUCUCUGACCCCGUUUAUUGUCUGUACCAAAACCAUUGGAUGACACACCGAAACCUUACACUACUGUGUGUGAUAUGUCGCGUUUGAAGAGUUUGAUAUGCUAAAAUUUACUUACAUCUCUGUGAUUGAUUGUGAAUAUUAAUUCUUCUUUUCUUAUGAUGACAACAUAUGCAAUACAACCCAUGUUUGUUACCGAGUAACGUUAACAUUUCUAACCUUACAUUUCAUCAUUUGCAUUUCCAUUUUUUUUUUGUAAUCUGCAAUAUGUAGUGGAAACUCAUUUUACACUUGACUUUGAUGUUCAGAUUGCACACUGUCUAUUAGAAAAUGGAAAUCAGCUGCAGGUGAGUCAGCUUGGGAAUUAGCAAAGCACGUACACUCCAGUACACAUGGGCGACAAGCUGGACUAUAGGUGGAAGAAUAAAUCUAGAAAGAUGUAGCAUAUUUUUUGUUAUGUGGUUUUCCUUUCGUAACAGUGUUGUUUAUAUAAAUUCUUUUUCCUGCCUCCUGUAUAGGUUUUUCGUUAGGCUGGUACUCUUCUCAUUCUAUAUAUAGUGUGAUCAACCUGUAAAGAAGUGAAUAUAGCAGAUUCAAUAUCAUGAGAAAAUUCUCCCAAAACUCUUGCACUCCACCUGCUCGAUAGUUUUCUUCUUUCAUUUAUUUCUUCUUUUCUUAUAUGAUAUCAGAGCCAGAUAUGGUACAACCUGAUUCUGCUAAUCCAAAUCCAGUUGAAUCUUCAAACACAGAUAUAAAUCAACACCCAAAUCCAAUCACGGUUGAUCCCUCACAGCCAAACAGUCCAUACUAUAUUGGAGCUAAUGAUAGCUCUGGAUCCACACUCGUUACUCAUGUAUUGGAUUCAAACAAUUAUCAUUCCUGAGCACGUGCGAUGUAAAGAGCACUCAGGAUUAAAAAUAAGCUCGAUUUUGUUGAUGGAAGCAUUUCAGAGCCUAGUGAUGCAGACAGUCCACUUAUGGAGCAUUGGUUGAGAUGUAAUGAUAUAGUAAUCACUUGGUUGCAGAAUACUAUGGCAGUUGAAAUAAAAUGCAGCACCAUGUAUGCUGAAACGGCACAUUACUAUGCAAAGAACUUGAACAGAGAUUGGCACAGCAAAAUGCAUCUAGGAUUUUUGAACUCAAACAAAGUAUUGCAAACUUGAUGCAAAACCAAGACAGAGUGUGUGUAUUUCUCAAAGCUGAAAACUCUUUUGGAUGAAUUGCUAAAUUAUGAAUCAGUACCCAAUUAUUCCUGUGGGGGUUUGAAGGUUGUGGUGAACAACCAACAAAGAGAUUGGUUUAUGAAAUUCCUAAUAGGUCUCAAUGAUACGUACUAGGGAUUAAAGGCUCAAAUUCUCCUCAUUAAGCCUUUCCCAAUCUUGAAUGAAGUAUACUCCAUAAUUCAGCAAGAAGAGAAGAGAAGGCAAAUAUCCAUUGAUAGUUCACUUGAUGAAACUAUGGCACUACUUGCUAAGGGUAACCUUGAUGUGAGAAAACAAAACCAAUCCUCUCCGAAGAAGGAUAGGUACUACUGCACCUAUUGUAAGAUAGCUGGGCAUUCCCUUGAACGAUGCUUCAAGGCUAAUCUAAACAAACCAACAUGCUCUUAUUGCCAAAUGCCUAGUCAUACAGUUGGAAAAUGUUUUGAGUUACACGGGUAUCCAUCGGGGCACAAAUCAGAAGGGAGAAAUAAGCCAUCAACAUCAUUUGCUAAUCAGACUACUACACUUAUGCCUCUUGUCUAGGAACGGGUAAAUAACAAAGCUCAAAUGUCUUUAUCUCAGGAGCAAUAUGAUUAGCUCAUGGCACUGCUGAAACCACAAACUCAUCAAACCUUCAUCCCUUCUGCAAAUCAUGUUCAAACUUUAUUCCAACUCAUUCUGAUAAUGGUGAGAUGCCAAAAGCUUCAGGUAUAUCUCUAUGUCUGUCUGCCUUUAGCACUAAACUUCAUGAUCAUUCAGUUGUACCUUGGAUAUUAGACACAGGGGCUACGGAUCAUAUGAUCUUCUCAACCUCUCUCUUUACCACAAUAAAGUCUAAAGUUUCCUAUUCAGUAGGUCUCCCAAAUGGUAAGGACAGUAAAAUUUUUAGAAUCUUUCAUUUUGGAUAAUGUUCUUUGUGUUACGUCGUUUUCUUUUAAUCUGCUAUCAGCUAGAAAAAUAACGUAGAACAUGAAUUGUUGCCUCAUUUUUCUUCAUGAUUGUUGUUUUAUACAGGACCUUUUGACUUGGAAAACGACUGGAAUGGGUGAAGUAAAGCAAGGACUCUAUCACUUGAUGCAAAACGAAGUGUCUCCUUUUUCCUUGACCAAGAAAUUAGCCUAUCUAACUUAAAAGACACCCAUAUCCACUUCCUCUAUUUUCAAUAAUGGUGAAGAUUUCGAUCUUUGGCACUGUAGGUUAGGACACUCCACCUAUUCAAAGUUUAAUUUACCAGAAGACACCACAAGAUCCACCAAACAGCCUUACCUUAAUUGUCCUUUAGCCAAACUACAAAAAUUAUCAGAAAAAUGUUUUGAUCUCAUAUAUUGUGACAUUUGGGGACCAUGUAAUGAGAUUAGUUAUGAUGGUUUUCGUUAUUUUCUAGCUAUUGUGGAUGAUUUUAGUAGAUGUACUUGGUUUUAUAUGUUGAAAUUCAAAUCUGAUGCUGGCAUUGUUUCGCAAAGUUUUUGCUCUAUGAUUGAAACACAAUUUGAAUGCAAAGUUAAAACUAUUAGAUCAGACAAUAGAGAUGAAUUUGAGAUGAAGAAAUUUUAUUCACAAAAGGGAAUCAUUCACCAUAAAACUUGUGUAGAGACUCCUCAACAAUAUGCCAUAGUUGAAAGAAAACAUCAACACAUUUUAAAUGUGGCAAGAGCUUUAAAAUUUCAAAGUGUCAUCCCAUUAAGAUAUUGGAGUAAUUGUGUUCUCACGACAGUUUAUCUUAUAACUAUAACCCCUAUACCUCUUUUAGACCACAAAACACCCUUUGAAAUUCUUUUUCAAACCAAACCAGAUUACACUUAUCUUAGAGUUUUCGGAUGCCUAACAUUUGCUACUACCCUAGUAAGUGGAAGACUUGAAUUUGAUCCUAGAGCUAGGAGAUGCAUAUUUUUGGGAUACCCAUUUGGAAUCAAAGGAUACAAAUUAAUGGAUUUGGAAACAAAUAAGGUCUUUAUCUCUAGGAAUGUUAUCUUUCCAUGAGAGUGUGUUUCGCUGCAAGCAAAAUGCUAGCAUGAGUGCUGAUUUUAGUCCAAAUCCAACUUCAAAAACAGAUUUCAUUUCUGAAAUUCCUACUAUCUCAAAUCACAUAGAAAACAGCCAAAUCAUUCUCUUAUCAACAUUUCAGACAAAAUGUAGCAACAGAUCACUCAACAGACUUUGAAUCUUCUUCAUUAGAACAAAAUCAUGACUCAUCUGAACCUGCAAAUACAUUUAGAAUUGAUAGUGAGCCAUCCCAAAAACAAGUUGUACCUUGAAGGUCAAACAGAAUCAAGAGAACCUCUACAUAUCUCAAGGAUUUUGUCUGUCAAUAGGUCACUUUGCUUCCCCAUUCACAGGCUUUGGACAAGCAAAGGGUCACCAUUCCCUCAGGUAAUCCCUAUCCUCUUGAGAAUAGUGUGUCAUAUCAUAAACUCUCCACUCCCUACAAGGCUUUUGUUGUUUCUAUCAACACACACACAGAACCUAAAAAUUUCCAAGAAGCACUGAAUCUCUCGAGUGGUGUAAUGCUAUGAAAGUUGAAAUAAAUGCUCUCGAAUUAAAUGAUACUUGGCUAGUUGUUGAUCUGCCUCUUGGUAAGGAGGCCAUAGGGUGUAAGAGGGUUUAUAAAAUCAAAUUUAGUGCUAAUGGGACCAUAGAGAGAUAUAAAACCAGAUUAGUGGUUAAGGGAUACACACGGCAAUAAGGACUCGACUAUCAUGAAACAUUUUCUCCUGUGGCAAAACUAGUUACUGUAAGGACUUUGUUGACUUUGGUUGCUGUUAAAGGUUGACACUUAUACCAGUUUGAUGUAAACAAUGCAUUUCCACAUGGAGAUUUGGAGAAAGAAGUUUACAUGCAAUUGCCUCCGGGUUAUCCCACUGCUAAUGGGACAAAAGUUUGCAAAUUGAAGAAAAGCUUGUAUGGCCUUAAACAGGCCUCUAGACAGUGGUAUUCUAAGCUGUCUAACUUCAUUAUUGAGCAAGGUUUUUCACAAUCUAAGGCUAAUUAUAGCUUAUUUACAAGAGCUACAAAACAUUCUUUUAUUGCCAUCCUUCUAUAUGUCGACGACAUUAUAGUGUUCAGCAACUGCAUUGACUCUGUUAAUGUUCUCAAGGAUACCCUACAUGAGAAAUUCAAAAUCAAGGAUCUAGGAUAGCUGAAAUACUUCCUUGGGAUUGUGGCUAGGUCAGAUCGUGGCAUCCACAUAUGCCAAAGAAAGUAUGCCUUAGACAUCUUGACAGAUUCAGGCAAAAUUGGGGCAGCACCAACUCGAAUUCUGCUUGAUCAGAAUCAUAAGCUUUCUAAAGCGCAGGGUAAACUAAUUCCUAACCCAUCACUCUAUAGAAGGCUAGUUGGAAGAUUACUAUAUUUAACUAUAACAAGAUCGUAUCUAUCCUUUUCAGUGCAACUAUCAAGUUAAUUCAUGGAUAACCCUAGAUUCCCACGCCUUAAUGAAGCCUACAAAGUUUUAAGGUAUAUCAAAAAGGCUCCAGGACAAGGUUUGUUUUAUUCUACUGAAUCAAGCUUGCAACUUAUAGGUUACUGUGAUUCAGAUUGGGGAGCAUGCCAGGACACAAGAAGGUCGGUCAGUGGUUAUUGUGUGUCUACUGGGUCUUCUUUGAUAGCCUGGAAGUCAAAGAAACAAGGGGUCAUGUCUAGAUCAUCUACAGAGGCAGAAUACCGAGCAAUGGCUAACCUGUGCUGUGAAUUAACUUGGAUGAGAUAUUUACUUCAUGACUUGCAAAUUACACAUCCUCAGGCUGCCACUAUGUUUUGUGAUAACAAGGCUGCACUUCACAUCGCAUCAAGCCCUAUCUUUCAUGAACGAACCAAGCACAUUGAGCUUGAUUGUCAUCUCAUCCGUGACAAGAUUCAAGAUGGAAGCAUAACCACUCGUUAUAUUGGUAGUAGACUACAAGUUGCAGACCUCCUAACUAAGGCCUUAAGUUCUCCUGUUUUCUACUCUCAUUUGCUCAAGAUGGGAGUAGAAGAUAUCUACUCUCGACCUUGUGAGGGGCUAUUAGAAAAUGGAAAUCAGCUGCAGGUGAGUCAGCUUGGGAGUUAGUAAAGCACGCACACUCCAGUACACAUGGGCAAUAAGCUGGACCAUAGGUGGAAGAAUAAAUCUAGAAGGAUUUAGCAUCUUUUCUGUUAUGUGGUUUUCCUUUCGUAACAGAGUUGUUUAUAUUGAUUCUUUUUCCUGCCUGCUGUAUAGGUUUUCCGUUAGGUUGGCACUCUUCUCAUUCUAUAAAUAGUGUGAUCAACCUGUAAAGAAGUGAAUAUAACAGAUUCAAUAUCAUGAGAAAAUUCUCCCAAAACUCUUGCACUCCACCUGCUCAAUAGUUUUCUUCUUUCAUUUAUUUCUUCUUUUCUUAUACCGUCUAACAAUCAUUUUAUUUUAUUUCGUUUCCAUUUUUUUUAUGCAAUCUGUGAUUUAUAGUGGAAAUGAAUUAAACUGGGUUUUGAUGUUCAAACUGCAUGCUAUUAACAUGUUAUUUCCAUAACGAAAUAUUAGUUCUUUUUUUUCUUAUGAUGACAAUCAAUGCAAUACAGUCCUUGUGUAUGUUACCGAGUAACGUUAACAUUUCAAACCUUACAUUUCAUCAUUUG
rnacentral:lncRNA from 1 species